UUUUUUUUUUUUUUCAAUCUCAAUCCCACUUUGGAUCUCUCUAUAAUAUGUACUAAACAUCAAAGAAGAUGAAUGAAAUGCGACAUUUUAUCUGCUUUCUUUAUUUUCACUCAAACCAAAAAAAAAAAAAAAGGAAAGAAAAGAAAAAUGUACUGGAAAUUGAAGCUUGUAACCAAAUUUGGCUUUGCAUACAGUCAUAUAUCUCACUUUAAAAUAUUGAAUACAUUUGAGUUCAUAAAUUAACACACUCACGUAUCAUAAUUUCCUUUUUCAACUAAUAAUUCUCUCUCUCACUCAAUGGGAAGAUGGAACUCCUCAACCUAAAAGUGACCUCAUACUAAUAUCACAGAAUCUGAUAAAGGUCGAAAACUACAUUGUAGCUUGCCUGCUCUACUUGUGGCGAUUAACAACAUGUGGGUAAAGUCCUAACACAUGCUCCGGCAUGAAGUCAUGUCGGGUUAAGAUUCCAACAAUAGGAGGCCUCUGCAAAUAUCGAACAUUCAAAUGCAUGGUUAUUUAAAAUUUUCAAGUGAUUUCUGGAAACUUUAUUAUUUAUUUAUUAAUUUAUUUAUUUUUCAAUAUACCCAAGAGUUCUAGCCUAUAUUAGGUUAUGAGUGUGUGCGCAAGUGAGCAUGUGCAAGACAGAAGAGUCUUACCCCGGGUGUUUUUGGCACAACGCACAAGUGCCUGAGGGCCAGCUGCCGAAAGAGAACAGCUGCUUUAGCUAGCGACAUUGUUUCUACAACUGUGUAUGGAGAUGUAUUAGUAAUGGGAUGGAGAUCAACAAACAUCUCCAUCUCCUCCUCCUUAAUGUCCAAAUCUUCUAGCUUGACCCCCUUCCCAGAUCCUGCUUUGGCAAAAUCAUGUGCCUUGAACCUCCGCAUAAUAUCUGAUCCAGCCAUGGUUUUCUGUUUCGUAAAUUUCUUUCCUUUGAGCAACACAAGAAGAUGAGACCUGAGAACAAGUCCACACAACUCUGGAGCUGGUGUCAGAGGCGGCUCAUCUAUCACUGGGAAACCAUUGUGCCGAGUUAAACGCAGAGCAUGCAUAAUAUUUCCGACUUUUUCAACCCCAGAAAAAGUAAUCAAUGGACCAGAAACAACAUCACUUGCAACCAAAUUCUUCAUGUAUGGUUCCGCGUGGGCUUCCAAAUAAGGCAACCCCUUCAACUUGACAAUCUGGUCGUAGACACCCUGGUUGAAACUAUCAGCCACAGUUUUUGAAAUAAGAAGAACAAGCAUCACCAAUGGGAGCAUCAAUAAAUUAUUAGUAAGUUCAAGAAGUAUAACACAGAGCGAAACUGUCAUUCUCAUGGUGCCACCGAGGAAGGAAGCAGCUCCAAGGAGUGCAAAGAGACCUGUGUCGAGAUCAGAUAGAGCCCCUAGGAGGUUCCCAACAAGGCGUCCAUAAGACGCUCCAGCAAGUAUGACUGGAAUGAAGAGCCCAGAGGGAACAGCAAUGCCAUAGGUGAUAAUGCCGAGGCAGUAUAUAGCAACAAAGAAAACUAGAAGGGUAGAGAGGUGAAAUUCUUUUGAAGUGCCCGAGCUGAACAGGUUGCGGAUUGCAUCAUCAUUUGUGUUGAGAAAGAGAGAAGCAAGGUCAUUGUAGUGGCCAGCUGGACACUGAAAAUUCUUGUAGUUUCCAGAACGACCUACAGUGGGGCAUCUAUCAGCCUCCAGGUAAGAAGGACAAGGAAUGCAAUGUGAAAGCCAAGGCAGGCCGUAAGAACAACAAGACGUCAAAAGUGAAACAGCGGCGACGAGCAGGACCUUGAAGAUAGGCCCUCUCCUGCAAUACAUUCUCAAUAAGCAACGCUACAGCAAAGUUUGUGCACAAAAAUUUGUACUUGUAGCAGCAUAAGUAUGUAAACGUAAUUCAUGACCUCCGUAAUAUCAGUCAGCGUGAAUAUGUAUGAUUAUACACGGCAAUCUUAAUAUAUGUUUGCUUUAGACAAACUGGGAACAUAAGGAAAACUAUUAUACUCCUUAUAAAAGUUGAAAGAAAAUCAGUGACGGUUAUAAAGAUCAAAUACUUAACAGUUUCGCUAUCAGCAUUGUCUGUAUGCACCUGGGUACAGAUCAAUAUAAUGGAAAAAGUUAGGUAGGGCAUACUCGUUGAUAAUGCUAUAUGUACGGAGGACCUUGUCCACAAGGUAAUUGUAGAAGCUUCCAAAAAUGCCCCCAAUAACUCCAAGGAAAAUAACUGCAAGUAAAUCUGCGGAGCUAUAAGAGUUCUUUGCAGAAUUGACAUCGAACAUGAUUAGCCCACCUUGUCCAAACAGUCCACAUCUACCACUCCUACAAAAUUCUAUGAAACCUCUCAACACCACUGCCACUACAGCUGUUGUAAAAAAUGUCCUCCAAAGAAGAGCACUCCGCCACCUGAACAAUUUUAAAUGCAAAAGCAACAUAAAAAGGAAUGAGAUUUAUUUUUUUAUGUGCUUCAACAAUACCUACAUGGAAAUCGGGAAGAGGCAGAAUAUACCAUGAAGCAGCUUCUUCAAGGGCGAAGAGGACCCCACCUACAGGGGCACGGAAAGCACCCGCUACACCAGCAGCUGCACCACAUGUAAUCAAAUCCCUCCGGUCACGAUCAUUUUUGAAGUAUCUGAGCCAUCUCCAGGUCAAAUGGUACUUCUUCGAUCCGCCUUGUCCAAGUAAAUUGGCUAUGCAAGCACCAGUAUGUACCAUAGGUCCUUCCUUACCGACAACAAAUCCAGCAGCAACUCCAAAAAUGGAACCAAAAAUCUGCCAAAUUUAAAUAUGAAUUUAUAGCAAGUUCAUUGUAAAAUCAAAAUGGUAUUAAUUGAUAAAUGGACAGACAGAGAAUGAGCGAGGGAGAGUCUUUUAGUUUCUGACUAACCUUAACAAAGAGGGUACUUGGAGCCAAUAUAGAAUGGGCAUCUAUACCAUUGAGAUAUGCUUUCACCUCGGGUAUACCAGAGCCGGCAGCUGCAGGGGCAAUAUAAGCACAAAGGAUUGCAGCUAAAAUGGCCAAACCCAGGUUGAUACUCGUAUUUGCUACAAAUCCCAUAAAGUGCCUGCACUGAAGUGGAUCUUUUACUAGUUAAUCAAAGUAUUAAAAGCCCAAUAGUUUGCAGUUUCCCAAGCAAAAAUGUUGUAAGCGAAUGAAAAGUCCUUAAACAAGUACAAAAGAAACUUUUCAUGAAGUAGGUGAGGGUUUGAUUAAUUUUUAAAAGCUGAGAUAAUGUUUAGGGGUUGUGAAGCUUACCUAUCAUUAAGCAUGAGAUUGUUGAUAAGCAGAAGUUUAAAACCAGCUAUAUUCUCAACAAAAAAGUUACAGAAAACAGCUGCAAGCCCUGUAAGCACCCCAAUAAGGAGUGCAAGUGUCCACUUGAGGACAACAUACUGAAAUAUCUCAACCUUCCGUCUUGCUCUCCAGUCCUGCUUAAAAAGCUCAUUCUCGACAAUCCUGUGAAAAAUAAAUUAUCAGUUUGAGGCAGAACAAUCAUGAUAAUUCACAAAAUAUUCAGUUUCCUUUCCUUUUCUCCAAUGACCAACGCAACCAAAUAGAAGACAAAACAAGAAGCCCUGAAGAUCUAUACUCGUAGCCUAUGCUUGAAAUAUCCCAAUAGACAACAAUCUAGUCCCAAAUGAGCCACCCAAAAAGGGGGGGGGGGAUAACUUCAAAUACUUGACAAUGACACACACACACACACACGUAACGAAGCAAUAAGAAAAGCAAAUCCAAAACAAGAUCCAACUUGAGAUCCAAAACUUUCUUUCACUUCAUUUCAAACCGUUUUUAGCCAACCAAACUCUUGUCCUAGCAUCUUAAAAACAAAAUACAAACACAAUGAAACAUCCCAAUCGUAAUAUUAUAUUUCCUUCUUUUGCUUAACUUCCUUAGCUACUAAAUAUGUAGGAUCCUCGAUAGCAUACACAAAGAAAUACAAAAAAAGAAUAGCAAAACAAAUCCAAUUCAUAGGAUCCAAAAGUCCAUCUUGCCAACCAUACAUUCAUAACAAAGCAUAUGUCAAUAAAAUUCCCAUACUUUCUAUCAUUUUCCCUUCAUAUUCCCAGAUAGCAAAACAGAAAAUCAGAAUUUGGAAAAAAAAAACGAUAAAGCAAAACAUUGAGCUUGUAUGCAUACUCAUAAUCAAGAGACUCAAUCGGGCAGAUAUUGGCACCAACAAUGGCAAUCUGAGAAGUUGUAUUGGUCCUACACUUCAACAACAAUGGCUCUCUCAAAUUAUGAUCCUCUGACGUUCCUGAUCCCAUUCUCUCAACAAACUUCCUCCUUUCACUUUCAAAACUACCAUUAUGCCCUCCUCCUUCAACCUCUAUAUCAUUCUCCUCCCUCUCUCCUCUAGUCCCAUGAUCCAUUUUCCUUCAAAUCUUUUUUGAUUCCACACCCAAAAGAAUAAAAAAGAAAAUCUCUUUUUUUUUAAUUCAAUGAAUAACAACAAAAAAAAAUCAGUUUUUUUAUCCACAAAAUCACCUUUUUUAUCACUUCUAGACUUCUCUAUUUAUUAAUGUAAAACGCCUAUGGACACGUAUGAUUCCUGUUUCAAAUUAAAACUUUUGAACAAUAAAAAAAGCUUUUUUUUUUUUCCCGUGUAGCGUUGAAACGUAUGAAAAUGAUAGAUUUUCCACAACAAAAAUAAUAAUAUGAAGAAGUUUCAAUUUCAUUAACGCACUUCAACAAAAAGAAUGCGAAUCCUUUAUUUGCUUUCUGCCUUUCGCGGGGAGACCAUCAAAUUCAAUAAUGGCCACGCAAGUUAAAUUUUUUUUUCAAAAAAAAGAAAAUUAUGGUAAGUAAAUGGAAAGUUUAUUUUCGCAUAAUUCGGUCAGCGGACGAUGACAUGUCAGCAUUCCCCAAAUUUAGUUGUCAAGUGUCCACAGAGAGAAACUACAGGUGAGGUGGUGUUAUUCGUAAUAAAUGAAAAAAAAAGAAUGAAAAUAAUUUGUUGGCAAAAAGACAAAAGUUUUUUUUUCGUUAUUACCAAACAAUGCAAGAACAAAAGCACUUCCGUUUGCUUGUGUUUAUAGGCUCUGUUUGGAUUGGCCCACGUUUUGAAGUACAACCUCGGACUUACUCAAUGGUCUUUUUUUUAAAAAAAAUUUGAAGACGUGUGACUUAGGAAUUGCUUGCAUGCGCAUUAUAUUUUUAAAAAAUUAGAAAUGCUCGCAGAGUCGAUGUGACUUAAAACUUUUAUUAAUUUUUUUAUAAGGAUCUGGUUAUGUUGGAUUUCACUUACGGUAGAACACGAAUCUUAAUCACACAUCUAAAAUAAUAAAUAAUAAAUAAUAAAUUAUAAUGAGCAACAACUUCAUGUCACAUGCAAUAGAACUAAUAUUGGUUGACCAUUUUAUUUGAUCUGUCCUCGUAUGGCAUUUGUUGAUUUUUUAAAAAAUAAAUUUUAGGAAUCCAAAGAUGGCUUCAAAAUUUUCGAAUAGAACUUCUUCACAUAGAAAUUUAGCUUUUAAUAAAAGUUUUUUAUCAAAAAAAUUAUGUACUUAAUUAAUUGAUAACUUUUUAAAAUAAUCUUCAAUUUGAUUUUGUUUUGUUUUGUUUUUUGCAAUUCAAAUUUGGCUAUAUUGGAAUAGAAGCCAUAACAAGUUUAUUAAUGCCAAUAAUAUAUAUGUGUGUGUGUGUGUGUGUGUGUGUGUGUUGUAAAAAAAAUUUCUAUUAUAAAUGAUGUCUUAUUUAUUGAUGGACAAUGACAUAUAAAUGUGAUAAUAAAUUUACAAUGAAUGGUGUAUCAUAUCAUUUCAAAUAAACAAUGUGGGAUGCAAUUUAAGAAAGCAAAAUAAUUAAUCUUUGGACAAGGAUAAUUUUAUCUUUAUCCAAAAUCAUUGUCUUUAAUUUAAUAUCUAGUAAUCUUUCCAACGUAUCAAAUUUACACAAACAGAAUUAUUUGGGGUCUACUGAUUUUUUAUAAUUUCUUGACCAUGCAACGGGUACAAAAAGAUGAAAAAAAUUUUUUAUUGUUAUUAGUACAAAAAUAUCAAUUCAAAUUAUUUGACUGAUCAAAAUUUUGGAAUUGAAUAAUUAUUCCUUCCAAAACAAAAAUAAAUAAAUAAAUAAAAACAAAACAAGUUAAGAUGGAAACCAAUCUCAUGAAAGGAAUGAAAAAGAGACUCUAGAUCUAUUGUCUAUUCGUUUUAUGAUGAUUUUAAGAUGAGCAUUAGAAUAAGGAAAUGAAUCACCUAAGAAUGUGAAAAGAAUUAAUAUGACCGUGUUUCUGCUCAAACUUAUUAGCUUUUGUGUCACGUGUUCAUUAAUAAUUUUAUAAAUUUUAAUUAAAUCUACUUCCAAUAAGAGCUUUUGUAAAUUUUUAAUCUUUUAAAAAUUUUGUGAAACUUGUUCAUUAAUUUGUGUAAUCUUUAGAUUUUUUUCCCCUAAUACAAAGGGGAAACCUGCAACGCUAAGCCGAAGCAAAAUACAUCUAACCCGGCUUUCCAUAAUAACCAAAUUCCACCUGAGAAACCAGCCGCCUCAACUCGGUGGGAUCGAUCAUGGCCACUGAAACGAAUAAAUGGUGCGUUUAGGAUUGAGGUUAGGCAAUUGUAUAUUUUAAGCUACAACGUAAAAUAUUUGGUAAAUACUAACUUCUAUAGCUUGGAAGUUAUGUUAAUAUGAUUUUUUACUUGUAUAAUAAAAAAAUCUAUUAUAUCUUUAAUAAUUUUAUUAAAACUAUUAUUUAAAAUUUAUAUUUACUAUAUAUUAUUAAUUUUUAUUUCAUAUUUAUAAUUUUUUUUCAUAAUAAUUAUAGAUUAAAAUAUACAGUACCUCAAUUCUACAGUAGACCAAAGUCAUCAGCUUUAAUUACAGCUGAUUCGGGGCUUGCAAAGAGCCACUGGCAUGAGCCUAUAAUUAUGAACAAGCAUCUUGAAAGUUUGUCGUUAAGGAUUGCGAGGCUCCUCAUCGGGUGUGGGUUUCGAGGGAACCAAAAGUGGAGAGAAUGAUGUUUAGGGUCCAAAGAAGUUGUGGUCAAGGUUGGUUUAGCAAGUUUAGUCAUAGUUGACUUUUUUUUGGGUGUUACGUGAAGUACAUAUCUUUUUGCAUGGAAAUUGUUCGGCGGUCACAACUAUGCACAUUGACCUUUAAAAUCAACAACCAUUCUUCUCAAAGAAGAAAAAAAGAAAAUCUUAAAUCAUACACAUAAUUAUUAAAGAAAAUGUGAUACUAAAUAUUUAAAAAUUCGUUGGGCUCAACUCGAAAGAAAACUAAAUACACCCCGUGCCCUCCCACCCAUAUUUUAAAAGCAUGCAGUACAUAUAUAAAAUAACAUUUUUUUUUUAGUUAUCUAAAGUUCAUUAUAAUUAUGUUAUAAUUGAAAUUAAAAAGUGGUUAUUGUAAAAAAAAAAAAAAACUCUUUUAAAAAGAUAAAAUAACAACUGAAAACGUUAUUCCAAGAGAUAAGGAUGAAAAGUGACUGUUAGCUUGUUUCAUGAUUGGGUUCUUCCACUAGCGGCUGCCGAGGGCCAGGCGUGGCAUACUCAAAGUCAAGUGUUAUCAUAAUUUCAUGGCCAUAUCCAAAAUAAAAUUUUGUAUGAUAUGUCGGUUCUAGUUUCGUCAAAAUGCGUGCUGUAAAAAAAUUCACUCAAGCGUUAAAACUAUAUGACACGAUGUUUAAAGAUCAAUCAAACAAAUGACACGUUGUUUGUUAUUUUGUCAAAUAGAUGUAUGUCAUGCCAUUUUUAUUCCGGUCUAAAAGAAAAUGAAAGAGAUAUCAUUUUUAUUCGGCUGCACAGUGCAUACAUCUUUGUGGCAAAAGUGAUAGCAUGAACAGCAUAAUGUGAUGUUUAUAGAUUCAUCAAUAAAUGACAUGUCGUCCAUGUUUUAAACUGUGCAGCGCUUGUCGUUUAUUUACAUGCAUGUCAUAUAAUUUUUGCUCGAGUAUAUUAUGUAUGAAAUAUUGUGUACACUUUCAUUAUAAAAAUGACCUGUCAUUUAUUACUUAAGUUGAGGUACAAAUUUUAUAUCUCAAUUCGAUAAAUUUAUUGCUGUUGUUUGAAAAAUUGAGCUCAAUAUCACAAGCUAGCACGUCCCAAUUUUACACCUCCACAAUAACUCAAUCCAAGUACAUUAAACAUAUCUCAAUUGUCAACAAAUUCUUAAUUAGGUUGAUCAGGGGCCUCCUCUAGUUAUUUUUUAAAUUGGAGGUUUCAAGUUUGAGAUUCUGAGUCUCCUCAUGCUGAUUAUGGUGGGACUAGCAUUUGUAAUUUCUAAACAAUAAUGCCAUACAAAUUUUGUAUCUCAACCGAUGUGGCAAAUGAUGUGUCACUAUUUAAUUGGUUCAAGUGAUAGAUAAUUACUAAGCAUUAUCAUUUUUAAUUCAAAUAAUAAAUUUUUAUUUAUAACUCAUGAGUUGGAAUACAAAAAUAAGUUUUUUUUUUAACUAAGCAAGCGUAGGAUUUAACUGUGGGCUUUGUGAUGGGCUUUAUCUAUGAAUUAUUUCUUUGGGCUUAGACGGUUUGCAUAGUCCAUAAACAUACAAAAGUAAAUAAAAUGCAUCGACUCGAAAGUGCGAGUAAUAUGAGCACACGGCGCAUUUUAGGCGUCUUCUAAUGUUUGACUGAAUAAAUCAUCUGCAAAGCCCCACCACUUAAACUGCUUCAUCCUCCGCCGCCCCACUCUAUCCACUUCAGCAUCGUAAUGGGCUCCAAUAGCAAUAGCAACAGCAACAGCAGCAGCAACAGUAAUAGGCAUUAAGCAGUUUCCUAAUAAGCCGUUCUUAUCAAAGCACUUUACCAAACAAAGAAGCAGCUUCCAAGUUAAAUACUUCUUUAAAUAUAAAAAAAGGGAAAAAAAAACUAUAUAAUUUAUUGGGGAAAAUCCUGCUAAGGUCCCUCAAUUUGACUUAAAUACUAUUAACAUGUAAAAUAUGUGAAAAAAUCUCUCUAAAAUUUCUCUAGAAGGUUAUGUCCUAGAAAAAUAUUUGGACACGUGUAUUUAAUUCCAUUCACAUUGCCUUCGUUUGAUGAUUUUUUAAACAUUCUAAGUUGUAUUUGACUUUAUUUAAUCGAAGGUACGUAACAUUUGAAAAUGUUCGAGAUAUAAAGAUAUUUAAGCCGAAUACGUAACACAUAAGCGUUAUUUUCCCUCAUGUUUUAAAUAAUAAUAUCAACUAACGCUUCAUUCAUUCACAUUAGUAGUUCAAUAUUGGCAAUGAGAAAUAAAUCAGAAGUCAACUGGUAAAAUUUCUUAAAAUUUAUAAUUCGGUGAAAAAAAAGAUUUAUAUUCGUAAUGCCUAAAUAUAAAUAAUGAAAAUUAUACAACUGAAUAUAUUAAGAGUUUCUGGGCAUAUGAUAUUUCGAAGGAUUGUAAUUAUGUGGUGAAUGCAUGCAUUAUAUAAAUUUAUAUUUAACUAUUAUAAUUUUUGUUUAUUGGUAGAAGAUUUUCUACUAUGUUAAAUCUUAUUAUCUUUCACUUAUUGUUAUUAUGAGAUAAAAAGUUUAGAAGAAAAUUAUGACGCAAAGGCGGUAUUGUGCCACUAUUGCACGCAGUCGUUGAAUUCUAAUAGAUUCAUCUAUCUAAGUAAAUCUAACGACUGGAUGCAACCGUGGUACGGUACUACCUUUGCACUGUAGCCGAACCCAAAAGUUUAUUAAAACAAAAAAAAUUCUUCAUUUAGUAAUAACGAAUUAUUAACAACUUGAACAUCAUUAAUUUUCCUUCCUGUUUUUAUUGAGAACUCUCUGUUUGUUAUAUUACUAUUUUGGCCACUAAAUUGGAACUUGAUGUCAACAUCAUUAGUUUUCUAUUUUCGUCAAUAUAAUCUCGCAUGCUUUUAAAAAAAAAAAUUGACAAAACGGCAAUCAAAUAAUGAUCCUCAAAGAAUAAUUUACACUCUAAAUUAAGUCAUUCAAAUUAAAAAAAAAAAAUUGACAAAACAGCAAUGAUGAUAAUAUUAAUCUCAUCAUUAAUAUUUUUUUUCUUCUAAAUCAUUGAAUUAAUAAAUUUUCAAAAUAAUAUAUAUUAAUAUUUAUUCCUGUUUGUUUCUUACAUUGUGAUUCCCUUCAAGUGAAGUGACUUCGAAGUUGUAGUACAUCGAAGUAUCAUUGUUUCCCCCUUCGGUCCUCUUUCUCUCUCUCUCCAAAUCUCUCACUCAAAAAAACUUCUUCUCUUUAAAUUCCAAAAUCACUCAAAUCGAUUUCGUUUUCAAUCAAAAUCAUCAACCACACCACUUUCUCUUGAAUCCGUCCCUUUUAUCCCACACACAAAUCACAUACAAUUUUUGUUUUCUUUAUUUUUUAUUUUACUUCAUUAUUUUUUUCCCAUAUGGAAUAGUCAAUCUUGAUCCAGUCUUUACCACUCCGGUUGCUUCAGUACCCAUCCUUGGCGAUCCGAACAAGUAUAAAAGUUUUCUCGUUGCUUCGGAGAUUUUGAAUAAAGUGGCGAUCGGUGGAAGGAAUAAAUGGCGAGGAGUAGAGGGGAGAAAGAGGAGCCGGAGAAGUACAUUGGGUUACUUAAACUGGUGCAAAUACUGUCGUUUUUAGUUGUUUUCGCAGCGGGAAUAAUCAUAGGAUUAGCGACGAGUUCACAUAUGAAUCGGUAUUUCACAAGAGAGUCGUUUUUAUUUUCGGAUAGUCGUUAUUCAGCUCCUUCGUCAACUCUCCAAGGGAAUUGCGCGGUGGUCCAAACCUGUGAUGAUAUUGACUACUUAAACAUCGACAAGUUUGUUCGUCCUGCGAAUUUGAGUCAUAGAAUGACUGAUGAGCAGCUCUUUUGGAGGGCUUCGAUGGUGCCUUACAAGGAAGAGUACCCAUUUGAGAGAACUCCAAGAGUAGCCUUUAUGUUUUUGACGAGAGGGCCAUUGCCCUUGUUGCCUCUGUGGGAGAGGUUUUUCAAAGGGCAUGAGAAGUAUUUCUCUAUUUAUGUUCACGCGCUGCCAGGGUACAAGCUCAAUGUCUCUAGUGAUUCUCCCUUUUAUGGGAGGCAAAUCCCUAGUCAGGUAAUUUAUUAUGUUUCUCUUUUGAGAUUUUGUUGUAUUUGUUGAAGAUUUUAUUGAUUUAUGAUAAGGUCCUUUAUGAGUUAUUAUGUUAGUUUGUUAUUUGAGUGAGCUAAGUGAAGUUCAAACUUCGUAGUUGUAGAAUCUCUUUAAGAUUUGAGAAGAAUGGUCGUAGAUUAAAGGUCAAUGUGCAUAGUUGUGAGGACUUACAACCGUGAUAUAUACUCAAUGAAGAGAAUGUUAGUAAUGAACUGUUUUCUUUCUCAUUGAGAAUUUGAAUUUAUGAUAUAUAUUGGGGUGGUCUUUGGAGAGUGUUCAUGAUGUGAAUGUCUUUUAUACGAAGUAUGCUAUAUUAUUUUGCAACAUUAACUUGUGUUGAUUUUGGAAGCUAAAAGAUUUGAAAUAUAUUCUUCUCUGUUUAUAUUAAUAUGAGCUUGCUAAUUCAAUUAGUUGUUAGGCAUUGCAAUCUAUGUACCAAUCUUUGUUUCUAAAAAUUGAAAAUAAAAUCAAUAUCUCUUUCCUGGAAGCCUAUUUAAAGGCUUGGAUGUAGUCUGAUGGACUAUUUUGUUAGACCCUUUUCUAGAGCUGUAGUUCUACACUGAUGCUUAGAACUUUUGAGUAGCUAUCCUACCUCCAGAUAUAGGGAAUUUUAGUGCAGGUGAAACAACCGUGCGACGCUGUCCAAAAACUUAGAUAAUUCCCCAGCCCACGCUUAUAAACUGCUCCAGUUUUAGGAUUGUCUAGACUUGAAAAUAGCCUUACAGAGCUUGUAGUUGGAUGAAUUCGCUACUCAGAUAUCUGAGCUUCUUGGAAAUUUAAAUCAAAUGUUGUAACAGAGAGGGGAGAUCAGUAAGAAAGCAGUUAACAUGCCCAUAGUCAUCACAGGAUGAAUCUGUUGGGGAUACUUAGUUUCGGGUUUAUGUCCUCUUUUAGUCUAUCUAUUGCAUUAUCAUGCUAAACAAGAAUGAGCUCUAGCCAAAGGAAGAAGGAACAGAAGCUGGAAUGGUUCCUACUGGAGUUUCAUUAUUUUUCACUUUUCACAUAUUAGGUUUUUGACUAGAUGUGUUUUAAGUCCAGAUGUUAUGGAUUUUUAUAGAUUCUGGCCUUGGUAAUUCAGAAAAGUGAUAGCAUCAACACGUCGUUUUGAUAUGUUAUCUGAAGUUUCCUUGUAAAACAAGCCUAGCAUAUUUGAUAUACUUGUUUGUGUAUCUGGACCAAUAAUUUGAAGUUUUUCUUUUGCAGAUUCUUUGUGGUAAAUGAAUUAUGAGUCUAAUAAUUCCGGAAUAUUGAUGGUGAAUAUCACCUAACAUGUGAAAUAGAACCUAUGAUUUUAAGAGUAGUCGGAUUAUUGGGCUAAUAAAGAGCACAUAGGUUGUACCCAAACUUGAUGGCAGUGGAAUUGUUAUUUUGAUUUUUAAUACAUACAUAACAAAAGUUUAUACUCUUGAGUUUACCAUGCAUUUUUCUGCUUUAUCUGGUAUGAUUUAAUUGCCUCUUCCAACUUGUCAUAAUCUUAAAAUCAGUGAUUGUUUUCCCUUUCUUCCAUCUAAGCCUAGCUCUGGCAUCUCUCUUUCUCUAGCUCUCUGGUUUAUUUUUGUAUAUCUGUUUUAAUUUUCUGUUUUCUCCUAAUGAACUCUUCUUUUUAUUUAUCUUCAGAAUGUUGGAUGGGGAACUGUGGAAAUGGCUGAUGCCGAGAAACGACUUCUAGCCAAUGCCCUGCUAGACUUCUCAAAUGAGCGAUUUGUUCUUCUGUCUGAGAGCUGUAUCCCAAUCUAUAAUUUCCCAACUGUCUACAAGUAUCUUACAGGUUCUCCAUACAGCUUUGUUGAGUCAUAUGAUGAUCCCUCGCGUUAUGGUCGUGGACGCUACAGCCGUUGGAUGCGUCCUGAUAUCAAGAUCUAUCAAUGGCGAAAAGGGUCCCAAUGGUUUGAGAUGCAACGUAAGGUGGCCAUUUAUAUCAUCUCAGACACCAAGUACCUCAGACUUUUCAGGAAAUACUGUAAGCCUUCUUGCUACCCCGAUGAGCAUUACAUUCCAACUUACCUGAACAUAUUCCACGGAUCACUGAUGGCUAACCGGAGUGUGACUUGGGUUGACUGGUCAAUGUUGGGCCCACACCCAGCGAUGUACAAGAAAGAGAAUAUUACAGAACAAUUUAUACAAUCUCUUAGGAACAGUAAUGGCUCGUUAUGUUUGUACAAUGAGCAGAGAACAUCAAGGUGUUAUCUCUUUGCUAGAAAGUUUGCUCCUAAUACGCUGGAGCCCUUGCUUAAAAUCAGUUCAAAGGUGAUGGAAUUUUGACAAUUGACUAGGCAAUAUUUUUUUUAACUUUUUUAAUACUAUUUAAGCUUUUAAAUUUUCAUGGAGCUUUGCCGCAGCUCGAAUUUUUUGUAGGGUUGGGUUGAUCUGAUUGUUUAUGCCAUAACAAAGUGUACAGGUAAUACUUUUAUUGGCAAAUUUUGAAAGAAACUUUUUUGGAGGAAGAAAGCAUUAAUAUAGAAAAUUUUACAUCAUUUUUCAGAUUUCAUUGUACAAUCUUUGAUACAACCCAUUUGGUGUACUUGGGAUUUUAAGCUUCGUCAAAGGAUUUGAUUUCAUAAAUUGCUAUUGUUUCUGCAGUGCAAGAAUAUGAUUAUCAGGAUCUUCAUCACAAGCAUAAACUACUGAAAUAUGCUGGGAAUUGAUUUCUUUCUUGAUCGGUAACAUUUUUCCACGUUAUUGAUGGAAUGCAGCAACAUUUUUUCUUAGAUGAAUGGCGUCUUCCCCCAACUUUGACAUCGUACCUCAAAGUAGAAAAUGGCAAUUAAUUGGCAUAUAAAUGUCAAAUCAACCAAUCAUAUUUUACUUGUCAUAUCAUUUUGUAUAAGGUUGUUUGUCUAAUAUUUUGUGGCUUCAAUACAGGUUUACUGAUAGAUGUAUCAGAAAGUCAUACUGGGGCCUGAACCACCCAGAUCAACCUGCCCGAAAAUCACCCCAACAAACGCACACGGAGAUACUCGAAUUCUUGACCUAGAUAUCCAUUUAUAUAAAAACUUUUCAUGAAAAGCUAGCUAUGACGAAUUUUUGCAGAAGAUGGAAAAUUUCAGCCUGCCAAGGCCACAUUUUUUAGUGAGGCUAGGCAAAGGUAUUUGACCAUGAUCAGAUUCACACAGAAUUUACACAGAGAAUUAGCUGAAUGAUGAAAAUUUCAUGUUAAGAAGAUCAACCUAAGAAACAAAAACCUGCAAAAGGUCCAAAAACAAGAAAGAAUCACUCUCUAUAUCAAGCGUCAGAACCGGAAAAUAAAGUGACUGAGUUGUUGAAAGCUCAUCAAGAUAAAAUCAUUUUCUCAAUAAACAUGAAAUAUAUCAAGACAAAAGUUCUUAAGAAACAUAAAAUAUAUAGACUGCCCUAAACAUAACGUAUACUACCAGACAGUUUCCAUGGGAUUACCCAUAUGCAUCGAGUGUUUACACAAGGUAUACAGACAAAAAUGAUUACAGCCAAAUGCAUGGGAAAUUAGACGGAACUCAACUUUGACAGCAUCCGUGUAUUUCAUAAAUUCUGAUAAAACAAAAAGAACAAGUUUUAUCAUAUCUUAAAUUCCAGAUAUAUAGCAACCCUACGCAAUAAAAUGUGAGGAAUAAGUUAACCGAUGCCUAUAAAUAUUUUUUUUUUAAAAAAGCUACACUUACAAGCUGAGCACAUAAGUUUGAAGUAACAACAUACCAUUGCAUAAGAAAUUCUUAAUCAAUUAAGACAUCUGUAAUAAAUGUGUGAGAUCCAAGACAGAAGAAUAAUUAAUCUGUCACUUCACAUAGUUGCAAAACAUCUAUAUGAAGAGAGAAUUUCUUAGCAAAAACUACCUCAUUAUUACACUUGAUCAAAUUUUGCCAUUUUAGAACUGCAGCUGAAAAUGAUACUCAACAUACAACAAUGACGCAGCAAUUUGCUUGACCAACAAAGCAUAGCCUUUAGAAACCAGGCCAUUCCAUCUGUAACUUCAUGUACAUAAGAAUCAAGCUGUUGCCCGUUGGUGGUUUUCCUGCCAUUCAGGGGGUCCUGAUGGAUUCUGAUCUUCUUGAGGAGAUCCAACUGGUGGCUGCUCAGCUGCUUGAGACCAUGACUGCUGCUGUGCUGAUGUUUGAGGUUGCCAUGAUUGUUGCUGACCAGCCGUUUGUGAGGGUGCUGAUGGUGGUUGUCCUGUCCACUGAGCCAUUUUAUUUGGCUGAUGCCCUGACAUUUGCUGCCAUCCAAAGUGCUGCUGUUCACCCAUUCUAUUGUAUCCAGAAGGCUGCUGUCCUCCCAUUUGAUUGGAUCCAAAACCCUGCUGUCCCCACUUUUGAUAAGAUCCUUGAGGUUGCUGUCUUUCCAUUUGAUUGGGGCCUACAGACUGCUGUCCCAACAUCUGCGCGGGUCCUGGAGACUGCUGUCCCAACAUCUGCACGGGUCCUGACGACUGCCGUCCCAACAUCUGCGCGGGUCCUGGAGACUGCUGUCCCAACAUCUGCACGGGUCCUGACGACUGCUGUCCCGACAUCUGACUGGGUCCUGAAGACUGCUGUCCCAUCCUUUGAAAGGGUGAAAAUAGCUGCUCUCCUGCCAUUUUAUUAGGUCCAAAAGACUGCUGCCCCAUCAUUUGGUUUGAUCCAAAUUGCUGAUAUCCUGACAUUUGAGUAGGCCUGAAAGACUGCUGUCCCAUCAUUUGGUUUGAUGUAAAGUGUUGCUGUCCAGCCAUCUGAUUAGGGCCAAAAGACUGCUGCCCCAUCAUUUGAUACGAUCCAAAGUGCUGCUGUCCUGCCAUUUGAUUAGGUCCUAAAGACUGCUGUCCGGCCAUUUGAUUUGAUCCAAACUGCCGCUCUCCGGCCAUUCUAUUGUCUGCUGAAUACUGCUGUCCAGUCAUUUGAGGUGGUCCACUCGUUCGAGGGGGUGGAACAGGUGCAGCAUAUCCCCACCUAUCUGCAUUCAAAACUCUUUCGAUCUCCUCACCUCGACCAGCUUUCCCAAAAGUCUCGCGUACAAAAUCUUGCAGAGCAGGGGUAAUACCAACACCGUACUUCAUCAUUUGAUCAACUAUAUCCUUGCUCAUGUCAAAUAAACCUUCAUUGCACAACCCCCGGACCACAACAUCAUAUAUCAAGAAGUCGGGUUUAGGAUCUUUCUCUCCCAUUUUUGUUAAAAUUGGCGCACAUUCUGCAACCUUACCCUUGGUUAUUAACUCAUUAAACACCUUAGUCCCAAAACUCACAACCACGCGCAAACCGGACUCUACCAUCCUGUUAAACAAUUCCAAAGCAUCAUCAAUUCUCUCCACCUUCAAAUAUGCGUCAAUCAACGUCUUAAAAGUCGUUACGUCAGGCGACAAAGACUUUGUGGAUAUUUCUCUUAACAGCUUCUCUGCCUCGUCCAACAUCUCAUUCUCACAGUACCUAGCAAUAAUAUUAUUAUAUCCCGCAACAUCCAUUGCAAAAGGCUUGGAUUUUGGGUGUGUUCCUGCUUUCUUAAAUGUCUCAAUAGCUUCUGAAAACUUCCCAUGCUUAAAGCACUCAUCGACCAUGAUAUUAAAUGUAUCUGAAUUCACCGCCUGAAUAUUGGGUGGCUGAUGAUUAUCCAACAUCUGUUCAAACAAAGCUUGCGCCUCUUCUUUCUUCUCAUGCUUUAACAAAACCUCCAAAAGUGUAUUACAAGUGGCUGGAGUCAUCCUAAAAUUCCUCUCCAUCAAAGAUUUGUAUGACUGCAUCGCCUCCUUAUCUUUCCCCUGAUUAAACCACCGCUCCAUAAAUGUUGCAUUCACAACCCCAUCAUAAACCAAACACCUUUGUUUCAACUCAUCAAACAACUCGUUCGCCUUCUCCAAGUUCCCCAAAUUCAGAAACCCAGAUAUCAAAUUAUUAUAAACCAAUGAAUCCGCUCCUAACUGUCUACUCAACAUGUCCCUCAAUAAAUCCACAGCCUCUCCUAUUCUCCCAGCAUCAACAAACCCUUUUGUCAAAUGCCUAUAAGUAUUAGAACUAGGACCAACCGGCGCCGUUUCAAUAAUCCUUCUAAAAACAUUCAUCCCCUCAUCCACUUUCCCCUCAUCACAAUAAGUAUUAAUCAAAUUAUUAUAAGACACAAUAUUAGGCACAAUAUCAGCUUGAUCGAAAAAAUACUUAAAGAGAGCAACAGCAUCAUUAUACCGUUUCGCCCGAUACAUAGCCGCUAUGAUCGCAUUACAAGUGAACACAGUAGGACGAAUCCUGGAGAAAACAGCCUGGCGGGCCAAGUAGGAGGCGGCAUCGAGGUCUCCCGCACGGAUGAGGGACUGAACGCGAUUGUGGAGGUUGAGACGGGGGCCAACGAGGGCCGAGGUGGUGUCGGGGAGGCGAGGCGCAUUAGGGUCACGCGGUGGAGGCUGAGUUGGGUUGGGGCGUAUGGCGUGGAGAGGCGGCUCGAUGCGAAGCCGGCGUUUGCGGCGACGGCGUUCAGCUGCGGCUUCUUCGGCGGAGGAGAAGGCGUAGCCGCGUGCGGAAAUGGGAUUAAGGUUAAGGUUUGGGGAAUUGGGGUUAAGGGCAAGGUUGUGGAACUGGUGGAGGAGAGAGAAGGAGAGUCGUUGGUGGUGACGAUUGCUACUGCGGAGGAGGAGGCGGAGGAGGGGCAUUUUGGUAAAAUGUGCCUUAAACCCUAGAGAUUUUGAUUUGGAGUAGAAGAGAAAUGGCUUAAACCCUUGACCAUAGAGAUUGUUUCUAGAAAUGUGCUACCAGUCAAGAGAUUAGAGAAAAUAACUGUAUGAAUUUUGUGGGUUUUUUUUUUUCAAAUUUUAUAUUUUUUUUAUGAGUGUAUGGGCUUCAAAGAGUGGGUAAACAUAAUGGGCCUUAGAUCCACUUAGAAUAUUGACUCACUAAUUAGAUUAGGGGAUUUUAAAUAUAUAUAUAUUUUUAAGCUAAUUGAAAUUAUAUAUUUUAAGGAAGAUGAUGUAGUGAGCACCAAUGCUCACUAUCUAAUGAACAUUUAAAUAGGUGGUAGAUAAUUUUGUAAUUUCUUGUGAAUAGCAUUAAAAUUUUUAAUUAGUUAAACAAUAUUAUGUCGUAAAAGUGAGCAACUUCACCCACUAAAUCAAAACUUUACAUUUUAAUGAUUUAGUAGGUAGUAUUACUACACAUUAUGGUGAUCUAGUGUGGCACAAAGCACUAUUUUGGUAAAUCAAAACUUUACAUAAUUUACGUUGUGCUGGAAAAUCAUGAUCAUCAAGUAAGCAUGUGGCCUAUGUAGAUUGAUGUACAUAAUAAUAGUGUACACCUUAUCUCAUUAAAAACAUGUCUGUGUGUAAUAUAUUUAAUUUUUUUUUUUCCAUUGCUGUACUUUAAGUUAAAUUUAGCACAUUGGAUUAGAAUUAUCCAUGCAUUAAAGAAAAGAAAAUGAUUGUAAAGAGAAUUGGAAAUACAUGAAGGGGUACGGCAUUGCAUUCAAAAAGAAAAAUUAUAUUUACAAUAAUUCUCAACCCACAAAAUAUAUUUAUUUACAUUGCAUUAGAAUUCGACCACAAAUAAUCACUGAAACACAAAACCAAAGUUAAAAAAAAAAAAAAAAAAUGAAUGAAGCAACUAAAAGGAGAAAUCUGAACGAGUUGCCCCAUUUUUGGCAAAAGAAAUGACCAGCAUUUGCUAUGAAACAGCAGUCAAAAGUCUCAUAUGUCAUCCUAAAAGCUUUAAAAUAAGCAGUUCUGAGUUGUCUGGUGUCAUUACAGAAAGAAUUGUAUGCAAGGUAAUCUGUGCAUGCAUGAAGUAUCUGUGCCUGUGUACAUGUUUGAAGCAAAAUCUUGUUUGAUGCUUCGAAGUAUGCCCUAUAAUAUGUUUAUAGAAUUAAUGACUGGUUUGGUUUGUUGAUUGUCCAUAUGGAUCGACCCAACAUUUGUCGUCCUCUACCGCAUGUUUCCACCUAUUUCUGAAGAUCUGCAUUUCGAUGUAGGACUGUCUUCGGACCUAUAAAGAGAGUUUUGAGUAAAAACAUACCAAGAAUUUGUACGUAUGAAAAUUCAUGCACGUGCAUGGAAAGAGCAAAAUUUGUAGAAUCUACUUUGUAUUGAGCAGAAAAAAGCACUUUACAAAUACAAUAGCAAUGAAGGGAUCUUACCUCAGGCCGAUUAUCAUAUCUACGGGAUUGUGAUGGUGCCUGCAAUUCCACAGAGAACGAAUAUCCAUUAUGUACGGAUAAAGAAUGUGCUGAAAGGCAACUUAAGGUUCAAAAUACAUACCAAUGCAACAGGGUUUGCAAUUUGCUCUAGAUCAUCAGAAGCCUGUCCAACAGUGUUUAACUGCAUGAAGCAGAUGGUAAAAAGUGAGAUAACGGACAUGGGUCAGAGCAUUCUUAUUAUUCUAGCUUAGACAGAUCGUCAAUUUACGAUUAAGAAUUAAAUGUUUUAACAAUAUAAUAUGAGAAUCAACAACUCCUGAACCACUUCAGUCUCACGAUUCUGUUACUGAUGUGAAUUCAAGUACUUGCCUCAGGUUCUGUAGUGACACCAAGUGUAGGAAGACCAAGAUGAACAAUGUACUCAGAAUCAACUACGCCAACAUUUUUUGUUCGAUCACCCUGAAACAUAGUUAAAUGCCAUUAAUACAGCAGAGAGAAUGAGAAAUUGAAGUGAUAGGCUUAUAGAAAAUUACUUGUGCACAAUAGCCAAGUUGUAUAUCCAGGCCCCAUGCGUGGAUCAAGUCAUUCUGAUGGAGACAAAGUAAUUAGAGAACAAUAACUACAAAGUCUGAGCAGUAUGAAGAUUGCAAACAGAAUCUUGAUCUUCUACCUUCCAAAAGAAAACAGUUGCAAGAAGUUUUUAUACCUGAAUCAUAUACCAAGCACAUCUCCAAGCAGCCCUCGAAAACACAGGCGCCAUCAUUUCUACCCAACUGCAUAACGGAAUAAAAUAAUUGACAAUCAUUAGGAUGGAAUAGAUAAGUUAAAAAGGGCCAAAAAAAAAAAGGAAACAUAGAGAAAGUGACCGUUUACCCAAUGCAUGGAGGAGCAGUGCUGUAAUCAUCACACCUUCCACUACCUUUAUACUUGUACAUCCUCCUGUUUGAAAGUUAGUUUGAAAAAGAUGAACUAAUCAAAUUCUUGAAUAGUAAAAUUAUUAUCAAUCGAGGAAAAUGCCAGUACUGUGACGGUUACAAAUCUGCUGUAGACAGAAUUUAACAGCAAUAUCUGGAAUAUAAGCAGGAAAGCACAGCUCCGAAUGCAAGAGAUCACAAGAGAGACAAGGCUAUAAGUAGGACCAGUGAGUUUUGAUAUAAUAACCAAUACGGUCACCAAGGUUUCAGCAAAGAGAAGGUUAAAGCUUACGUGAAAGGGAAUAUUAACUUGAUGAUAAACUAAUUUGACACAAACCUGUGUGCUUUUGAAUUUCUUCGUCGUGCGGUAAUCGGAUGAUGUACCUCUGACUUCACAGGAUCAAGUGCUGGCUGAGAUAUCUCAAGCCCCUCAUCUUUAACAAUUGACAGAUAUCUACAAAAGGUUCAGUACUCUAAAUAUGAGGUCUAGCUAGUUCCAGUAAACACAAAAUACACAAAUAAAUACAGUUUUGUUUUGCAAGAUAAUUAAGAUUUUCAAAAUUUUAUGCAUGAAUUUUAGGUACAGAUUUUUGCUGAUGAUCACUUUAAAAAUAUAAAAGCUAAAAUGAAUCCAUGUCUACUUACCGUCUUGGAUUAAAAUUCUCAACACCAAUGUCUUCAUCCCAGAGGAAUAUAUAAUUAUACUCAGCAACAAUGUCUGGAUGCAAGAAACGUUUUGCAAACCACCUAUUACACCAGAAGGCAUAGUAAAAUUUAAAAAAUUACCCAUGAACAUACACAUGGCCCCCUCGUGUCUAGGAGAACAGUUUUUCUGAUAAAACUUAAAUACCAUUUUGUUUGAUUAGCUGCAGAUACAUGUAUGGCGCGAUCAGCCCACACUAAAUCUUUCCAUUCAUCCACAACACCAUCAUAAUGAAAAAGCAUCACAACAAAAUCUUUCGAAGGAAACUGCAGCAAGAAGAUGGAAAUCAAGCACAGAACUUAUAAGAUAAUUAUGAAAACAAAAGAGACAGCAGAAUAGGGGCCAAGACCUUUCUAACAAUUUGGUCAACUAUCUUCUUUUGCUUAAUUCCAGCUGCAAUGGCUAACAGGUUCAUUGGAGGCCUUUGAUUGUUCUGACACAAAACUAUGUAAUAUAAGCAUUAGGAAGAAAAGAAAAGAAAAAAAUUAUGAAAAUUCAAAUUCAUAGACCUCAGCAACAAACAGCUCAUGACUCACAGGAAAACGGAACUGUGUAUGAGUGAACAGAAUCUUAUUUGCCAUUUACUUAAAAAGCAAUCACAGAUAAAUUAAGUAGAUUUUGACUAUAGGUUAUGAGCUAUUAGAUUCUAAUGAUGGUCAUUCACAAUCUCACAUACAAGUUUUGAUGGGGAGCUCCAUAAAGGCCGCAUUUCCAGAUUUGAUGUUUUGGACACUAUUCCUUCUGGUAAUGCCUCAGUUCCUGGAAGCCUGCAUUGUUGAUUCUAAAUAGAAUAGAUGUGAAAAGAAAAAUGAAAUCAGAAAGGAAUUUAGAUAACUUCACGUGCCACUAGAAUAAUGGACUAAUGGUUAACCUUGCAAGUUUCAGGUUUUGCACUGUACAUGCUAUGAACAAGUCCCCAUCUCAUUAAUCUCUGCAAAAAAAAUUAGGGAAAUUCUACUUAAUUCAGACAUAUCUUGGCAUAUCCAAAUUGAUCCACUGAACAUCAGCAACACAACAACUAGCCCUUUGCCAUUACAAUCUGCAACAUACCAGUCAGCGAGAAUUUUAAUUGAAUAGAAACUCACUUCCUUGUUUUCCUUUGCAACAAAUGAACUGCCAAUGAAGUAAACACUACAAAUCAAAGCAGCGGCGAUGAACAGACUGCAGAGGCAUGACCUACUCGGUGGAUCUGAUAGAGCAGAAAUCUGAAAGGGAGAAGAUCCAUCAAUUAAAUUGAAUAAUUUAACUUUAUUUUUCAUUUUUCACUUUGAAAAAAUGGCUUCAGCUUGACAAUCCUCUUUCUGUAAUCUCCAUAACCAUCCCAUACAGCUGUGAAUGACUUAUAACCCAUUUUUUUCAACAAGAGUUAGACAGUACAUGUGCUCAAUUGAUUUCUUAAUUUUCCUAAUAUUUUCCUUCCAACAAAACAGUGUUUCAAAAAAAGACACUGUAAAAUAAAAAAAGUAAAAAACAAAAAGAAAACCUAUUUAGAUUUUUUUUUUCUUUUUCCCAAACACUAGGUGCCAUUACCAGUGAACAAAAAAUUUUAAGGAAAAAAAGGAAAAUUACAAUAUUCAUUAUUCGAAUUUUCCACUUGAAAUCUACACCGCCAGGCCCUAAGGCUUUUUCCCUCUAACAAAAUAGAGUAAAUUCAGAUAAUUGAAAAAACAAAAGUCCAAUUGGUUACUAGCAAUAAAACAGAAAGAUAAGCAUAUCUCAGCAAUCAAACAGAAUUAAAAAGCACUUCCCAGAAAUGGAAGCAGAAAGCACUUCUCAGCAACAAAACAGAGGAUGAUAUACCACACAUUCCAGCAACCAAAUAGAAGGAAAAAGCACUUCCCAGAAACCAGACAGAAGCAGAAAGCAUUUCCCAGAAACCAAACAAGAAGAAAAGCACUUGCCAGAAACCAAACUGAAGGAAACACUUCUUUUUUUUUUUUCUUUUUUUUUUGUUGGCUUUUAGACAAGCUCUUUGCUUUCCGCUAUAUUCAUAGUAUAAACGAAACAAAUCAAACAAAUAAACAAUCAAUCAAUCAUCAAUAAUCAUAUCUCUCAAGAGUCCUUAUUAACAUGCACACACACUCAAGUAGAAUCAAUAAAAGCAAAAACCAAAAAUAGAGAGAGAGUGGUCUUACAGAAUUGGUCGCCUUCAUCAUAGUGACAGAAGAACUCCCAAGGCAAGAAGCUUAUAGCCAGCUAGACCCAACCAACCAAACAAUUAUGCUUAUAACAACAGAAGCAGGUGCUAAUAAUAAGUACUUAAGGAAAAAAGUGCUUUUUUUAGUUUUUUUUUUUAUAAUUCCAUUUUUAAAAUAAUUUUAUUAACUUUCCUUUCUUUUCAUAUAGAGGAUUAGGAAGAAAAAGUGUACAGGUAAAGAAAAGAAUGAGAGAAAGUUGUUUUAGCAAGUAGAAAGAAAAGGAAUGGAAUCCACAGAAAGAAAAUGGAAAGGCAUCAUUACGUCCCCAAAACGGCGUCGUAACCACAAAUCAUAAUUCAAAAGCAAAAGCUAAUUUAAUUUGUACGGAAAAAGACAGGAUAUUUAAGACAGAGGAAGAGGAAGAGGAAGAGGAAGAGGAAGAGUUGUUGUGUUGUUUAUUGUCAUUUUGACUGCGGUUGCUGACUUGUGCCGUGUGCGUCUCCUCAUGUCGAAAUUGAAUUCUGUUUUGUCGUUUUGAGUUUUGCGAACACUACAAACUGGAAGAUGCCUGAGUUGGUUGUUUCAAUGGGAUGGGAAAUUAUUAUGAACUCCCUGACUUUUAAUGUUUUAGUGAAUAAAAAGAUAAUUUAUCUGUUUAUGUUAAAUAACUCCCUAACCUCUUCAUAGUUGCUUGCUUCGUCUCGUUAAUGUAAAUUAAACUACAUACGGCCGUCUAAAUCUGGUUCAUUAGACUAUAGGGAUUACGAUCAUAUGAUCUUAUUAUGUGAAUAGUGAGAUAAAUUAUCAGAAGAUUUUCCAUCAUAUGAUGUUAUUGUGUAAAUAGUGAGGUAAACCAAACCAAAUAAUGUAAUAUUAUUCUUAGAAACUAAAAAAAUUCAUCACUGACCCACUUAGUGACUUAAUGAAUUUCAUAUUAUGUAAUAAUAUCAUCUAGGAUAAAAUUUUUUUCAGAAUUCUUUUAAAAGUGAAUACCAUUUAUUUGUAAGUGAUAGUCAUUUUAUGUAGAUGUUAGGCUACCUAGUUUAGUUAGUAAAAUCUUUUAAGUUGAAACAAGAUAUUUAGAGUUGAAAUUAUGUUCAAAUAAGAGGAGAGAACAAUUGAAUUAAUAGUUACACUAUGCUUAAAUAAUAAAUAUAAUUAGUUUUAUAGAAUUAAGAUAAUGCUAGUGAAUCACACAUUCUUAACACACCUUCAAUCUCAUUCGCAAAAUAGAAAUUAUUAAUUUGGAUUGUAACUCAUAUAGUAACUUCUCAAAUAUUUUAUUUAAGUUCAUGUUUUAAACCUUUUUUUUUUUCAUUGUGCUUUCGCUAUGUUAAAGUUGCGUUGAGAGCGUGUGAGUAGCAUUUACUCAAGGGAUCUGGGAUCUAUUUGAUGAACAACGAGAUAUUACGUUUUUAUUUGUUAAAAUCAAAAUAGUUGGGGGUCAAUGAUAAAAUUCUUAUUGUUUAAUGGAAAGAGCGUUACACGGGGAGUGUGAAAACGUGGGAAAAUGAAUUAAAUUUGCCUUCGCGGGUGUAAAAUUUAUUUGAUACUCGCUUUAUUUUGAUGACACGUUUAACUUUGGGUAUAAUUAUACAGAGAUCCCCAUUCCUAACAAAAAUACAUUAAAAUCUAAGUAGUUUCAGUAAUCAUCAUUUAAGUUCCAAAUGAUAUUAUUUAGCUUUUAAUUGCCAUUGACAGAGACUGCCACAUCUUUUAAAAUGUCUUUUUUACUCUAACAAAUCCGUAAUUUUUAUCGACUUGGAAAAUUAUUUGGCAUUUAAAUCUUAACCAUCAUGAACUUGGUAAAUUAUACAAAAUUCAAUCAAAUUUAUUUUAGAUUUAUCGACACAUCACAUUUGAUAAAAAUAUCCACUUUCAUUCACAAAUUUAAUUUAAAAAAGAAUUAUUAUCUUUUUCUUUCUUUUGAUCAAGUACAUGUCUAAUGCAUAUUUUUGGGGUUCUAAUUUUUUUUUUAAAUAAAAGAUCUCCAACAAGAUUUUAUAAAUUUAAAGGAUGAUUUCAAUGAAAUUGAAUAAAGUUUAUAGCAGGGAGAGAUUUAUGAAUAGUUUAAAACCACUCUAAUAUAUCUUCAAAAAUCUAAAAGUCAAUAAAGUUGAUGACAUUUAUUUCGGAUUUGGUUGGAUUUUUAAAAUAAUAAAUUUGACAUCUAAUUAAUAUAUUCUAAAAAUUAAUUCUUUUUUUUUUUUCAAUAUAAACACAGUAUUAAAUGUUUAUCUUGUUUUAGUUGGCUGUACUACGAAUGGAUAAGAAUAAAGAGAAAGGAGAUAAUCAUUUCCCACAAUUAUUAGCAAAACAACAAGUCUCUAAUAAUUUUAUUUCCACUUUACGUCAAAAUAUAAGUAUCUUACCUUAAAUGGGUAAAUCCUAUUCAUACGUUUCUUUGUUUUUAAACACUCACGUUCCUUUAAAAAAAAAUUAAAAAAAUUAAAAAAAGAAAAAACACUUCAUGUUCAUACGUUUCUGUUUCAAACUUUUAUGACAAUUAUUGUUAAUUCAUCGAUCAUCACAUUAUUUAAUCCUUCAUACAAUUAUUUUAAAAUAAAUGUCAUAUUAUUAGUGAUACCAGAGUUGAGAUAUAUUUUUCCGACAAAGUUUUGUUGUGAGUUUAACUUUCUCUCUACUGUGUAGCCUUCUGUAAAAUGAUUCCUUGAUUUUGUCAAAAGUUCCCUUUAUAUUCUUUGACCUAUUGUGAAAUAGUAGCCCACUACUUUAGUAAGGACCGCUUAAAAUAUUUUUUUGAGAAAUUUAAAAGUAAUUUUAAAAAAUUAAAAGGUAAUUUUAGUGUUCGAGUAAAUUUUUUUAAAAAAUUAUUUUUAAUAAAAUCGCCUCAUACAACAACAGAUUUUGAAAACUAGAGAAUGAAUAGCUUAUCAAAUUUUAAUUUUGAGAAUCACUUUAUGGGUAAUACAAUUUCAAAUAAAUCAUAAAAAUCUAAAAUUAUCCUUAUUAAUUAGGAAAUAAAAUCAUUAAUUUCAAAGUGAAUAUUAUUAUUAAUUACAUUAAGAUAACUAAAUAGAAAUAAAUUAAUAAUAUAAAAUAUUUAUUGUAGUUAUCAAUUAUUUUAUGUACACAAUAGAAAAUAUUUUUUUAUACAUGUUUAAAUAAAUUUUAUUUAACAUUAUGCCUUAUCUAGACAUUUAAAUUUGUGCAGUAGUUCAACAAUAAAAUUUACUAAACACAUAUUAUUGAUUUUAAAACUCAUAGCACUUUUAAAAUAAAUUUUAUCAAAUGCUUAAUCGAUUCUCUCCACAACUAAUUGUUUAUAUUAGCAAUUAUUUUAAGAGUUACAACAUUACCAAGACCCUGUUCAAACCUCUACAGGCUUCUAGUGACUGAAUAUACGCGUAAUGCAUAUGAUUCUUUUGAAAAUAAUAAGAAUUGUCUUCUCAUAAGUCUAUUAAUAAGAUACUUAUAUUUCUAUUAAAAAAAUACUUGUAAGUCUAUUAACAAAAUACUACUAUUUUCUAUUAACAAGAUACUUAUAAGUCUAUUAACAAAAUAAUUUUAAUACAUCAUUUGACAAUUGUUGGGCUCACCUCGCAACUUUUAAAGCCCUUAAUUUGGAUGGCGAGCGUCUAGUUUUCCCGCGAAAAAUUUUUAGAGACAUUAAUUAAAAUCUACCAAUAACGACAUCGUUUCCAUCAUUUGUGGAGAACUAGCAAGAUUCAUUGCAAUUGACUUGACCAUGUACAAUUAACACAAUCAUCAUGAAGUUCUUUUCUACAAUAAAUUGCUGCUGCUUCAAGCAAAAUUUUAAAAUUAUCAAAUGCUUUUAAUUUUUGAAUUUUUUUAAUAUCGUUGGUUAAUUUUUGAACUUCUAAUAUUGUUAGUUAUAAAUAUUAGCCCUUAACAUUUGCGUGGAAAAUGAAUUGGCUAAGAACUCAAAAUAUUGCAGCAAAUGCUACAUGUACAGAGGUUCUCAAGGUACGUAAUGGGUAUUUAUCUCAAUUAUGCUCAUGAAGAGAGAGAUUUAGUACUAUAUUAGGCGGAAGACUUUCUUUAUUUUCCUUCUACUUUUUUAAUUUAUUUUCAUCUUGGAAAUGUUCUUUUGUUCAGUGCUCCCCAUAGAUUUUCCCCCCUAAUUUCCCCUAUCAUGCAUGCUUUUUCGAAGUCCAUUUCAUCUUACAUUAUUCUAAUUCUUCUUGAUCUCAACUAGCAGUUUGGCCGAAAAAUCUGCCUGUAGUCCAUGAAAUCUAGAAGGACUACAUUAAAAUAGUAUUUACAUUUUGGAUUGGAGUGAGAAUAUUGAAAAAUGUGGAUCCUAAGAUUGGGAGUGUGGAGUGAGAGUGAGAGUAUGUUGUUUACUUACACUGGAAUGAAGAUCAAAAUUCAAUUUAUGUGUUUACUUUGUCUUGGAUUAUGAUUAAACAGUUUUAAAUUACAAUUUUACCAUUAUUUAAAGAAUUAUAGUUUUUAAUUACAAAGUUAAUAAAAAUAUAUUUGAUGAAUAAAUAUUUAUUUAUUGUAUUUGUAAAUUUAUAAUAAUUAUUAAUAUUCUUAAUUAUGUACAUCAAAUUUUUUUAUUAAUUUUAAUUUUAAUUAUGAAAAUUAAAAAUUAUUGAUAAGGGCAUUAUGAAUGAAACAUUUUUACUAUUAACGUAGUACGAAAUUAAUAUUUUCUUAGAAUAAAUUAUUUCUUAUUAUUAAUUAUUAUUAUUAAUAUUAAAUAAAUAUAAUACUAUUAUUUUUAAAUAAAUAUAAUAAUAUUAUAUUUUCAACCAAAGAUAGUAUAUAAUAAUAUUAUUAAUUCUCUAUUAAUAUAAUGAUAUUAUUUUAAAAUAAUUUUAACUUAGAAUCAAUGCAAAUUAUUAUUUAGUUAAAUAUAAUAAUAAUAAUAUUUAUUUUAUUUUAUUAAAUAUAAAGUAUUAAAUUUAAUAAAAGGAGAGUAGAAAAUGAAGAGGUGGGAGUGGAUUCCCACUACUCCAACUUCUCCUCGUGGGAGUCCCACUUCCACUCCCCACUCCAAAAAUAAGUGGGACCCACGGAGUGGGAUUCCCAAUCCACUCUCAAAACUGUUGAUAAACACUUGAGUGGAAGGAAUCUACACUUUUCACUUCCACUCUAAAAGGUAAACACAACAUAAGCAUGCGGUCUGAGCAUAUUCUCUCUACAAAAGUGUUUGUGGUCCUUUACAAGGUUGAGAGGUUUAAAAUCUGCAACAAAACAUUGCAACAUAUGGUAGCUUUAGCCCCAAUGGGUAAGCUUUAUGUCAAUAGAACUUCUGGAGGAAAGUGACGAUGAGAAACUUAAGAAGAUUGAUAGUUAAGAGAAACAUAGUUUUGGUCGCUAGCUUCGAAAUAAUACAUUAUAUUCUAAAAUUGGACAUUUUGUAGUUCAGGUUAUAACCUCCGGAAUAUACCAUGCUCAUCCUAUGCAAUCAUUUUGCAUCAAAUAGUUGUGUUCUUCAAGAUUGGACAUCCUUAUACCUUUAAAUGGUCAAUUAAGCUCACUGAAAGUUGAGAUGGGGGAGAGUGAUCAUGCUGCAACUUUAAAAUGGACACUUGUGUCAGAAACAGUGAGAAACACAUUAUUUUUAACGUGGGAAUAAGCAAACCUGGGAGCGUCAAAAAAGAAAUGCUGAGUAAAGCUGGGAAUGAGCGAAGUUGGGAGAGUAAAAACAUGUUUCUGAAAUGAAGAUUUUUAUUCUGUCCGGUAUUCUCCAUGACGGGAAAAGCCUUCGCUGAAGUGAAAAUUAAAAAAAAAACUAGGUACUGUUUUAUUUCAUAUAAAUGCAUUUUUAUGAGCUUCAGUAACUUUUUUUAUUAUGAGAAAGUAAGCCUUUCUCUCUCUCUCUCUCUCUCUCUCUCUCUCUCUCUCUCUCUCUCUCUCUCUCUCUCUCUCUCUCUCUCUCUCUCUCUCUCUCUCUCUCUCUCUCUCUCUCUCUCUCUCUCUCUCUAUAUAUAUAUAUAUAUAUAUAUAUAUAUAUAUAUUAACUCGAAAUCAUAUACAACACUUCGGCUGGAAAUUCAUCCAACCAAACAACAUCAACCAUUUUUUGAAGAGCCAACUUAGCUAGAGAGUGAGCUAUACCAUUGCAAGAUCUAUUUGUGUGUUAAGCCUUGAAAUUCUGAAAACUCUUCUUAAUUUCCAGAAUUUCAGAGAUCACCCAUAUGAUUUUAGCCAUGCUGUUGACUUUGUUAUUUAUAAGCUCUACUACUUCAUGACAAUCUGAUUCAAGCAAUACAGAGGUUCCCCCCACUCUCAACGCAACCUGCAAUCCCCAUUCCAUAGCUGCAACUUCAGCCAUUGCCACAUUGCCAAAAUAUCUAGAAGUGUUAAUGGCAGCAGCUACACAAUUUUUGUUCCAGUCCCUGAUUACCCCCCCCAGCCUAGCUACAUGUUUCUCAGCAUUCACUGCAGCAUCUACAUUAACCUUUAGCCACCCAUUUGGAAGAGGAUGCCCUUGAUUUUCCUUACCAUCCUUUCUCUGAGUUGGCCUUAACCCAUCAUACUGUCUGGCAUUCUUAAAAGACUCCACUACUGAUUCAGCUCUUGCUAUUAAUCUGGCUGGAGCCUAUUGUUUCCCUUAAAAAAGAUGCUUAUUUCUAGCAUUCCAUAUCACCAAGAGCAGAGCUGCAAUUGACUCCUUCUCCACAUUUUUUUUGCUGCUUUGUCAUUUUUUCCAUCAAUCUAAUUAUAUCAUGGAAUUGACCUUCUGAAGGGCUCCCUUCUGCUUUGUAAAAAUUCUAGGCUUUUUUUGCCAACUUACAACCUGACAGAGCAUGAGCUAUUGUUUCCACUGAAUUGUAGCAAAUUUGACACAAUGGCUCUUGCAAGACUUUUUUCUUUUAAAGAUUUUCAGCCGUGGGAAGCAGGUCGUUUGAGGCUCUCCAUAAGAAAAUUUUUAGCUUCUCAGGAAUAUCUAGUUUCCAAAUUGUAUUCCAAUGAUCCGGAUUCUGGGAAGAGCAACUAGGUAAAUCUGGAAACUUCAUUCCUACUGCUAUUUGAUAACCACUCUUCACUGAGUAUUGGUCUCUUCUGUCAUAGUGCCAAAUAAGUUGGUCAUCUCUUGGUCUGAUCGGAAGGGGAAUUUGCAGGAUUGCUUCUACAUCUUCAAGCCUAAAAGAUUCUUUUAUCACAAUUUCCUUUCAGUGUUGUUCUUCAUCAAUUAAGUCUGUAACUGCAGUGUCUAUCCUCAAUUUUGGGGCUGAAACAGGUCUAAAUGUUGAGGGCUUAGGAAUCCAGUUGCUUGAGUAUACCUGCACCUUCUGCCCACUCCCUAUUCUCCAUGUAGCACCCUUUUGAAUCACAUGCCUUCCCCAUAAUAUACUCCUCCAAAUGAAAGAUGGCUUCGAUCCUAGGCCUGCUGUCAUAAAAUCAAAAUGCUUGAAAUAUUUGGCUUUCAUGACUUUGGCCAUCAAUGAGUUUGGGCUCUGAAUGAUUAUCCAUCCUUGCUUAGCAAUUAAAGCAUGAUUAAAACUUGAGAAGUCUUUGAAACCUAAACCUCCCCUGACUUUUGCUUGACUUAAUUUCUCCUACCAUACCCAAUGAAUUCUCUUCUUCUCUUUAUUUGUCCCCUGUUAGCAUAUAUGAGUAGAAAUGAUGAGAGCACCGUUAACUGUAUAAACAACAGAGCAAGUGAUUCCAGCUCAAGUGCUGACGUGUCACGUUAGUUAUACAUGUUGGCUUCCUUUGUAACAAACUCAUUUCAGUUGUAAAACAUAUUCCAGUAGCUUCAUUAAUCAGUUAGAUAGAUUCCUUUAAGCUACUAUAUAAACCAACUCUUGUAAUCAUUUUGAGUAAUGUUGAUUGAAUAUAAAGUCAUUGAUUCUAGUAUUUUCUCUGUUAUUUUCUUUCUCUUUCUAUCAUUUUCUUAUCUGCCAAACACAUUAACAACAUUUCAAACAUGGUAUCAGAGCCUAUGGCUAACUCAAAUCAAAGUUCACAUUCCUAUAAUUUUGUUACUCCAAUCAAAUUGGAUCACAACAACUUCAUGGUAUGGAGGAAUCAAGUUCUGGCUUCAAUCAAAGGAAACGGUCUGGAAGGUUUCAUCAAUGGAACUAAUCCGUGUCUGGACCAGUAUCUUGAUCAAUUCAGUGAAGCUUUAAGCUCAACACAAGGUGAGUCUAAAUCUAGAACUAAAAACCCUACUUUUGGUGUAUGGAUUAGAACUGAUCAGCUACUUUUAAGCUGGAUGUUCUCAUCUAUUCAAGAAAAUCUACUUACCUUAGUAAUUCAAUGUGUUUCCUCUCAAGAACUUUGGGAAACUCUCACACGCAUGUUGAUCGCUCAAACUCAGGCAAGGAUUAUGCCACUAAAAAUGCAAUUACAAACCUCUAAGAAAUGAUCUAUAUCAAUGAAUGCUUAUUUCUCCAAGAUGAAACGUCUUGCUGAUAGUUUAGCUAUUGCUGGAAAGCCUGUUGAACACAAUGAUCUGAUUACAUAUAUUCUAACUGGCUUAGACUCUCAGGAUUAUGAGUCACUUGUUACUAUUUUGCUUGCUAGAAGUGAUAAAAUGAGUCUAGAUGAAUUGUACUCACUGCUAUUAAGUCAUGAAAUGAGGAUUGAGCAAAAGAAAUGGAAGAUCAGUGCUGAUGUGAUUCAUAAUCUCUCUGCUAACAUUGCUCAAAAUAAUCAAAAUCCUCCAAGAAGUGGAUCUGGCAAUUCUGGUUUUUCGAGAGGAAAUGAAGGGUUUGGUAAUUUUAAUCAAGGAGGAAAUAAUGUCAAUCAUGAGUCAAAUAUAGUGUGCCAAAUUUGUUUCAUUCCAGGUCAUAGUGCUACAAAAUGCAGAAACAUAUUCAAUCCUGCAUUUGUACCUCAGAGGAAUUUCGGUAGAGGUAAUUUCAGACCUGGAUUUGGAAAUUAUGGCAGAGGCUUCAUUCCAAAUAAUUUUGCUCCAAGACCUUUUAAUGGCUUUGGAAGAAAUAAUAAUGGUCAAUAUGCUGGAUCACCAAGGGGUUAUGGUUUUCAAAGUGGAUUUCAAGGUCACGUUACUUAUCAAAAUUCUGAUGUUGCUGGUGCAAACUAUCAAUCAUCCUCUUCCUAUAACUCUCACAACUCUGGUUCUGAUCAUCCAGCAGCUUUUAAUUGCUUCAAUGGAACAACUAAUGCUUCUCAGUUCCAGUCAUCAACAAACUUUCAUACUGCUCCUUCCCCGGAGACUAAGGAAGAUCUGUCCUGGUACAUAGAUAAUGGAGCCUCUACUCACAUCACAGUUGACUCAAGUAAACUCUUUAAUAUGCACCCUUAUUGUGGCACAGAAUCACUUCUUGUUGGAAAUGGAAAUGCAUUAGAAAUUAAACAUAUUAGAUCUGCAGUGCUUGAUACACUGACAACUAAACCUUUACUUCUGAAUAAUAUCUUGCAUGUUCCAAAUAUCACCAAGAAUUUAUUAAGUAUUUCUCAACUUCUAGCUGAUAACAAUGUUAUUGUUGAAUUUGUUGGAACCUUUUGUUUCAUUAAGGCCAGGAAAACAGGAACUCUGUUACUUAAGGGAGUAGCUACUGGAGGCUUGUAUCAGAUACAAAAUUUGUCAAGUGAAGAUUCUCAAGUUUCUUGGUGUCAUAGUCAAAUAAAUAAACUUGUAUCAAUGUUUGCUACUCUCUAUAGUUCAGUCAAUUCUAGUCCCCUUCCUUUUAAAUCAUGUAAUCCAGCAGCUUUAACAAUGUCUGUGUCAUCAGUUGAUGUUGGUUUACUUCACAAGAGACUUGGACAUCCAGCCUCACAUACACUUCAAACUGUUAUUAAGACUUGUAAUUUGUUUGCUGGAAUUAAUAAAACUCCAAAAAUUACCUUCUGUGAUGCCUGUCAGUUUGCCAAGAAUCAUCUUAAACAUUUUGAUUCUGUCAUAACCAAAACAACAGCACCUCUACAGUUGUUAUAUGCUGAUCUUUGGGGUCUUUCACACAUCACUUCUACUCAAGGUUACAACUAUUACUUGUCAAUAUUAGAUGAUUACAGUAGGUUCACUUGGAUUUUUCCUUUAAAAGCCAAGUCUGAUUCAUUACAAGUUUUCACUGAUUUCAAAACCUUCAUUGAGAAACAUCUGGAGAAAAGAAUUAAGACUAUCCAAACAGAUUGGGGAAGGUAAUUCAGAUAAUUUUCUUCAUUAUUAACAGCCUCUGGUAUACGUGUCAGACACCCUUGUCCUCACAUUCACCAUCAAAAUGGUAAAAUAGAGAGAAAACAUAGACACAUUGUUGACAUUGGUCUCACCUUAUUAGCUCAAUCAAAUUUGCCACUCACUUUUUGGUGGAAUGCCUUUCACACGGUUGUAUUUCUCAUAAACAGAUUACCAACUCCAGUUUUGAAUAAUGUCUCAUCCUAUUUCAAACUCUUUCAUCAAACUCAAGAUUACUCAUUUCUCAGAGUUUUUGGCUGUGCUUGUUAGCUUUAUCUUAGACCCUAUAAAAAAAAAAGCUUGAAUUUAGGACUGAUAGAUGUAUCUUCAUGGGAUACAGUCUAAACCAUAAGAGCUAUCAAUGUUUACACUCUUCAGGAAGGGUAUAUAUAUCCAAUCAUGUAGUAUUCAAUGAAAACUCUUGCCCAUACCAGCCAGGUGUUGAUUUUUCUUCUAUUUCAAUGUCUUGUUCAAGUACAAACAAUACAGAGUCCACUCCUUCUAUACAAGUUCUCUCAGCACCUCCUUUAACAACAGAAGUUCCUGCUUUAUCUCCACUUUUAUCACAACAAAUUUCUGACAAUUCCACUUCAGCCUUAUCUCAAUAUUCUUUACCUUCCUCUUCAUCAGAUCACAGUUCACCAAAUAUUUCCUAUCAACAGUCACAAAAUUCAUCUCACUCAAACAUUCCAGUGCCUUUUGCUCAUGCCCAUCAGUUACCUAAUUUUUAGCCACCUGGUCAUCACAUGAUUACCAGGUCCAAAGCUGGAAUUUUUAAACCAAAAGCAUACAUCACUACACUUUUAGCCCAACCAUUUGAACUUAACUCAGUAACUCAAGCACUACAAGAUCUAAAAUGGUUUAAUGCUAUGCAGAAAGAGAUUAAGGCUCUUCAGGCCAAUCAGACUUGGGAUCUAGUUAUUCCUACAGCUUCUGUCAAAGUAGUAGGAAACAAAUGGAUUUUCAUAAUUAAAUACAAUUCAUAUGGGUCAAUCUCAAAGUAUAAGGCAAGAUUUGUUGGAAAGGGGUUUCAUCAAACAUAUGAGAUAUAUUACAGUGAAACUUUCAGCCCAGUAGUUAAGGCUUCAACAGUGAGAGUGGUAUUGAGUUUAGCAGUGAUGAACAACUGGAUGAUAAGGCAAGUUGAUAUUUAUAAUGCCUUUCUCAAUGGCAUUCUUGUUGAAGAUGUAUAUAUGGCCCAACCAGAAGGUUUUGUGGAUCCAGUAAAGCCUCAUCAUAUAUGCAAAUUGAAAAAGGCUCUGUAUGGUCUAAAGCAAGCUCCAAAGGCAUGAUUUGACAGGUUCAAAUGUGCUAUGAUAUCUUAGUGGCAUUUUGAUAAUUCAAAGUCAGAUUCCUCACUAUUUUACAGAUGGGAUGCAGGUGAUAUUCUACUGGUCUUAGUCUAUGUUGAUGACAUUAUCAUUACAGGUUCUAAUCCUAAUAGUGUGUUGAAAGUGAUCUCAAAUAUGCAAGCUAUUUUUGCUCUUAAAGAUUUAGGAGAGCUUAGCUAUUUUCUUAGCAUAGAGGUCACUAGAAAUAAGACAGGCCUUCAAUUAUCUCGGAGCAAAUAAAUAGUUGAUUUGCUGAACAAGUAUAAAAUGAUCACUUAUAGUCCAGUACCAACUCCCAUGAUCACAUCUCAUUCACUUGUUAAAAACUCAGGAGCUAUUAUUUCAAAUGCUUCUCAGUACAGGAGUGUUGUAGGGGCUUUGCAGUAUGUGACUUUAAUCAGGCCAGAAUUAGCUUUUUCAGUUAAUAAAUUGAGUCAAUUCCUCUCAGUUCCAACAGAAGAACAUUGGCAAGCAUGUAAGAGGAUACUUAGAUAUUUGAAGGGAACAAUUCACUAUGGUUUACAAAUUUACUCAACUGGAAGUCCGCAUAUGCAAAUAAACUGUUUCAGCGACUCUGAUUGGGCUUGUGACAGAGAUGAUCGAAAGUCAGUAGCUAGGUAUGCUAUGUUCCUUGGACCUAACCUUGUUUUAUGGUCUUCAAAGAAGCAACACGUUGUUUCCAAGUCAAGUACAGAGUCAGAAUAUAGAGCCUUAGCUCUGACAACAACUGAAGUUAUGUGGAUAAAAGGGUUACUUGCUGAGUUGAAGAUCAAAUUGAUCAUACACCCAUUAUGUGGUGUGACAAUCAGGGAGCAAUAUCUUUGGCUAUGAAUCCAAUAUAUCAUGCCAAGACAAAACACAUUGAGCUAGAUAUACACUUUAUUCGAGAAAAGGUACAAGCUAAUCAAAUUAAAGUUAACUAUGUGCCUAGUGAAGACCAGGCAGCAGACAUAUUCACAAAAGCUUUGGCCUAUGGACAAUUCAAUUAUCUUAGAAGCAAGCUAAACAUAUUUCCUACACAGUUCAGCUUGAGGGGGGAUGUUAGCAUAUGUGAGUAGAAAUGAUGAGAGCAUCGUUAGCUGUAUAAACAACAGAGCAGGUGAUUCUAGCUCAAGUGUUGACGUGUCACGUUAGUUAUACAUGCUGGCUUCCUUUGUAACAAACUCGUUUCAAUUGUAAAACAGAUUCUAGUAGCUUUAUUAAUCAGUUAGAUAGAUUCCUUUAAGCUACUAUAUAAACCAACUCUUGUAAUCAUUUUGAGUAACGUUGAUUGAAUAUAAAGUCAUUGAUUCUAGUAUUUUCUCUGUUAUUUUCUUUCAAUUUCUAUCAUUUUCUUAUCUGCCAAACACAUUAACAACAUUUCAAACAUCCCCCACCAAAAUCUAGCCACCGCUUUUUGAAUGUCCUCGCACAAUUCUAAAGGAAUCUUGAAGACACUUAUAGAGUAAGUUGGGACAGCUUGUGCAACUGCUUUGAUAAGUACCUCUUUGCCCCCACUUGAAAAGAACUUGUGUUGCCAACUUUGGAUCUUGUUCAACACUCUGUGCUUUACAUCUGUGAAGAAACUUUUGGCCUUCUUUCCUAUCAUAGAUGGAAGCCUUAGAUACUUUUCAUGGCGAGACACCACCUCAAGUUAGAAAAUUUCCUUUAUUACCGUGGCUCGAUCAUCUCUUGUAUUAUUGCUGAAAAACAUGGAGGAUUUUUGGUAGUUGAAAAUCUGCCCCGUAGCUCUGCCUUAGCACUCGAACAGCUCCUUAAGAUAGUGACAGUCCUCCAUUGCUGCUCUAACAAAAAUUAGGCUGUCAUUAGCGAAUAAAAGAUGAGAGAUCAUCGUAUCUUUCCCAAAGCAAAGUCCCCGGAUACGCUUUUGUUCCUCUGCUUGCACAAGGAGAUUUGAGAACACCUCUGCACAUAAUAUUAAGAGUAAGGGGAGAGGGGGCAUUCCUGCCGAAGGCCUCAUAGAGGUUGAAUCAGCCUUGAGACCAUUCCAUUGAUUACGAUAGAAAAUGAUGCUGUGGUAAUGCAAUUCAUAAUUAAAUCCACUAAUUUACAGGAGAAGCUUAGCUUUAGCAUUGUGCUAUUCAAAAACUCUAACUCCACUCUAUCAUAAGCCUUACUAAUAUCUAACUUAAGAGAUAUCCACCCAUGCUUUUUUUCUUUUCCAUGCCUAAUCUUAUGCAAACAUUCAUAACCCACAAUGAUAUUAUCGAUAAUCAACCUAUCCAGGAUGAAAUCACUUUGGCAAGGGGAGAUUACAUGAUUAAGCACAUUUUUCAGCCUAUUCACAAUUGCUUUCGCUAUAAUCCUAUAUAUGACAUUGUAUAAGCUUAUAGGUCUGAAAUCGGUCACCCUAUGAGGUUUAAGAAUUUUUGGAAUCAAGACUAUAUGAGUGUGGUUUAAUGAUGCAACCGAACCGUUACCAUUUAGGAUGUGAAGGCAAGUAUGGACCACACCUGAUUUUACAGAUUUCCAUUGCUUUUGGAAGAAAAUUGCUGGUAAUCCGUCUGGGCCCGAGGCUUUGGUUGGGCACAUCUGAGAAAGUGCCGUUGAUACCUCUUCCUCUGUGAGGCUCAUGUCGAGCUGCUCGUUCAUCUCAGCAUUUACUUUUACUUCCAAAUUUGUUAAGGCCGCCUCAAUUUGCAUCUUUGAUGGGCUGGAAGUUGCAAAUAGACUUGUGAAGUAUUCAUGGAAUUCUCUCUCAAUCUUCUCUAUGUCUUCAAUCCAGACAUUCUCCUAAUACAAGAUACCUUUUAUCCGAUUCUUUUUUCUCCUUGCAAAAACUUUAAGGUGAAAGAACCUUGUAUUCUUGUCCCCUUCUCUUAACCAGUCAGCUCAGGAUCUUUGCUUCCAAUACACCUCUUCAUAUAGCAGCAAAUUCACUAUCUGAUUUUCUGUCUUUUUUACCUCAUCUGCCUUUUCAUAAUGCUGAAAAUUUGUCUUCAUGUCAGCUAGAUUUUUCUUUAGAUUUUUUAACUUUUGCUUUUUGCCCUCGAAUUUCUUUUUACUCCAUGGCAACAAGUAGGCCAUUGUGUUCUUAGAAGCCCUUUGAAAAGAGUCUACUGAAUUCCCCUCCCUCUAGCUAUUCUGAUACAUCCACUCCUCAGAAACAAUUCGUUUCAUUCUUCAUAAUGACUCUACAUGUCCUCAUAAUGCAUUAUUUGGUUAACCUUUCUGUUUCAACCCAUAAAUUUUUUCCGUUCUUGUAUCUCCAGCAUAAUAGGGGUGUGGUCCGAUCCCCAGGCAUUCAAAUUUGUUUCAAUUAGAUCAUACAAGCUGCUCUUUCAGUCCUUACUUCCCAAAAACCUAUCAAGCAUUUUCUCCACAAAAUGUGGCAUGAACCUUCUAUUCGACCAAGUGAAAAGAUAUCCCAUAUACCCUAAAUCUUCUAAGUUGCAAUCGUUUAUAGCCUGUUUGAAAUCAACCACCAUACUCAUGUUUCUUUCCCUUCUCCUAAGUUUUUUCAUUUAAAUUGAGGAUCUCAUUAAAAUCCCUGAAACACAGCCAUGGAAAAGCAAACCAACCUGCCAAUCUUCUUAGUAACAUCCAGGUGUGUUUCUUCUGAGAACCUUCUGGAUGGCCAUAAAUCCAUGUACAUCUCCAUUUCAUCCCAUUUGCUCUAUUCAUGACAACGUCAAUGUGGUGGUUUCUAUACGAAGCAAGAUUCACAUCCACUUCAUUGCUCCACAUUAAAGCCACCCCCCCAUUCCAUUCCUGCUUACAUUAAAAUAAUUGUCAAAUCUCAUCUCUUUACUCAUAUUAGUCAUUUGCACAGGUUUCAAUUUCGUUUCACAUAUAAAUAAAAUAUGAGGCUUGUGCUCUCGGAGAAUAUCUUUUAAAGUCAGGAACAUCCGAGUAUUCCCCAAACCUUGAACGUUGCAACUUAUGAUCCUUAUUGUUGUCGACGGGGCUAGAGACCAACCGCAGCCAAUACUUCUUUUCCAGCUACAACUUCUACCUCUGCCACCUCCAUAGCCGUUAUGUCCCGACUUAGUUUUAGUUUUGCUAAGGGGGAAAUACAAGUCACCUGCUUUGAUGAACUCUUGUUUGGACUUGUAAGUUUCAAUUUCUUGCUUUUUGGGCUAGUGGUAGUUUGGGCGUAGUUGGCCCUCUUGGAAUUCAUAUUUAGCCCUUUUUUAUUUGUCUACUUUGUUGUGCUUUGGGCCUAGCUCUUCCAUUUCCUCCAUUUGAACUUGGGCUGUUUUGAAAAUGGGGCACUAUCCACUACUUCUUCUUCCAGAUUCAUUUGCAUUGAGUUGGGUUGCUGUAGUUCUAGGCCCAUAAGCGAGAUUUAGCUCUCCAUUUUUCCCUCCAUAUUUUUGCUUUCGUUUGUAUUUCCUCCCUUUGACACAAUCUUCCAGGUCUUUUCUCAAGUUCCGUUAUGUCUGGCUAUUUUUUGCGCACCAUUUGAUCUUUUUUCAACUCCAUCCCCUAUAUCAUUGAUGGUUUGUCAAUGAUCUCUCCCACUAGCUUUGACUUCGGUGAUGGACUUCUUUUAUUUUCAUGACACUGCGCUGACUCGGACCUAUUUUCUUUUAUCAGAUUUGAUUGUUGAUGAUGAAUGUGCUCUGUAUCCCCCGAGUUUUCCUUUCGUUGUUGUUCACUCCUAUCCUUAUCCUUACCCCUUUGAAACUUUGUUCGGUCUGCUAACGGGAUGGCCUUCAACCAUGCCCCAUAUGCCAGAUUUUCUUUGGGUUGGCCAUUGUAUUGUGCACACUCCCGGUAUUGAUGCCCGAUGAAACCGCAACAAAAGCAAAAAUCUGGUAGCUUCUCAUAGACUACACCCUCCACUAUUUCCUUCCCAUUUUCUUGUUAGAUCCUAACAACCUUCUUCAGCCGCUUCGUGAUGUCUAUCGAGAUUCAGACCCGUAUAUAUUCUCCAAAGCAAUCCACGGUUGCAUCUCUGGCUACAUCUUCUACUCUUCCAAUUUUUGAAGCAAUUUCCCAUAUAGUGUUUGUAUCCAUGCACAUCAAAGGUACAUUAUGUAAUUGAACCCAAAAAGAGACGUGUGAGAAUGCUUGUUCAGCUACAUUUCCUAUCCCCCUUAGUUCCUUUAGUUCCUCCAGCACGAUGAGGGCACGAUCGAAGUGCCAUGGCCCUCCUGUUAGUACCUUUUUUUUGUCCUCUUCUAUUGAGAACUUAAACACGAAGAUUUUUUGCCGCAGAUUUUCUACCUUUACUGACCCCACUGGGCGCCAUGCUUGUUGUAAUGCUCCUUUUACCCCCCUCAUGGCUUAUACCUCUUGUUGUGAGUAUUUUCCCCACCAAGCAGCCCAUUGCUAUCUUGAUUCCUUUUGCCUUCAUGUUUCCCCCGUACAUGACUUUGUCCUCUUUUUCCUCUUCCAGCAUUAUAGCACUACAUUUUCUUAUUAGUUCGUCUGUUUCCAUGGCUAAAAAGGUACUGCUUACCUUGAAUGCCGUAGCAAAGAGCUCACCAACCCCUCACUUCUCUUCCUCUCUUCACUUUAAGAGUUAUGCCUAUAAAAGAUUGAUAAAGAUUGAAGAAAAAACAAAGCUAUAAUGAUGCUCGACUAGCGAGCAUCUCACCGGAUCAAACAAAUCCGAUUUUUAACUCCCAUUCGGUGUUUUCUCAAAACAGAGAGAAAACACUUGAAGAGAGAAAACUAGCAAGAUAACAAAUUGUCUAACUGAGCUUCAGUAACUUGGAUGGCAAUUUCUUUAAACUUUUAUAUUGUCUAUGCGUCGUACAUGAUACUAAUUUUUCACCUAAAUUGGACUUAUUUUAUUUAUUUCGUUUUUUAUAUUCAGAGCAUUAAAAGAUUGUGUACUAAAUCGAGGGAAUAUUUUCUAUCUAGAUGCCAAAUCUCGGGUUGCUACCAUCAAGCCACAGAUAUGAUGGCUUCAGUAGAGCUAUUGCUUCCGAUAGAGGUUUCGACGAGCGAAUGGAAGUGCUGAGUUACGUGAUCCGUGUUUUUUACCGCCUUGUACUAAUAAUGUUGUCUGAGUUGGUCUUUAUUGUGCUUAUUUUUCAUAAGUGUUGCUUUUAACUUGUUUGUUCAUCUUUCUAUAACUAUAAGUUAACACUUCAAAACAACUUGAAGCCAUAUGAUUCAACUAUUGCAACCCUUUCAACUGACUGCAGCAAAGCAACCCUUUGCUGGAAUUCUAUCUCAGAAAAAAGUACUAUGUGCCCUUUGCAUUCACUAUGUCCUUGUGGCUCUGAAAUUAUGUGAAAUUUGAGGAAACAGAACUAAAAUUAGACAGUUAGUGGGGAUGUAAUGAAAAACACUAUUGUUAAGAUCUUCUGGAAGCACAUUUGGCUUAGGAAUUUAUUGACGAAGCUCUUUAGACUUUAUAUUCAUGUAUUAAUUAGUGGUUAAUUAGUUUAAAAAAAUAAAGAAUUUACAUGUCACAAGAACCUUUUCCGUGAUAGCAAGACUUUCUUGGCAACGCCAAUCUAUAAUACAGUGUUGCAUUCCCUUGUUGAAGCUCAGGAAGUAAAUGUUCCCAAUGAAUUAUCUACAGUGUGCAAUUGCGGCUCGAUGAGUUGGAGGUUCAUAUUUAAAUAUAUGAAAUCUUGUGGUAUCCCCCCAAAUGCUGCAACUCACAACAUAAUGAUUGAUUGCUGUAGCAUUAUAAGAUGCUUCAAAUCUGCUUCUGCAAUUGUUUCCAUGAUGGUGCGUGAGGGGUUUUAUCCACAGACAAUGACAUAUACUGCUCUUGUAAAGGUAUCCUUUUACCAUUACAACUGAUGCAUUAGCAUUAGGUCUUAUACUGCGUUAUCUUAUCCCGGUCAAGAAGUUGAAUUGAGAUAAAAAAAAGUUACAAUGACUGGUCUCAUUACUAGUCGUUGAGCAUGUUUUAUCUCAGAUUCUGCUGGAAUAUGGAGAUUUUGAUCAAGCCUUAAUAAAUCUGUUGGAUCAUGUUACCGCAGAAGGGAUUCAACUAGAUGUUACCGUGGUUUCCACAACAUUGCAAUCGAAGCAUUGUAGGUGCUAAGAAGAAUUUGGCACUUUAGACUAAAAGGGAUCAGAAUUUGAGGAUUUCAUCCUUGCUGAAGAUUCGGAAACUGUGUUACGAAGACUCCAAUUCUUCAAAGAUUGCAAUCAGAAUCUUACAUUUACAGUUGCUCUUUAGCUGUAAAGAUGGUGUGCUACACUUGGGUCCCAACUUCUUGGUCACCUGAUCAAAGCCUUUGGGCAAGAAGACUCUCAACUAACUCUGACACUAGACAAAAAUGAGUCUGCUUGAUCGAUUAGGGAUGGUAGGUAUGAUUUCUUUCACCAAUAAACGCACCCAACCCCGUAAACAAUUUUGUUUUCUAGAGCAUUUUUAUUAUGAGAAGUUUUAGGCUCCGUACAGUAGUAGUAUAGGCUUCAAACAGAAAUUCCCAGCAAUCUUACACUAGGUAAUUGUUUCCGUACCAUUUAUUUGCUAUGCUUUCUUAACUACUAGGUCGGUUAAUCUUAUAAAUCAAAGUUUUUUAUUACACUUUUCUGAUUUGGUGUUACGAGAUGCAAGUUGGUAAAUGUAAUGAAAAUCCAUGUAAUGAUUUUUUUAUUUUUUUCACCAAGUUUGUACGUAGUACUAAUUGGUUAAAGUCGUAACAAUUUGUCGAUACAAUCUUUCUUGUACAUAAAACUUUUACAUUUGUGCCAAAUUGUCAUCACAGUUACUUCUAUCUAUAAAGAAAGCUUGUGAUACUAUAAAAAGGUUGUUGAAGCACAUAAUCUGUUUCAUGAGGUCUUAGUAGCAAUAGUUGAGGUUAAUUGCAAAUGCUAAGAUUGGGUCACACUCAAAAAAUUACUCUUAUACGAUCAUUAAAUACCACUCGCUUAGGAGGACUAUACAUUAUUAUAUAGAAAGAAAAUUUUUAAAAGGUUUUUUUUAAUAAUAUUAGAGAUCUCAACUAUUAUUUCAGAAUUUAAGUUUCAACUAAUGUGACGAAAUUUCUAUAAUCGGCAUAUCAUAUUUGUCAAUAAUAUUUCAUUAUUAUUAUUAUUAUUAUUAUUAAAUCACCCUUUAUGAUAAAUAUAGGAAAAGGACACUUACACCUUAAAGUUUGAAAAAAUAGUCAUAUAGACUUCCGAAUAAGGGACACAAAAAUCCCCUUUAACUAUAAUACCCUUAAUGGAUAAUGAAUAAAAAAUUUGAUUUUAAAUUUUAAUAAAUAUAUAUAAUUUAAAUAGUUUAAUUUGUCUAGUAGACAAAUAAUAUUAGAAAAUUUCUUAAUAUAUAAAAUGAUUUUUAAAAUUUAAAUUAUUAUGUUUAUUUUAAUAAUAUAUUUGUAUUUAUUAUAAAAUUUUUAAUUAAAUCUUUGGGUUAAACAUAUUUUUUAAUUAAUAAAAUACAUCUUAUGUAUUAAUAAUAUAAAAUUAUUUUAUACAAUAUCUAAUUUAAUUUAUAUUUUUAUAUCUUUAUUUUAAUAUUACGUUUCUAUUUAUUAUAAAAUUUAGUGUAAUAUAGUAUAAGAUUGUAAAGUAUUAAAAUAUUUUGAAUAUUUAAAUUGUUUAAAAUGUAUAUAUUAUUACAUUUAUUUUGAUAUUAUAUUUCUAUCUAUUAUAAAACAUUUGAAUCAUUUUUUUGAGUUAAUAGAGUCAAAGGGUAUGUUAGUUAAAAGGAGGUCUUAAUGUCCCUUAUUGGGAAUAUGAGGGUCUAAAUGACCAUUUUUCCAAAUUUUAGGCGUGUAAAUGUCCUUUUUUUUUUAUAAAUAUUGAUAACCAUUAUCUUGCGAUUCAAAUGCCCGUGUUGUAGUUAUAAACGCCCUAACAUUACUUAUCCAAACUUUUAAUCCAACGCAGACACACUCUAAAUGCGAAAAAAAAGAAAAGAAAUCUGCAACCUUUUGUAUGUCAUGCAUAAACUCUUUAUGCAUAACAUCUAUAUGGUGCACUCCAAUGGACUGAUGAUGAAUUUCUCAAUACUUAAAUGGUUGUAUUUAGGGCCAGUUUCAUAAUAUUGUAGUUUUUAAAAUAAUUACAGUUAGCCGUAUUAUAGAAAUAAUCAAUUGUAAAAGAAAUCAGUUAUAUAUUUGGUAAAAUUAAUUUUGAAAAGUACUAUGAAUUUUAAAAGUAGUUGUAUGUAUUUAGUAAAUUUUACUAUUAAACUAUUGUAAGAAUAUAAAUUACUAUAUUGGACAUAAUGUUAAAUACGAUUUAUUUGAACAUUCAUAAAUAUGUACAUAAAAUAUUUGUUAUUGCGUACAUAUAAUAAUUGAUAAUCAAAAUAAAUAUUUUAUAUUAUUCAUUUUAUUUUUUAUUUUGUUAUCAAUAUAAUUGAUAAUAAUAAUCUAAAGUUAAGGAUUGUAUUUCCUAAUUGAUAAGAAUAGUUUUGAAUUUUUACAAUACAUAUAAGGAUAAAUAUGAAAUUUUAUUAAGUAUAAAAAUGAUUCAAAAAAUCAAAAUUUAAAAAGCUAUUCCUUCAACUUUUCAAAAUCUACUAUAAGAUGGAGUGAUUUUAAUAAAAUGAUUUCUAAAAAAAAUUAUCAAACACCAAAAUUAAUUUUUAGACUUUUAAAAUUACUUUUGAGUAGGGGUGGACAAACAGUUCGGUUUUUUCCGAACUGAACUGAACCUAAACCAAACCUAAAAAAUUCAGUUCGGUUCAGUUCGAUUCUAUGAGUAAAAACCAAAUGGUUUUAAAAUUAUGGAACCGAUUGGUUUUUGUUCGGUUCGAUUAAAAAACCGAACCGAACCGAAAACCAAUCGAUUCAAUUUGAUUUAAUUAUAAAUAAUUUAUUUAAUUGAAAAUAUAUAAACCAAAAACAAAUCUCUCAAAUCUGAAAUCCCUAACUUUCGGUUUUUGCAACCCAUUGCCUCCCUCUCCUCUCCCACUCAUCUCUCACGCCUCCCUCCGUCGCCUCCAACCCGCGCGUUUCUCCCUCUCCACACGACGCUCCUCCCUCUCCUCUCCCACGCCUCCCUCCGUCGCCUCCAACUCGCACAUUUCUCCCUCUCGACAUGGCGCUCCUCCCACUCCUCUCCCACGCCUCCCUCCGUUGCCUCCAAUCUACGUGUUUCUCCCUCUCCACACGACGUAGAACUUCAGAUCAGCCCCUCUCGGCUUCUUUCUCGUAAGCGUCUCUCCCUCACGUCAGCUCAGCCCCUCUCUUCCUCGCGUGCACGGCUUCCUAGCAUAGCCCCUCCCCUCAAGCACGGUGACGCCGUCGUUUAAUUCCUAGAUUUGAUGCAUGUUUUUUAUGACUUUGGUUUUGGCCUUGUUAUAACAGGUAUUAUUGUUGGGUGUAAAUUAUAUAAUUAGUUGAAUAUGGGCUGACUUAGGCUGUGUAAAUAGAACUAUGAGCAACUUUGUUGCCAAUAUUUUGAUAAAGAAACUAAGCGUUGUAAAUGGUAGAAAAAAGUUGCUUUCUUUUGUUGGGGCCGUGUCUGUUUAUUAAGUUAUUCGAUUGUUUGAAUAAUAGAAAGUGUUCUAAAUGUGAUAAGUUUUCUAUGUUGGACAAGUGGAACAUCAAGUCUCCUUAAUUCUGAUUGUAAUGAAGUGUUCAAAGAUGAUAAUUAAUGUGGAAUAUUCCGAAAAGACACUGAUUGAAGCAUAUUUGGUAACACAUGACAUUAUUUGAAGUUAGUUUGGAAGGGAGUUUGCUUAGUUUGGAAGGGAGUUUGUUGCGUUGUGGAGAAGAAACAUCAGUUGAAGCAUAUAAAGAGACACCGGGAAGUUGAUAAAAUUAGGAACCUAAUUUUUUUCCACACCCCCUCCGCCCCUUUCGCCACUAUACAAUCAAAUAUAGUUGAAAAAUCCGAACCAAACCGAACCGAAUUUAGGAACCGAACCGAACCGAACUGAAUUAUUUCGGUUCGGUUCCUAUAUUCGGUUCGAGUUUGGUUCACACUCUUAAGACUCGAUCGGUCCGAACCGAACCGAAUCGGAAAAUGCCCACCCCUACUUUUGAGCCUCCUAAAAGCAAUCCCAAACAGGAAUUUAGUUAGCUUGAUUAGUUACAAAUUUGAGACCUAAUUAUUAGAAUAUUAUUGUAUUUAGUAGGGUGAAGGAUGCCAGUGAGUUGCUUGUUUUUGACAAACUGAAGAACACUUUGCAAGUAGUAUGUCAAGUGGUAUUUAUUUAUUGGAUAUACUAUAUACCAAUACCAAAUGAAUGAGUAUCCUCCUUCGAGAUGUACAAAAUUAAAGUACUAUCAGAGAAGUGUAGAGUUAUAGAUCCAUCCAUCCAUACAUUUUUAAUAGUUACCACUAAUUUAAAAAAGGGAUUAGAAUUCAAUGCUGAAUUGAGUCUGAAUCAAUGGUUCAAACUUAUUUUGAUUUUAUACUUUUUCAUUUCACCAUGUUGAUCAUUUACUAAUUUAGUGUUCAACAAAAAUUCAGCUUAACACUAAAUUUAUGUCAUUAAAAAAAAUUAAAAAAAUUGCAAUUGUACGUGGUUUUAUUUUGUGGGAAUCAUAUGUUUUCACAGUGAAAAAUUCUAUGCACUGUACCAAUAAAUUCCAUCUUAAUCCCACAAAGGCAAAUUCUUGGGGCAAGUUUGUUAUUAGUUCAAAAUUUAGGAUAAUCAAUUUUUAAUUACUCUUAUAGGGAUGGUAAAAUGGCUCGGAUCGUCCCAACCUAUUUAAGAUUCUACCCAAGCUUACGAGCUUAGGUCUAGCCCAUUAUGUGAGGGCCUGAGUAUGAGGCUAAAAUUUGCAGGCCAGUAAUGUGUGGUGUUGAGGCAUUGAAGCCCUGAAGCCUGAGCUUAGGCUCAGCUUACUAAUUACCCAUUUUUUAAAUUUAAAAUAUUAAAAAAAUAUAAAAAUAAAAUAUCAUGGUAUUUGUGUAUUGAUGUUAAGUGAAUUAUGAUUUAUUGUGAGGUUGUGAUGUUAUUAUUCCCUAAUGUUUAUCGGAAUGUGACGGUAAUUGUGUUAUUUUGGUAAUUUUUUAUGUUGCACACUUGAAAUUACAUAUAUAAGUUGUAAAUUUUUGCAAACUCACUUUACUGGGAGUUUUAAGUCGUUUUUCUUUUAAAAUAAAUGUUGAAACAUUAAAAAGUUCAAAAUGAAUUCAGAGGCCCAGCCCAAAGUCGGUCAAAAAUUGGACAAGCGUAUAGAGCACCAGGUAAGGAUGGCAAUGGAUUGGAUCUGACCCAAGAUCUACGUGAUCCAAAUUCAAUCGGAUCGGAUUUGGGUCGGUUUAAAAUGAAUUUGUAUUGGAUUUGGAUAUCGAUGUGCAGAUCUAAGACGGAUCCGGAGUAGGCCUGGAUAUAUUUUAAUAUCUAAAUCUAUAUCCAUAUCCACCCAUCUUUUUAUUUUGUUUUAUUUUAAAAGUUUCUUAACAAUUGUGGAAUUAUAAUGAUAAUAAAUUUUGUUCAUAGCAUAUUUGUUGUUUUGGUGUAAAAGUAUAGGCUACAAUAUUUAUUAUAUUUUUGAGAAAAAUUAUAUAAUAUAUUUGUUAUCAAUACAUUUUAGCCUUCAAUUUUCAUUCUAAAAAUUAUUAAUUUUUUAUUGCUGAGUUUUAAAUUUCAUGAUGGAUCUAGAGCAGAUUUAGAAUUUUUUUUUUGAAUUUAAAAAAAAUAUAGAUAUUUAUUUCUUUUUUGGAUCUGGAUAUGGAAGAAAAAUAUGGAUUCAUGACGGAUUUGUAGCAGAUACAGAUCUUAAUUUUUAUUAUGGAUCUGAAUCUGGAGUAGGGUAGAUUCAACUCAUAUCUGCCCCAUUGCCAUCCCUAACACUAGGUAAGACUUGACCUAGCCCAUCCAUUUCCCACUUUUUGUUGGAGUAGUGGGGUUUAGUACUCUUAUCAUUAAUCUUUAGCAACAACGACAUCAUAUACAAAUGCGAAUUUCGAUAAUACAGUAAGUGUGUCUCUAUAUAUAUGUUUAUAUAUAUAAUAUUUUUUUAGUGAGAAUAUUUUUACUUUGUUAAAGUGAGAAUUACCAUUAAAAUAUUUAAAAAAUAUAAAUUUUAAUAUAUUAGCGGUUGCUUUUUUUUUGUUACUGUAUUGAACUCUAUAUAUAUAUUUUUAUUUAUUAAUGACAUUCUCACAUUAUUAAAAUGAAGAUAUCCCCAUUAGUUAGUAUAUAUAUAUACAUACAUAUUUUUUUUUUCUAAUGAAAGUUCCUACACUUUAUUAAAGUAUUGAAAUGACUUUUAAAACAUUGUAAAUGAAUUUUAAAACAAAAAAAAAAAUAUAAUGGUUCAAGAGACAUAAUUUUAGAGAGAGGAUCGGAAGCCCACAUUUUCAAUAGAAGUUUUAACACAAAAUCUUAACCAUUAAAUUGUAAUCAACCUAAAGGUUUAAAGUGAGCUGACAAUCAUGAAUUUUCUUAUUUUAAAAACAAAAAGAAUAAUGGUUGAAGACAUACAAUUUUAAACACAAAUUUAAAUAUAAUUUUCUAACUAUUAGAUUAAAGUCUUAAUAAAGAUGAGUUAACGGAGGGUUAAGAUUGGAAGACAUGAAAUUAUUAAUUUCAUUGGCAGUAUUGUCUCUUAUACAUUGCUUUGGAUUGCGACACCUAAUGCGAGAAUGAUGUGGAAUUUAUUAAUUAAGUAACGCUGAUCUUGAAUGAUUGGUAUGGACUUUAGCUGUAUACGAUGUUGAGCCAUGGGGCCCAGCAAGCUCCCACGUUAUUCUCGCAAAUUGUACUAUAGCUAGCUCUUAGUUAAUUUUCAAAAAAUUAUGCCACGUGAGCCAUUAAAAAAUAUUUCAGAAAAAUGAAAAACCACCGCGCUUUGGCGGUUCUGGCCACAUUUUCCAAAUUAUUAUUAUUUUUUUUUUUAAAGAAAAGACUAUUAUUGAUAUUGCUUAUUACUUUCACUACGCCCCCACAAUGCGCCCGCCUUGGCACAGUCGGCUACUGCUUUAUCUAUAAAUACAUGCAUGUAUGCUAUAUCAAACCAGAAGCAAGAACUCGCAAAAGCAACUGAAUUACUCUUUAAGUUUUGAUUCCGGAAGCAGAGAUCUUUCCAGAUAUGAAGAAUAUGGAAACAACCAGCGCAGGUUUUUAGGCCAGCUUUACUUUCAUUUGAAUAUCAUUCAUAAUUCUUAUUUUAAUACAUGCAUUUGUUAAUAUAUUUUUAAUAUAAAAUUUACAGGUAAUGAUGAUUGGUUGGAGGGUGUGCCAUCGAUGAUUGCUGCCAGUAUUGUUGAUGAUAACACUGCGAAUGAUGUCAAUCUCGAUCUUCUUACUGUCCCUCAAUAUGGGAGAAAUAUUGAUCAAACCGGUUAAAUGCAAGCAAUAUUAUUCUUUUGUGUUAUGCUUAUUUAAAUAAAAAGAUGGGUACUGUUAUUACCUAUCAAUGUGUGAGUGUUUGCUUAUUCAGUUUUACUGAAUAAGAUAUCUUGAUAUGUAUAAGAGUUUUUCUUUAUUUACUAUCUUGUGUGGUGUCUUUCUAAAAAAGUAAAUUAGUGAAUAAAAUUGUUGUGUUUGUUAAUGUGUUGAUUAAAUUAGCCUGUCCAUAUAUAUGUGCUUAAUUAUGUUCUCUUUUCUUUCUUUUUUUUUUCCCUUAAAUUAACGAACACCACAUGUUGGUUAGCUAAUUAUUGCGCAGCUAUAGCGGGUGACUUAGAUCGCCUAAAGAAUGUCUAUAUUUCCUAAAUGGCGUGUAACAUCAUUAUAUGCUAAGCAUCGAUCUUAAAUGUUCUAUCAGUUCUUUGUUAUAUGAGAAUCGAGAUCUCUUCGUGCUAAAGAUAUAUUUGGGGUUUAAUUAAAAGCUUGAUGUCAAAAACCAAAAUUUCAUUCUCUACAUAUACUAUUCCAUGAUAUUGUAUCAAGCCAAAACAAAAACUCGCAAAAGCAACUUACUUAGUUAUACCUUUCGAGUUUUGAUUCCGAUUCACCAAUCUAAGGGUUUAAAGUAAGCUGACAUGAAUUUUCUUGUUUUUGAAACAGAAAGAAUAAUGGUUCAAGAGAUAUAAUUUUAAACACAAGUUUAGAUAUAAUUUUCUAACCAUAAUUUUUUAACUACUAGAUUAAAGAUGAGUUAAUGGAGGGUCAAGAUUAGAUGAUAUGAAAUUAUUAACUUCAUUCGCAUUAUUUUCUCUUAUAUACCGGUUUUUGAUUGCGACACCUCGUACGAGAAUCAUGUGAAAUUUAAGGUACAUUUGGUAUCAUUUACAUUUUUUAUUUUUCAUUUUAUAAAAACACAAAAUAAAAAAAUGCGUCCUAACCAAAUAAGAUCAGUUUUCAUUUUCCAACAAAAAUGAAAUCAUUUUAUUUUUCACUUUAACAAAGAAAAGUAAAAAACAACAUUUUAACAUUUUUUUUUUAUUUUUGUUUUUUUGGGGUCCACUAACAUUGUGAUGUUCAUGCUUUAUUUGUCAACAAUACUGCAUGGGUCUCACAAUCCACUCACGUUGUUAAUAUUAUAAUUUAACUUUUUUUUAUAAUAUGCUAAUAAGUUUUAAAAAAUACUACGCCCAUAUUAUUUUAAUUCUUUACUAAUAAUAAUUUGUGUUUUAACAAAUUUCAAAUUACUAUAAUUAUAUAUCAUCUAUAAUUUAUGAGUAUAAAUUAUCCAAUAAUAUAAUUAAAUAAGUUUUUAAAUGAUGGAAAUCUAUAUUAUAAAUUAUGUCCUUUUAUAACUAUUUUAGUUGUUUAUGUUGUUUGUUAAAAUUAACAUCUAUAAUAAUAAUGAAAGACCAUCCAAAAUAAUUAGAAAUUGAAAAAGGUUUCAUUAAAUUAUGUUGCCAUUCUCUGUUAUUGUCACUAAAUUUUCAAAUAAACAACUAAAUACAUCUUUACUAUUUUUUAUUUUUAUAUAUAAUUUUAAGGACUCGCUUAUGUUGCAACAGUUGCAACAUACCAGAAUUUUUGUCUUUUUGUGACUUCAGCUCCUCACUCUCACUGUCACAUUUAAUGGAAAAGUAGCAUGUAAGGAUGUGUCUAUUUGGUAAUUAACGUUAUAAUCCCUAUAUUUUUAAAAAUUCAAAAACAUUAAAGAGUUACAAAUUUUACUGCAUAAGUCCAAAUUGUCUCAAAAUUGUAAAUAAUUAGACAAUUAAAAUUUGGAGAAAUUUCAUUAACAUUUUCAUUGUUAAAAAUACAAAAUAAAUAAAAAAUUAGUAAAUUUAAUUUUUGAAUAAAAUUAAAAUAUUAAAAAUUAAUUCAAAAAUCAUUCCCAAUUUCUUCAUCUCAUCCAUCUCAUGUAUCACGAACUGGAAUCGAAAGUAAUUAAAAAAAAUAAUCAUGGAAUGAAAUAAUAGAUAUCGUCAGUUCAAGUUAGAAAAACAUUAACCAAUUAUUCUUUUCAUUAGCUUAAGCCAUUAAUUUGGUUUAGUACAUGGAGGGUAGAACUUCAACGUAAAAUAAAAAAAAAUGUAAUUCCAGAUUAUUAAUUUAAGUUUCAACCCAAAUUAUAGUGAAAUUUCCCAAUUACUACUAUUUUUUUAUGAUAUUAGUAUGUCAGUGUUUAAUAUUCAAAAUAAUAAGAAUAUGUUUAACAUAUUAACAUUUGCAAAAGAGUAGAAGAAUAAAAUUCAUAAUUAUGAUACUUCGAUUCUAAUCAAAUUAUAUUGGUAUGAAUUAAUUCAAUAAGCCUAUACACCCAAAUAAGCUAAAUAAUAGGAGCUUUACUAUUCCUAAGUUAUACAUUGUAGAUUAUUAUAACUUUGUUAAUUAAUAUAACAUUCUCAAACAGCUAAUUAAAACUCUUUUGCCAAUUAAAGUUGGUAGAAAAAAUCGAAUCCCAAUCGGAAUCCCAAAUCCCGUUCCAAAUGGUACAUGAUACGGUAUAUGACUUAAAAAAAUUAAAAUAAAAAAGAAUUUGAGAUUAAAUUUAUUCUCAUUAAAACUCGGGAUUAGUUAGGACUUCAAUCGGGAUCCCGAUGAAAUCCUAAUUAUAUCAAAUUGUUUUAAUUUUCUAAUUUAAUUAAAAUGUUAAAAAAAAAUUCCAAAAUUUGGCCAAAGCCCAAACUCAAUGCUUGCUUUUGUACUUCUUUAGGCUAAUUAUUAAUAGCGUAAGAUUUAUAUUUUUUUAGUCAUUAGAUUAUUUUAAUUAAAAUAAUCAUUAAGCAAAUAAUAAUAAUAAUAAUAAUAAUAAUAAUAAUAAUAAUAAGGAAAAAAUUGGGCCACCUAUGGAGUGGAGGGAAAGAAUGAGAGAGGAAAAUAAAAUUAUAAUUAAAAAUAAGAAGAAAAGCAAGGAGUCAAAUGAAAUUUACCACAUAAAAAGACAAAAGUUGUGGUACCUGCACAUGUCGCAAAGUAGCUAAAUCCUAAUUUUAAAACAAUCAACCAAAUAUAUUUUUAAAUUCAUAAAAAAUAAAACAUUCUUAUCCUACAAAGUAAAUUCAAAAACAUCAUUUAAAAAAUAAUACAAACAUAUCACAUCUUAAUACUGUAGAUAAAUGUAAUCUUGUUGAUUUUGAUUUUUUUUUUUUUAACCAGUUACACACAGCAACAAUAAUGGAUCCCACCAAUAGAUAUUAUUGCUGUGUGUAAGUGUAUAUUAUGUUAAGCGUAUCACAUGGGAUUUUUUUUUUAUAGACAGACCACGUGCAACUCGUGGCUUGUUGAUUUUGAUGCAGAUCUUGAAUGAUUUGUGUUCGCCGUCUACGAACUUGAGCCACGGGGCCCAGCAAGCUCCCACGAGAUGCACGUGAGCCAUUAAAAAAUAUUUCAGAAAAAUGAAAACCACCGCGCUUUGGCGGUUCUGGCCACAUUUUCCAAAUUUAUUUAUUUUUUUUGAAAGAGAAGACUAUUAUUGAUAUUGCCUAUUAGUUCAACCACGUCCACACAAUGCACCAACCUCACUGUCGGCAACUGCAUUACCCAUCUAUAUAUACGUGCAUGUUAUAUCAAACCAGAAGCAAGAACUCGCAAAAGCAUCUGAAUUACUCUCGAGUUUUGAUUCCGGAAGCAGAGAGAUCUUUUCAGAUAUGAAGAUUGUGGAAACAACCUGCGCAGGUUUUUAGGCCAGCUUUACUUUCAUUUGAAUAAUAUUCAUAAUUCUUAUUUUAAUACAUGCAUUUGUUAAUAUAUUUUUAAUAUAAAAUUUACAGGUAAUGACGAUUGUUUGGAGGGUCGGAUAUGGAAUUUGGCCAGUAUUGUUGAUGAUAAUAUUGCGAAUGACGUCAAUCUCGAUUUUCUCGCUGUGCCUCAAUACGGGAGAAACAUUGACCAAACUGGUUAAGGGCAAAUAAUAUUACUUUUUUUGUGUUAUGCUUAUUUAAAUAAAAAGAUGGGUACUGUUAUUACCUAUCAAUGUGUGAGUAUUUGUUUAUUCAGUUCUACUGAAUAAGAUAUCUUGAUAUGUAUAAAAGUUUUUCUUUAUUUACUAUCUUUGUGUGGUGUCUUCCUGGAAAAGGAAAUUACUGAAUAAAAUUAUUGCGUCUGUUAUAAAGUGUUGAUUAAAUUAGCCUGUCCAUAUUUAAUUAUGUUCUCUUUUUCUUUUGUUUUCUUUAAAUUAACGAACACCACAUGUUGGUUAGCUAAUUAUUGCGCAGCUAUAGCGGGUGACUUAGAUCGUCUAAAGAAUGUCUGUAUUUCCUAAAUGGCGUGUAACAUCAUUAUAUGCUAAGCAUCGAUCUUAAAUGUUCUAUCAGUUCUUUGUUAUAUGAGAAUCGAGAUCUCUUUGUGCUAAAGAUAUAUUUGGGGUUUAAUUAAAAGCUUGAUGUGAAAAACCAAAAUUUCAUUCUCUACAUAUACCAUUCCAUGAUAUUGUAUCAAGCCAAAACAAAAACUCGCAAAAGCAACUUAGUUAGUUAUACCUUUUGAGUUUUGAUUCUGAUUCACCAAAAGCUAACUAGCAGAUAUGUUUUCUAAUUUGAAGAAUAUGAAAACUCUUUUCGAAGGUUUAAUUUUAGGCCAGCUUCUUCUGUUGAAUAUCAUUUUAGAUACUUAUUUUUGUUAGGAAAUUGAUGGGUGAAGCAGACACGCAGCUAAAGUGAAAUUGAAAGAAAAUAAAGAACAAUCACAAAAAAUGGACACAAGAAAUUACGUGGUUAGGCUUUUAGCGUACGUCCACGGGCGAAGACAGAAGAAAAAUAUUUUACUAGUGAAAAGGAGUUACAAAUAUUGUAGUAUUUUAGCUCACUUCCAAAACCCAAUACACUCAAACUCUCAAAAUACUAAAAUAAGAGCUUAUAAUUUCAAGCUCUCUAAACUCUCUCUAAAUACAAGACAACUCUUUUCAAAAUUGGAUAAGCAAAUGAGGGAAUGUGUCCCUCUAUUUAUAGCUAAAAUCUUAGCUACUAUUCACAUAUUUUUUUUAAAUUAUUUAUUAUUGUUCAAAAUUUCAAAAUUCAAAGUUAGAAUAGUUUGAAUAUCUAGAAUUCUGAAUUUGAUAUUCAAAGUUUGAAUAUCUAGAAGUUUGAAUUUGAUAUUCAAAGUUUGAAUAUCAAGACACCCAAUCUUGACAUUCUCCCACUUGAAGAUUUGAUUGAGAACCAAUCAAUCUCCACACCAUCCUUUCUGCUUCGCCAUUAUCAUGUUGCUUACGUUUCUGCUAGGCCACAAGAGGAUCUACUCCAGACAAACUUAUCAGUAUUUAUCGGCUUGGUCAAAACAUCUGCUAGGUUCUCAUUCGUAUGGAUUUUCUGUAAAUCCACAUUUCCGUCUUCCACUACUUUUCGAACGAAGUGAUACUGAACUCCUAUGUGCUUUGUCCUGGAAUAAAAGACUGGAUUUCUUACAAUGUAUAAGGCACUCUGACUGUCACAAAACACAGAAAGAUACCAACUGUCAAGAUUGAGUGUCUUGAUAUUCAAACUUUGAAUAUCAAAUUCAAACUUCUAGAUAUUCAAACUUUGAAUAUCAAAUUCAAAAUUCUAGAUAUUCAAAGUUUGAAUAUCAAACUUUGAAUUUUGAAAUUUUGAACAAUAAUAAAUAAUUUAAAAAAAUACGUGAAUAGUAGCCAAGAUUUUGGCUAUAAAUAGAGGGGCUCAUUCCCUCAUUUGCUUAUUCAAUUUUGAAAAGAGUUUUCUUGUAUUUAGAGAGAGUUUAGAGAGCUUGAAAUUAUAAGCUCUUGUUUUAGUGUUUUGAGAGUUUGGGUGUAUUGAAGUUUUGGAAGUGAGCUAAAAUACUACAAUACUUGUAACUCUUUUUCACUAAUAAAAUAUUUUCCUUCUGUCUUCGCCCGUGGACGUAAGCUAAAAGCCGAACCACGUAAUUUCUGGUGUCCAUUUUUUGUGAUUGUUCUUUAUUUUCUUCCAAUUUUACUUUAGUUGCAUGUUUGCUUUACCCAUCAAUUUCCUAACAGUGGUAUCAAAGCUAUUGGUUGUAAUUUGGAGUCAGAUACUGUUCAUGUAAGGGGUACUAUUAACGUAUACGGUACUGUUUAUGUAUACGAUAUUAUUCACGUAUAUGGUACUAUUCACAAGAAACGGUGGGAGCGAUACAAGAAUUUUACGGUGUAAAACAGGGAAUAGUGGUGUGAGUAAAGCAACUGUGUGGUUUUGUACAUGCCAAAGAAAUGUAGGAAGAGGGCAGCUACUGAACCUCAAAAACGCAGCAGGAAAUUUUUUGUCAAUUGCUCGGUUUGUGGUGGCUCAAACCACAAUCUAAGAUCUUGUCCAUUGAGAAAUACAGCGAUGACAGACCGUGUACCAAGUGGUCCAGGUGAGGGCUCCAGUGCUGGAUCAAAGAAAAGGAAAACUGCAAGUACUACUGGAACAAACAAAACAAAAGGUUGAAUUUGGUUGAAUUUCUCUUCUUGUAUUUCAUAGUUCAUAAUUGCAUUUAUAGAAGCUUAAUUUAUUUUUAAUUUUGUAAUGUAGGAAGGGCUGUAGGUGUCAGCUUAUCCCCAGGUGAAGGCUCCAGUGCUAGAUCAAAGAAAAGGAAAACUGCAAGUACUGCUGGAACAAACAAAACAAAAGGUUGAAUUUGGUUGAAUUUCUCUUCUUGUAUUUCAUAGUUCAUAACUGCAUUUUAUAGAAGCUUAAUUUAUUUUUAAUUUUGUAAUGUAUGAAGGGCUGUAGGUGUCAGCUUAUCCCCAGGUGAGGGCUCCAGUGCUGGAUCAAAGAAAAGAAAAACUGGAAGUACUGCUGGACCAAACAGAAAAAAAGGUUGAACUUGGUUGAAUUUCUUUUCUUGUAUUUCAUAGUUCAUAACUGCAUAUAUAGAAGCUUAAUUUAAUUUAAAUUUUGUAAUGUAGGAAGGGCUGUAGGUGUCAGCUUAUCCCAAGUCAACCAAUCUCAAAAUCCUUCACAAGCUUCAGCCGUAUCAGGUGCUUUGUAAUGAGUUCGAUGCUCAAUUUCAGUUUCCUUAAACUAUAUUGUUUAUCUUAUUUCAACUAAACUUAAUUAUGCUCUUGCAUGAGCCAAACCAGAUUUUUUAAAUGUGUUUUAUUUGUUGGAACAUGUAUUAGAAGAGAUUCUAAUUUGUCAUUUCAAUAUUUUGGAUGUCUCUACUGGAAUAUUACUAUUGAAGAUACAUUAUUUAUUGGAUGUGUUUUGUUGAAGAUAUAUUUUAUUUAUUGGAUGUGUUCUGUUAAAGAAAAUUUAUUUCGUGGAUGUGUUUUGUUUAGAUGAUGGUUGUUUUAACUGGAUUUUACAGCCCAAUUCCAAAUUAUUAUUGAUUACUUUCUCGUGAACACAGUUACAAAUACACAUAAUAACACAAUUAGAAUAUAUUUAAGCUUUCCCUCAAUGAUUUUCAGCCUCUUUUUUAUUUUCACAACCUCGUCAGCCAGCUUUGAGUUUUGCUCAUAUGACAUCUCCUCAUUAGUAUUAGGAUAUAUGAGAGAUUCAGUAGUGGGCCAUUCCCAAAAAUCACAAUGCUUCGCUCCACAAUGCUUCCACUUGCAUGACCAAAACAUUGCAUUAGGAUUUUGCAAUGUAGUUGACACCAUAGCCACUGCCUACACACCACACUUGCAAUAUUUUGGCUGGCAUUUCACUUUUUUGUAUCUUUUGAAUUCAUUGACAACAGAACUUGAUGCUUCACUGGAGGCCAUUUUCAAAUGAGAGUAUUUUUUUUAUUGUAUUUGAAGGGAAUGUUAGGUGUGUGGUGAAAGAGAGUAGGGUGUGCUGCUGGUUUUUGGUUAUAAAGGGAUGGCAAAGUUUUUAUUUGUUGCAAGGAAAUGUGUUGCUGAUAUAGCUCAUUAUAUAGCCAAAAAAUAUAACAGUUAUUGUCUCUAACAGAUCUAUUUUUCUUUGCUUGGUUUGUGGGGUAUUUAUGUCUUUAUGCAAUUUUUUGAGUUUUAAGGGCAUAUUUGUCAUUUCGCAACAAUUCUGUUAGUUUGCAAACGGUGGCUAACAGAAUAGUGGUGGGUAGAUACAUUUUGGCAUUUUUGGAUGGAUGAGUGAUACACCUUAAAAGUGUUGUAGUAUGUUUGAUAAAGGUGCAUCUUUAGAGUACACGAAUGAUAAUUUCCCUUUAAAUAACUGAUAAUUAUUUCAAAGUAUUUGACUUAAAACAAUUUAAUGAAAGCUUUCAUUUUUGAGACAAUUUAUAACACAAGUUUUUAAUAAAUAUAGUUUUGUUAUAAAUAAUUUUAAAGAAUGAUUUUUACUUAACAAAAUAUUGUAAUAGACUAAACAAAUCAGUUUCAUAUACUUUUCUUUCAACAUAAUACAUACCUUGAAUCAAAAGUAAUUUAAUAGUAAAAUACACGUAUUAUGCAUUAAUUUACUUAUAUCGAUCCUCAGCAAUGAAAAGAAUGGCAACCUCAACCACGAGCUCACUCUCAUCCUUAAACAUCAAGACACAUUCAUAUCAAUAUUAUUAAUCAUUGUGGCCUUGAUAUAAAACCAGCAUAUUGAAGCCUAAUCAUUAGGGGUGGGCAAACAGUUUGGUUUUUUCCAAACCGAACCGAACCAAGUUCGGUUUUAAGUGCAAAAAUCAAAUGGUUUGGAAAUUUAUGAACCGAUUGGUUUGUACUUGGUUCGGCUCAAAAUCGAACCAAACCGACAAACCAAUUGGUUCUUUCACUUAAUACUAAAUAAUAUUUAAAAUAAAAAACAUAAAUAAGUCAAAUAUAAAUCUAAACCCUAAAAUUUGUCACACAUGUGCCCCAAUACAACACACCAUCUUUCUCACACCAGCCGACACACACACACCUCUACACUCUCACUUCAUCUUUCACACACACACAUACCCCCUCAGCAUCUCUCUCACUUUUGUCGACACACACCCUAUCCACCAUCGUCACUUAUUAAUCAGCCUGUCUUCGUUGUCGCCGCACUCAUGUCAGCUUGUCAUCAUCACCAUCGCGGUCAUGUCAGCUUGUCGUCAUCACCGUAGCUUACCUGUCGCAGUUCGUCCCGUCGCCCUUAUGUUAGCCUUGCCUCUUGUUUGUCACGCUUCUAUCGUGGGUAGCCUGUCGAUGCUAUCGCGCCGGUGGAGUUGUGUAACUUGUGUUGACUUAUUUAUUUAUUCAUUAAUUAUUUCUUAAAUUAAAUUGAUUUUGAUGAAAAGAUUUGGAAGCAAAUGGAAAUUUCAGUUUUACAAUUACACAUUAUCUGAAACAUCCCCAUAGAUUUCAUGAAGUUCAUGGAGGGGCUGUUGUUUUCAAUUGAAUCGAUUUUAGGUAUGCUCAAUAAUCCAUUUCACACCUCUUUUCCUUAAUCUUGUGAGUUGGACUUUAUAAAUUUGAGUCUAAUUUGUUGGGUAUUUUAUAAAUAAAUGGUUGAAUGAGUCAAGAUUUGCUUAUUUUCUUUUGGUUUUAGUCACUUCGAUGUCUAAUUAUUAGAAUUCAAUACAACCUUCGAUCUAAAAUCAAUGAGCAGUAGUGACCAACAAAAGGGCUUCAUGAUCCAGAUCUAAGCUAACUAGAACCAAAUCACACAGAACUGAACCGAAUCGAAUUUUCGGUUCAGUUUUGAAAUUCGGUUCCAAUUUUAAAGAACUGAUCAGUUUCAAUUUGGUUCGGGUCUUGGCCUAAACCGAACCAAACCGGAUAAUGCCCAGCCCUACUAAUCAUAGGUGCUAAAAGAAACGAUAAAAAUGUGUAGCAUUUCAUAUAAAAAUUCAAAAAAAUGAAUGAAGGUCAGAAACAUAUUGCAAAAAGAAUUUUACAUGCAAAUAUCCACACUGACUAGCAGUGAUAAAAAUAAAGGUAGCUGAAUUAGAAAAUUCGUAAAAUAUUUAAUAAAACUCAUAAAAAUUAGAUCACUUGAUUUUACAAUAGUAGAAACAUCAAGAAACAAUAUAUCAAAUUUCUAGAAUUUUUGAAGAUAUAAAACUAUUUUAAACGAAUUUAUAUUAAGAGACCGGCAAACCUGUCCAGAAACUUUCAGGAUUGCGUUUUGCAUCUCAAAAAUUCGUAACUUAAUGCUCACUCAAUGAAAAUUAGUGGAAUAAACUUUAGAUCAUAGAGAAUUCAUAAUAUUAUAGGAAUAUAAAUUUUAUAGGUCACUCUUAAGCCUUUUAGCAGACUAAAGUAAUUUUUGCCAUAGCAAUCGCAAUUCUAGAAAGCAGUUUCCAAAACUGUAGCAGCCCAACAUAAUGAUUAUUAAUAAUUUUUAUACACAACCAAAAAGUACGAAAUUAAACAUGCAGUAAUUAGACAUAAUGACGAUUAAAAUAAAAAAAUCAACAUAAUUUUCAAGGAUCAUUUGGAGAGUCAGACAAAUCAGCAAAAUCAGAUGUGCUGCUGAAAAUUAGAAUUUUCGAGUGCCACUGUUCCAAAUUCAAAAAUUCACAAUAAAUUGAUUACUUAGAAUCUCUUUGCACAAAAUAUCUCAUUAAAAACUUUAGGAUGUCUAGGUUAAUUUUAACAUUCGUGCAGAAAUUGAAUGAAAAACUAAGAGAAAACAGUAAUAAAAUCACAACACUCAUGCCUCAUAAUGCCUGUCUAGUCAUUCUUGAUAAAAAGAACAAUGCAUGCAUUCAUUAUCAAACACUUAAGAUUAGAGAACAUGUACUAGAGAAAGAUAAUUAACUCAAGACUUAACUUCAAAUGCGCAUAAAAGAAAACUAAAAACUUUAGAAUUCUUUGCUUUUAUAUGCUUAUUAGGUUAAAAAGUUUUAAUCGUAGGGAGAUAAGAAGAGUUUAAGUUUUAUAAAAAUAUUUGUUUUUAUAAAAAAUACAUUAUACGAUAAAGAUGAUAAUCUUUUUAAUUUAUUUUAGAAAAAUAAAUUAAUAAAAAUAGAUAAAUAAAAAUAGUUAUGCCUUUUCUUAAAUAAUGCUAAUUAAAAUAAAAUCACUCAAGCAAAAGAUAAACCGGUGAAUGGAUAAGCAUAAUUAAAUUCAAACAUACAUGGAACAGGUGUUAUAGUUAUGGAUUCAGACACGUUUCCACAUAAUUUGUUAUUUAAUUCUUGGUGAUACAACAUAAUUCAUCCUAAGUUUUAGGUGAUAGUUUUCACCAAAAUUUUUUUUUGUUUCAACAAAAAAUACAUUCGUUCUUUGUUGUGUUACUUUACUGAACUUGUUGGCACUUGGCACUUUGCAAUUCUUCUUGUUUUUGUCGUUGCAGCUUUUGUACUAAACUUUGCAGGAUAACCUGAACGUGCUUUUAAGAUAUUUGCUAAAAUGAGAAAAUUAAAACUGAGGCCAGAUAGCAGGACUUACGAGCUGCAGUUUUCAUUAUUCGGUAAUGUGAAUGCCCCAUAUGAAGAGGGCAAUAUGCUCUUAAUGGUUUACUCUGCAAAAAGGAUAAAUGCCUUAGAAAUGGAUAUGGCUUUAGAAAUGGAUAUGGCAAGGAACAAUAUUCAGUGCAGUUGUUUAUCAAUGAAAAACUUGGUAAAUUCCUGCCUUAUAUUUUCUACUCCUUAAACUAGAAUGUCGUUUUUUGUUGUUUUAUAUAUAUUUUUUCUAAUGGUGACUGAAAAAAGCUUUUUUAAGUAUUGGAUUAAGAGAUAUCAUGUUCCUUAGUGUCCUCUGAAAUAAUUUGGCCUUUGGACAGUAGUCUUCCUUUUGUGGAACUCUAUCUCAGCAGAAAUACCAUAUGCCCUCUGGAUAACCAUGUCCUUGUGGCUCUGAAAUUAUGUGAAACUUGGCGAAACAGAACUAAAAUUAGACAGUUUGUGGGGAUGUAAUGAAAAACGUUGUUGCUAAGCCUUUUUACGAGCUUAUGACAUUAUUGUUGUGUCUGUUAAUAAAUAAAUUAAUAAAUAAAAUUGUUGUGUUGUUAGUGUGUUGAUUAAGUUAGCCUGUCCAUAUAUAUUUGCUUAACUAUGCUGACUUUUCUUGAAUUUUUUCCUAGAUUAAUGAACUCUGCAUGUUGGUUAGCAAAUUAUUGCGCAGCUAGCAAGUGAAAUUGGACUGUCAAAAGAAUGUCUAUGUUUCCUAAAUGGCGUGUAACAUCAUGACAGAAACAUCAAUCUUAAAUAUUUUAUCAGUUCUUUGUUAUAUUAGAAUGGAGAUAUUUUUGUGGUCGAGAUAUAAAGUGGAACAGUUUGGGGUUUAAUUGAAAGUCUUGAUGUGAAAAGCCAAAAUUUCAGUUUCCAUAUAUGUUAUUACAUGUAUACGAUAUCAAACCAUAAGCAAGAACUCGCAAAAUUAAAGAAUUAGUGACUUCUGAGUUUUGAUUCUAAUUCGAAGAGUAUGAAAACUCCUUGGCGCAGGUUUUAGGCCAGCUUUUGUUGAAUAUCAUUUUAAAUUCUUAUUUUAGUAUAUACAUUUAUGAAUGAAUUUUUUAUUAUAAUUUUUUUUAUGAGAAUAUCAUUUAUAUAUCCACCAUAUGGCAUGAUGAUAAAUAUUGCAAAUGAGAAUCUUAAUGCUUUUGUUGUCCCUCAAAAGGAUAUGCAAUCUUGUUUUCUAUCAAAGCAUCUAAGUUAUUAAAAAAAGAAAAAAUUGUGUUGUAUUAUGAGGUUAGAAAAAUUAGUAAAGGUAACAAUUUAAGUUGUGUUAUAAUAGACUUUGGUCUGGGAUAAUUUAAUAAUUUUUGAUUGAACACUCUGUUUUUAUUAUGCUGUUUGUUAGGUACCUAAUCAAGCUUGAUCUACAACUAUCUUUGAUGAAUCUUGAUCCACUUAACAAGUAAUGAAUCAAGAUUAAAUAAACCAACCAAUUAAGAAACUUGGUGAAGCGGUAACAAGGAUCACCCCAUGAUUACAAACAGAUUGCACCAAAAGCACAAUCCAGGCUUUUAAUUUGGCUCUCGCCUAACUCUACAUCAAUAAAACUGAUUUACCAGAAUUCCAGCCCUUAGAUUCUGAAUCAACAACUGUGGACGUUCUUACGAGGAAACAAAUGGUAUUCACAAUCUGGAACUGCUUAUUCACAAUAUGGGUUUCAACAAAGGAAGUCUAUAGCUAUGGACGAGAAUAGAACCCGCACAUGUUGGAUUCAAAAUCCGCUGCCUUGAUCAACUUGGCUACAUCUGUCCCUCCACUAUUUACACAAUUUUGAAAUACAAAUAUCUCGGAUUCAACCAUUCAUCAUUAUUUUUUUUGAUCUUAUCAGGUUUCAACUUCAAUAUUUACACACAUCAAUUAAGUGUCUGAUACACAAUAUUUCUGAAGCCAUCUAUCAGUCUCCCAAAUAACAUGCAUGAUACUCUCGCGUGCAGCAUAGGCAUGAUUCUCAAAGGGAAGAAUGACCAGGCGACAAGAAACACCAUGUCCUUUCAGAGCAUCAAACAAUCUUUCAGACUGCAUCAUGUGCAAGUGAAAAUGCAAAAAUUAAUUGAGCUACUGAAGAUAUUGGAUUAUUAAUUGGUUUAUAUGCAGAAAAAGAAGAGGAGAGGAAGAUUUAAGAUGAAGCUUGCAAAUGACCUGCAAGGGAAAUAGUCCAAGUUUAUCGUCACAUUCUCCAUUGAUAAGCAAGAUUGGCUUCUCAAUUUUAUUUGCAGACAUGAAAGGGCUCAUCUCUAAUAAGUGUUAGUAGCCUUCCAAAGAGUUCUGAACUCAUUCUACACGAGAGUCAUAAAUGCAUCAAAUUAAGUGAGAAACAGAACAGUAUUUUGGUAAACGUCUAUGGUUAUGCUGCUACUUAAUUGCUAGGAUAGCUACCUGGAAACCAAAAGGUGUAAGUGUCAUCUUGUAACUUCCAGAACGAGCAAUUCCACAAUAAAAGAGAUAGGGGGGCGUGUGCUAAUAGGUUAGCCGUCAUCAAUCCGCCAUAGGAAAGACCUCCAACAGCAAUUUUGCUUGGAUGAGCCACCUGAACAACAAGCGCAGCACCAGAAAAAGUAAGUUUCAUUACCUAUAAACCCAUAAAUAAUCAGGGAGUCAUACUUAAAUGCAGAUGCCUUACGAAAAAUUGAUCAUGACGGAGUUAAAGGACAAAAAUAAAAAAAUAAAAAAGAAUUCGAAUCAGUGUUUUUCUUUGUCUUUUAAGUCUUAUCUGCAAUCUAAAUUCAUCUGGACAUCCGCAUCGAAUCGCUACUCUAUAGUCAGGACUUAUUUAAGCAGUAAUAUUGAUAGAGAGGAUCAAAAUUCAAAAGGCCUACUCCACGUCGAACAACUUCUUCAACGGCAGCCUCUGCACUUGAAACCAAUUGCUCCACAAACCUAAUCACUAAAUCGGUUUAAUGGUGCAGCUUUAACCCUUAUAAUAGAAAACAUGAUCACAACUAUUGAACCCCAUUUAAAUAUGUGGUGCGAGUAUCAAAUACCGAUCAUUUGGCUCCUCAUCACCUUCGCCAAUAAUAGGAACUGAAGGUCCAGCGAAAACAGCAAACCUGCAGGAUAAGGACUUUACUAUAACUACUCGAUCUAGCUUCUUCAUGUAAAAAGCAUGAAAAAGGUUGUGAAAUAGGAACAGCAAACCAAAAGAAAGUGGAAUUAAUGAUACCUCCUAGCCAGAAAUAUUAGGGAUGAUGUUGGAGUCAUUCCUGAAAAUUCAUUGGGAGAGCCACGAACUUGUCCAGCAGCAUCUUUGCUUCUAAAUUCUCCAGGGUAAGCCCAGAAUAGACAUGGAAGAGGGCCAUCUUUUGAUGGAUCAUACCCCGUUGGCAAGUAUAAUUUUGCUGUAAGUUGAACCCCAUCCUUUCUCUGGUAUUUGAUCAGCUCUUUCUGCAAUGUUGAUAACAGAGGAUAUGGGUGAGGAAAAUCUGUAAUCUGACGACAUUUCUUAUGUGGCCAGCUCUGGAUCCAAUACUGGGUAAUUUCGGUUUUUGACUCUUUGGAAGUCAGUAUCUUCAACUGAUUAAGAUUUACAUCCCCUACACUCUGGUCUAAAUUUAAAGCAACUGCAGUCUCAUAAUACUUUUCCUUGUCGCUCUCCCUUAUUCGUUCUUUGCUGCCUGUAUUUCUGGUACAUUUUGGUUUAAGUUAGUAUGUUGAGCAAACCAUGCUUCAAAUUCAAAAAGAAGAUUUUAAAGAGCUUACUUACAUGUUAAACAAAGCAAGAAAGGGGAUAUCCCCUUCUGGUGUAGCACCUCUUCCAUUGAGUAAAAUGUAAGUCCCUUGAUCAUUUUCUUUCUUUAUCUUUGAAAACACACUAGUCCCGGUGGAUGAUUUUCUCAUCAUGGGUAAACCCGGAUCCGAAUACACAUCUUCCGAUGACCGAUCAAACAAUAUGCGUGGAGCUGUAUCUUUAGAUCCAGGAGAUAUUAGCCAGGUUCUUGUUUGCGUUGUUUUAAACCAAGUUUCUUGAACCAGGGCCAGUGAGUCAUCACACCAAGAAACGCCUCUGUGAUGAUAUGCCAAUAUCACAUACAACAACAAUAAGUAUGUUUGCGAAGCAAGUAAGCUCUAACUUUGUUAUAUAUAAUUAACUAGAGCCUCAUUCUAACAAGUAAAAUCUUUCCAGAGAUAUUUAUGCAGAGUCAGAGAAUCUCUUCAUUAAAAAACAGAACAAUCAUGAUUCAUGCCUGAAGCGAAGAUCAAGUUUGUGUAAGAUUUCUGGUUCUUCACCUUCUACAGGCUCUGCUGGCUGUGUGUAAAUUAUAUCACGUGGACUAACUUCAACUUUUGCAGCACCUCCAUCCUGUGUCUCUACCCUAAGAUCACCCAAUUGGGUCCGAUGGUUAGGAUUUUACAGUCUACUAAGACCAAUACAUAUGCGCACACAAUGUUUGAAUUCAAAAUUACAACAUACCAGUACAAUGUAGAUGGCCUGUCUGCUCUCCAACUGAUCAAUCGCAUUCCUUCUCGAACACUAUUGUAAGCAAUGGGAAUAUUUUCGACAAGGGGCAAUUCACAAAGCUGUCUUACAAAUUUCCCAUCAGCUGUCCACACUUGCACCUUUUGUGGAAACUUUGUAUAAGAUACCGUAAAAGAAUAUGGCCUGUCGAUUGAAGUGAUCAAAAUGUAUUUCUGAUCCGGGGAUGGUUCCACUGCUGUGUAUAUGGCUGGAGGUCCAAAUUCUUUCACCGUGCCAUCCAAAGUAGCCAAAACAAGUUGUGUGGUGGUAUAGUGUUCAAACAAAUACUCAUCAAACUCAUCCUUAAGCAGACCCUCAGUAUAUCUAUUUUGAAUAACAUUUUGUUGCUCAUUAGAUUGUAUCUUGGGGCCAAAUGGAACCAAAGAUUUCUUUGGUGAGUCUCCACGUGAUAAAGGGAUUGUGUAAACUAACAAAACAGAGCUAUUUACCCAAACAAAACUCCCAAAAACUGCAUUUAGACACAUAUCAGGUGACUCAAACAAUGGUUUAGCUUUCCCAGUUUCGACAUCAGCAACCCAAAUUCUAAGCUUUCCAUCCUCACCAUCAUCAUCAUGAUCAAGUCGGACGCUUAAGGCUAAAUGCUUUCCAUCUGGUGACCAGGUGACAAAAUUGAUCUUUGCACCAUCAGGGAGUCCGUGUACCGCCUUUUCUGGGCCAAGGCUAUCAUCAGGCAAUAUCAGAUGUAUCCCAAGACCGGUGUAGAAUGGUAUUCUACUCUUGGUAUUGCAUCUCCCAUCGAUUCGAAUACCAGCCAACUUAUCUUCUGGCCUUGCUAGCUCCACCAACGGAGGCAAAGCACUCCGCUUCAGAAACAAUAUUUUAUCCCUUCGCUGCGAAAAGGACAGUACCGGAAGUGAUGGAGCAUCCACUAUUUCUCUAAGCUCUGCUGGAGGAAGCUGAUAUCUACCUCCACCCUGUGCAUUCUCUACAUCAAAUGAAAAUUCACUCACUCAAUUCGCCAAUAACACAAAAUUAGCAUGCAUGCCGAGUGAUAUAAAAUGGCAAUUGGGGGUACUAUGUACAGUCAAUUUCCAUCCAAAAUACGAAAGCUUAACGUUACCAGUACACAAAAUCAUUCAAAUUUUGUAAAUCCUUAGGAUUGUAAAAAAUACCUGUACCUGCACUAGCGGUUUCCAUUGUCGUCAAUGCCUCAAAACAGAAGUCUUCUAGUUGAGCGACUUCCUGCUUCUGAUUUGAUAUAGCAUUCGGUAGCCAAUAGAGCCAAGGAGGAUAUGAGACCGUGGCACUACUUCAAGAAGGAAAAUAAUUAGUGAAGCAUUUGACUAUUUUAGGAAAAAUUGAUACUUUUGCGGUGCUAAUGAAAAUAUAGUAAAUUGAGAUUUUGUUGAUAUGCAGUAAGAGGAAAAUAGCAAGUGAUCGAACUAAACUCCAACAAAGGAGUGACAAGAACUCACCCAAAAUAAUGACACCGUUUUAGGUAGGGAUGGCAAUGGGGUGGGCUUGGGGUGGGGAGGCCUAUCCCAUUUUCCACCCUGUUAGAAAUUUUUGCCUCCAUUCCCUACCUCAUUUCUCAAUAAAUUUAGUGGGAUGGGGAUGGAGAAUCCCUAUGUGGGGAAUGAUUUUUUCAUCCCCACCUCAUUCCUCAUUUAUCUAUUUUAUAAUAUGUAUAAAUAUAUUAUUUUAGUAAGUUAAAAAUUAGAGACUUAAAAUAAAAUCAUCAUCAUAUUAUAAAGUAUUUAAAUUCUUUUAAAAAAAUAUCUAAAAGUUUGAAAUAAUAUCUUAAAAUGAUAUUAAAAGUGAAAAAUAUUUAAAGAGCGUAGCACCUUAAAAGAGAAAAGAAAAUAUAACAAUGUUUCAAAGUUGAAAAAUAUUAUAGAAUUUUCUUUCAUUCAUAUCUUAUUUAUAUUGCAUAAAAAUUAAAAAAAAUUAUUAAUUGACAUUAUAAUUGAUAAAAUAAAAAUUAUUAAAUAAGAAUUAAAAACAUAUUUAUAUAUAAUGGGGAUUGGGGUGGGGGUGGGGUGGGGAGUACAAAACCAAACCCCACCCCAUUAAGAAUUUGAGGAUUAUUUUCCCCCCACUCCCCACCCCAUUCCCCAAAAAUUAUUCAAAAUUUUUUUUAUUUGGGAUGGGGCUCCAUGGGGCCCCAAACCCGUGGAGUAUUUUGCCAUCCCUAGUUUUAGGUGUGUUUUUUACCCCAUUUUGUGAGGACCCAUUUGAUACAAAUACUUGAAACUGCAUGCAUGUCGAAAAAGCUUAUUCAUAAAUGACACGAAUACCAGCUCCAGCGUUUUCCAUUUUUCUUCAAUUACCAGAACACAAGUCUUGUGGUGGAGCGCGUGCUUGCUUCUGGUUUGAUAUGAUACCUAUCAGCUAGUAUAACAAUGACAUGAUUUAUAUUAAUGGUUCCAUAUAAAAAGCAUUAAAAGCAAUAAAACGACAAGAUAAUUAUUUAUAUUCCUUUCCCUCUCUCAAUAACCGAUGAAAUUCUCCUCUAUUUCUCAUCUGCUAUCUCUCACUUUGUUGAAUUAAUUCACAAAUUUAUUAAAUAUUAACUCCUAAGAAUCUCAAAUUUAAAUCUUCAAAUUUUAGACGUGGUAACAUCACAGAGAAGUAAAAUUUCCACAAACACUUGGAUAAACCAAUAAUUCAUUUGUUAGGCAUGCAACGAUGACUUUGGCACUCAAUGAUUUUAUUGACAAUAUUUAGUAAGAUAUGUUAUUUUAAAUUUUUAAUCUUCCCUCCUUCCACGACUACGGAUAUCUGUAUGUAGGGAUGGGCAUAAACCCACAACCCAUGGGUUUACCCAAACCCAAACCAAAUAAAAUGGUUUGGGUUGGAUAAAUCAUGAAAUGGGUUAAAUUUGGGUUUUUAUGAAAGAAACCAUUUUACAAUGGUUUGGGUAUGUUUUACCCAUGGGUCAUGAACAAAUUCAAGAUAACAUAUUAAUAAAAAAUAAAUUAAACAAAAUAAAAGGAUAAAUCAAUAUUUUAAUAAUAAUUUUUUAUUAAAAUUAUUAUUAUAUAAUAAUUAUACUACUAAUAAUUAUUAUUAUAUAGUAAUUAUACUACUACUAAUUAUUAUUAUAUAAUAAUAAUAGAAGUGCUGCAUAGGGCAAAUACAUAUGCAAUUGGUUGUACAAUACACUAUUAUAUAACAAUUUUUUACGGUCUCAACUUGAGUUAAAAGACUAAAUUAACAUUUUAAUAAAUUACUCAAACAAUAUUUUUAUGAAAUCCUCUAAUAUAAUUUUAUAAUCCUAUUUGUAUUGUAACUUACUAAAAUUAAAAAUGUAAUUGAUUAUAAGAUUUUAUCAAAUAAAAUAUGAUUCUAUUGUUAUUUUUUAAUUAAAUUUAAACCUAAUUAGAUUUCAUGUCUAAUUUUUCUUAUUGCAUUUAAAAUUUUGGUAUUUUUUCUAAUUACAAUAAAUUUUAGAUUUAUUUCUCGGAAGAUUUAAAUUUAUAAAAUUAAAUAAUUUAAUUUUGAUGGAUUGCUUUGAUACUUGAGUUGAGAUAUCUUAUCUUACUUUAAUUUGUAUUGACAUUGUUAGAAUUUAUGUUGUAAUAUGGUUAAUAUUUAAGAACAAAGUUAUUGUAAAAUCCAUUAUUCAUAAUUUUUAUCCACUACAUUUUUUUGUAUUUUAAUAUUAAUUUAAUAAUCAAUAUUAAUUAAUAGUUAUUAUAAUUUGAUAUAGUUAAAUUUAUUAAAAUAAAAAAUAUUUUAAUUAUAAAAUUCAAACCAAACCUAGAUGAGUAGGUUUGAGUUGGAUUAAAAAUAUUUGGGUUGGUUUGGGUUGAACCCAAAAUUUUAUAGUUUGAUUUGGAUUGACUUAAAACUCAACCCAACACAAACCAACCCAUGCCCACCCCUAAUGUAUGUAUGUAUGUAUGUAUGUAUGUAUAUAUGUAUCUAUAGCCGUUGACAUAUGCUAAGUUACAUAUAAUAUAACUUAUAGUAAGUUAAAAUUAGCCACUUAAUAUUAAAAAAUGGUAGUAUGUGAUUCAAAUGGCGGGUUAUGAGUAACAAUUUUUUAGUUUACUGUAAGUUACAUAUAUAAUGUAACUUAACAAGACCUUAUGUAGGUACGUGUGUGUGUGUGUGUGUGUGUGUGUGUGUGUGUGUGUGUGUGUGUGUGUGUGUGUGUGUGUGUGUGUGUGUGUGUGUGUGUGUGGAGGGCUGCUUUUCAUAACUUUCAUCUUAGCCAUUGGGGCUCGUGAUUCAGCAGUUAGAGUUCGCAGGUUCGAGUCUUAACAUUAAUAUUGAACUGUAAAAGCUAGAUAAGAGACGAAAUCAAAUACAAAGUCGGAAGGUGCCCAGCUCCGAACUUUUUGAAAAUUCAUGAAAUGCAAGGUAAACUAAAAAGUUUUCAAGGAAAUCUCCAACUUAUGAUAUAUUUUGAGGAUCUCCAAACUAAAAUUGGUUUCGUCACCGAGCUUAUGAUAUGUUUUUUUCGUGAAGUUACUAAAAAACUAUUCGUAAUUUUUCGUUGUAUUUUUUUGGUCUUAUUUUCAUAAAUUUUCAUUAAAAAGUAAAAAAAAAAAAAAAAAACGAAUCUACCAAAACCUACUAUAAUGAUGGGAAAAAAAUCCAUUAUUUUAGGUAGUCUUGAAAUGAAAAAAUUAUAAUUCCCAAUUUAAUUUUUUAUUAAACAAUUCCUAAUUAAUUUUAAAGAAAGAAACUUAAAUAAUGAUGAAAUUUUAGUAGAAAAGCAAUUGUAUUAUCUUAAUUAACAAACAAUGUGUUCCCUAUUGAUAUUAUUGAUUAUAAUUUGCAUAAUUCAGCUUUGCUGACAAGUUAUUUCGAAUUAUAUAGUUAAUUAGUGAGCCACGAUUCUCCCAUAUAAAACAUUAACCGCUGAUCAGUUAGGUAUAUCUCCCAUGUAUUGUUUUCCUUUCGAUACCUUUUGAAAAAGGGAGUCCCUAUGUUACAAUUAAUGUAACAUACACACUCAACAACAACCACACAAAUGAUGGGCCCACACAAUUUGUGUGGUUGUUGUUGAGUGUGUAUGUUACAUUAAUUGUAACAUAACAUUUACCUUUGAAAAAUAUAUAUAUAUAUUUCGGAAGAUUAUUAGGGCACGUGUCAGUUGCCACUAAUUUGUCUAGUAAUGAACUGAUUAGACCAUCGAGUCAAAAAGCAUUGUUUGUCCUAUUAUCGAGUCACUGACAUUAUUGAAUCAUCAUCUACAAUAAUUGGGUGCUACCGCUUGUGAUUCACUCAAUCUUAACUUGAGUCUUGAGCCGUUGAUCUGGCCGUUUAUGCCGAACAUGCAUUUGUUUGUUUUGCUGCGUCGCAAUCGGCCAUGCACGUUGCUUAUUUGAUCUACGGUUUAGCACCACCCACGUAAUCUAAUUUUACUUACUGAUUUGUUUUGCUACGUCAGAAUCACCCACGUUGGCACCAUCGGCUACUUAAAUCUAUAUACACAGCCACUAGGCUUUAGGGUGCGUUUGAGAUUGAGGUGUUGUAGCUUUUAAGCUACAGCUGCUGUGAAAAAAAAGCUGUAAUUAUAAAACAAAAGUUAAUAAUAUAUAGUAAAUAUAAAUUUUAAAUAAUAAUGUUGAUAAAAUUAUUAAAGAUAUAAUAAAUUUUAUAUUAUACAAGUGAAAAAUCAUAUCAACAUAUCUUAAAAGCUACAACAGCUAGUGUUUACCAAACACUUUAGUGCUGUAACUUUUAAGCUACAGCUGCCCAACCUCAAUCCCAAACGUACCCUAAAGUCUAGUGAUUAAAAUCCAAAUCUCACAAUUGUGAGGUUAUAGGUUCGAACCCCACAAUGCAUUGUAGAAAUUUAAUUUCCUUUCUCAAUUUGAAAGAAGACAGUCUUUUUCCUUUUUGAAAUGUAAGUGAAGUAGACGUUCCUCAAAUAUUAGAAAUGAUAAAAAUCUAGGCGAUUCUUCAUAAAAAUUAAUGUAAACUAGUCCCAAUAACAGUCUGAUUUGUAAACAUUAGUUGCAAUAUCUUAUAGUAUGAGUUAUACUCUUGAACAAUAAUCUCAUAUAAUUAAACAAAAAAUCGAUGUACACACCGGUGUCAGAUCAAACCAGUAGAAAAAAGUAUCCACUCAAGCUCAAACUAUACAUCUACUUUUGAUUACGAAGUUAGCAGAGAUCUUUUCUGAUUAAUUUUGAAUAAUAUGGAAACUCCUUGCUAGGCAGGUUAAUAUUUAGGCCAUGCAUGUUCAGUUAAAUAUAAUUUAUAAUUCUUAUUUAACAUGUGCCUUUUUGAAUAAUUAAUUAAGUUCGUUAAUAUGAUUUUUUAGCCAAUAACGAUUGGUCGGAGGGAGUAGCACUUGCCAGCAUUGUUGAUUAUGAGAUAGCAACUCAUGAUCUUGAUUUUCUUGCUGUCCUUGAGUACGCGAGGAAUCCUUACCACACUGAUUAAAUACAGUACUGUUACUCUUGUUGAAUCAAACAAAAUUUUAACGGCAAAGUUUGAUUCAACAAGAAUUUUUUUUCAAAAAAAAUUUGUAACUUAGAUGUAAUUUUUUAUAUUUUUUUCUAUUUAAAAAAUUAAAAAUAAUUGAGUAGGGACAAAAAUAUAUUUUGCAACUAAUUUUAGGGAUAGAAACGUCAUUUUAUAACUAUUAUAGGAGGUAGAAAUGUCAUUUUAUAAUUAAUUUUAAGGGCAAAAAUGUUAUUUUGUAAUUAAUUUACUGUUCCCGUUAACUUUAAUGGUGAAGUUAACGGAUUUUCACCUACUUGAGUAUUUUUUAAAAAUGUGUAACCUUUUUGAAAUUUGUCAAAAAAUGUGUCACCUAGGGGUAAUUAACCUUUUUUUAUUCCAAAAAUUAUCUCAAAUGAUGUGACAUUCAUAAAUUGGUUGGUGAGCAUAAUUGGAUCUUGUAAAGAAUUAUCAACCAGUCAAUGAAUGACAUAUCAUUUAGGAUGAAAUUUGGGAUAAAAAAAAAAUUUGAGGAUGUCUAUCAUUACUCUAGUAAGAUGAGACAUUUUAGCGAAUGUCCUAGUAGUUGCCUAAAGAGUAGAGUUUCUAAAACCCCUUUUAAACUCUUAAGAAACCCCACUUUUCAUUUUUUCUAAUCUCUUUCAUUUAUGAAAUUACAAAAAAGGACAUAAAAUUAUCUUAAAUUUUAAUUGGAUUUCCCUAUCAUUUAGAAUAAAUUUUGUAGACAUGUUUUCGUAAUAAAAUUGUUGUUAAUAAAUAAUUUAUUUCUCCAUUAUUUUGAUUUUAUCAACAAAAUUAAUUAUAUCAUAUAAUAGGAUUAACAAAUAGUUAAGAUUCAUGAUUUGUAAAGAUAUUUCAGCAUAAUCAAAUUCGUAUUCGUCGUUUUAGUAACUCUUAGUAACAAUAGAACUAUUAUUACAAAAAUGGGGUGAUACAAGGAUAUUAAAAGUGUUGGAAAAGCAUUAAUCUUGCCCAAAUUGUUCUAGGGUUGAAUCGGAGUGUCUAUAUUGCCACUUACUAGAGAGAGGGAAAUAAAAUUUCAGAAGACCACCAUGCUAUUGGUAGUUCUGGCGACAUUUUGCAAAAGAAAUUCUAGAAGAAAUUUAAUGUUCUAUGAGGUGGUUUGAGAGAUCAAUUAAGGUGAUUCAGGAGGUGAAUUGAUUGGAGAGCUCAGUGGUGCUCACAAGAGUUAAUUUUGAGAGUUGACAUGAUUAGGAGGAGCUUAAAAGAGCUCAUGGGAUAGUUUUGUUGAGCUUAAAGAUAACUCUAGAAAGCUUAUCUAUGGAGCUCAAUAGAGCUCAUUGGAUAACUCACGUGAACUCAUAUAUGAAAUAUGAUAUGGACAUUAAAACCAUCGUAAUAAGGACAAAAUAAGUAUAAACAAUAAAGAACACACAAACUUUUACGUUGUUCGGCCUUUUGGCCUAUGUCUACAUGAGUAAUCAUCUCCAAUUUACUAUGUAUGUGAAGUAUUACAUGAUUUACUUUACAAUAUCAACAAAACCUUAUUAAAAAUUGUUUAUGCUGAACAAUAACAUGAAGAAGACAUGGGUUUUAUGGAGAUUAAAAAGUUUUUUAGGAGAAAAAUAAGGGAAAAGCUUCUUUGAAAGAUGAAAUGGCAAAAGUUUUCCAUGGAGGUCUAAAAAAUAGAGGAAGAAAAAGAAGAUGAAGUAGCCUCUCAAGCAAGAAAUCAGAUCUGGAAAUAAUCCAUUUUGUCUAUUGUCUUGAGCUAAAUUUAUAGGAUAGAUGACCUAGGGACAUUUUCACUUUUUCUACCGCAUGGAGAUUUUCUAUAUGUGUUGUCUUCUUCAAGUGGGGCCAUUUUCUUCAUUUUCCUUUGUUCACUUGAUAGUGACCAAAUAAGCUUGAUGAGCAAGUAAUUCCUUUAUUUCUCAUGUGAUCCUUACUCCUUGCCAUGUGGCAGAAGCUAGUGCAUUGGUCUGGUAGUGUGCACUAUUCACGUACUGGCUCUAACCAUCAAAAUUUAUGUUUCGAUAAUAUCCCUUGAUAUUAGGCAUAUUGAUCAAAACUUUCAUUUUCCUUAAAAGCUUAUCUUUUAACCUUUGAGAGUUUAUUGGCUCACGUUAGCACCCAAAAUUCUCUUCAAACAGAAAGUAUUAGUUUCUGUUUGGGGGAAAAAUAAGAAAGAUAGCAGAACGCCACGUGUCGACGAAUAGAAUAACUUCAGUGCAAUCCGAGGUACCCGACAUGAUUAGAGGCACCCCGCAAGAUUAGAGGUACCUGCCAUGAUUUGAGGUACUCGGCACGGUCAGAGGUACCCCGCAUAACUCCAGAGUAACUCGAGGUACCCCGCAUAAAUUGGGAUACCUCGUAUAAUUCGAGGUACCCGGAAUAACUCCAGCAUAAUUCAAGGUACCCAGAAUAACUCCAACAUAAUUCAAGGUACUCGGAAUAACUCAAGGUACCCAGCAUGAUUAGAGGUACCCCCGCGUGAUUAGAGGUACCCCGCGUGAUUAGAGGUACCCCGCACAGUUAGAGGUACCCGACGUAAUUAGAGGUACCCGGCUUGAUUAGAGGUACCCCGCAUGAUUAGAGGUACCCGACGUGAUUAGAGGUACCCGGCGUGAUUAGAGGUACCCCGCGUGAUUAGAGGUACCCGGCGUAAUUAGAGGUACCGGGCUUGAUUAGAGGUACCCGGCUUGAUUAGAGGUACCCGGCUUGAUUAGAGGUACCCCGCACAAUUAGAGAUACCCGGCGUAAUUAGAAGUACCCGGCUUGAUUAGAGGCACCCCGCAUAAUUAGAUGUACCCAGCGUAAUUAGAGGUACCCGGCUUGAUUAGAGGUACCCUGCACAAUUAAAGGUACCCAACAUAAUUAGAGAUACUCCACUUCACUCCAAAUUAACUCGAGGUACCCCACAUGGAUCGGGGUACCCCAUAUAACUUGAGGUACCCGACAGGUCAGACUCAAGAGAAUCCUCUAAAAAAGUCCGCCAUAGGAAAUAUCUUCAUAUCUCUAAGGAUAAUAUUUGAUUUUGUCAGAAUUAGGAAUCAAAAACGUCGUACCAAAAGGGGGGGGGGGGGACAACCGCCUGCUACCUCUGCCAAAAGUGAAGGACAUUGUCUCAAGGACAGUGGUCCUCAGCCGCCUACCCGACAACUACUGCAGAGGUACCCUGGACCACUCUCCAGCGUGCGCCACGUCUCCAAAGGAUGAGAUAUGCCGCGAACAUGCACAUAACGGCCCCAAAAUCAUAAAAGGUAAAAAGACGUUAGCCAAAAAGGGUACGCCACGUGGCAGCUGAGGUACUCCAUAUAUAAAUGUGCCUAUGUUUUAUUCUUGAAAGGGCUCUGACUCACCAUUAACACUAACACUCCAAAAAAUAGGUUUUCUUCAACCUUAAACCCUAAUUUACAGAGGGCUAGCCAGCUCUCUUUACCAUAAAAGCUUGAGUUUGCUAACUUGAGUGUCGGAGUGUGAACGCCGGGGUACCCCGACUUCACCUCUAACCUCUAUUUCACUGUUUUGUAGGCGUGAAGCUCAUUUUGAAGGAUAUCUCUCUUGGUUUUGACCUUUCACCAUUGUUGCCACUCUCUCUCCCCUUUUCACCUCCCCCGGAUUUCAGAUACACCGCACACAACAAACUAGUGAGGUACCCCGUCUCCCCCAAAAAUACAAAUUCAUUGUUCUAGAUUGGUUUGGCUUUUCCUACCCCAAAAUCUAUCGAAAACAGUUUCCUUUAAAAGAGAUAAUAUUUUAUCAUCAUAUCAUCAUUUAUAAGACGUUGUCAUCAAAGGUUAAUUAAUUAAUCAUCAUUUUGGCAUUCUGGCCACAUUUGAUCGGUAUCCAAUGCUACUGGCGUCGACAGUCAAUAAUUUGUUGGCAAUAUUUGUAAGACAAAUUAUUUUAAUCUUAAUUACCACCAAUCGCGAACGAUAGCUGUAUUUGUAAAAGUUUUGUAUCUUUGCUUCAUUAUCAUUUGGCAGGUUGAGGACCACCUCCAAUAACCAGCUUUUUUUUGUUUUUUUAAUGGUUCAAUAAUUGAAACAUAUAAAAAUGAGAACAUAUCAUGCAUCCAGAAAGUAUGGAUAGAAUCGAUAUAUCAGUGUUAGUAGAAAAACUUCAGCCAGGCAUCAAAUGAUAAAUUCAGCUAGCAUUUUCAGAUGUGCCUCAGUAUUUUCAAAUUCUUGUUUAAUUGUUAUAUUUUGAGUUAAGUAUUCACUUAAUUCUUAUAUUUUGAAAAAUAUCUCAAGAUACUUUUACUAUUAAAUAUGUGUCAUUCUUGACCUAUUUUUUUUAAUACUUUUACAAUAAUACCCUUGCAACAAUCGUCUUAGUGAUAUUAAUGGUAAGAAAAUAGGUCAAUUUGCCAUAUUACACUAAAAUUAAAUAAAAAUUAAAGUAAAUUUUUAUUAUUAUUUCAACCUAAAGUAAAAUAAAGAUUUAAAUAAAGGUCUUAAUUAUUAUUUUAUUUUUAAGAUUAAUUGUAACUUACAUUUUUAAUAGAUAAUUAUUAGCAAGACAACAAGGUUUCAAAUGUAGCUUUAAGUUAGCUGGUAUUAAUUAAUUUAUAAAUAAUUAUUAGAAAGAUUGUUGCAAGAGUUUUGAAAAAAUAUUAUUUCUUUUAGAUUGAUAAUUAUUGGUAAUUUUGUUUCAUUACAAGACAAAGCACAUAUGAGUACAAUAUCAUUUCGUUUGAGAAGUAGUGGAAGAUGUUUUUAUCAUUUCGUUCGAGAAGUAGUGGAAGAUGUUUUGACCAAGCCAAUAAAUGCCGACAAGUUUAUCUGGAGUAUAUCCUCUUGUGGCCUAGUAAAGACGUAAGCAACAUGACAAUGGCGAAAUAGAAAUGAUGGUGUGAAGAUUGAUUGGUUCCCAAUUUAAUCUCCAAGUGGGAGAAUGUCAAAAAGUAAAGCAAUGGGGACUAUUAGUGCCCUACCGCAAAGGCAAAAGAAAGAAGACAAAAAAGGAAGAAGAAAAAAAAAAAAGAAAGAGAAGGAAGAAAAAGGGGUGCCACACCAAAGAAGGAAAAGAAAAAAAAAUUAAUAAAUAAUAAAAUAAUAGUGCACAGUAGCCAAAAUUUGGCUAUAAAAAGGGUCACUACAAGAAAAAGUACCUACGAUGACAGGCAAAAACUGUCAUAGUAGGGGGUGGAUAACAGUUGUUCAUACCGUCAUUGUAGCCAGCGUCAAGAAUUGAUGACAUAAUAAUAUCAAUCAUAACCUAUGAUGGAUAUAGUCAGUCACACAACCAUCAUAACUUUAAUUAGAGGGAAAUAUAAUAAUUUUGAAUUUGGGUUGCCUUUUUUGAAUUUCGUGCGCUAUUUUUUAAAUUUUGGCAGAAAAUGUUCAAUUUGCAGCGAAAAUGGAAAUGAUAAUUAAUUGAUUUUUUUCAAUUAAUUGGAAAUUUGAAAUUAUAAUUAAUAAAAAUAACUAUUUUGUUUGUACCAUGAAAUUAUUAUCAUUUUAAUAAAAAUCCUACAAUUGAUUUAGAAAUUAAUAUUUCAUAAUUUAGCUAAUUAAUUAGAUUAUUAAAAUUAAUUGCAAUUAAAAAUUCAUUGACAAAGAAAACAAAAUAAAUAACAUUGGCUAAUUAUUGAUAAUUGUGAACAAACAUAAUUUAUCCAAAUACAAGUGACAAGUCCAACAUAAAUAGAAGAGUAUUGUAACAACAUAAAAACUAAAUUCCUGCAACAUGUACAAGACUAAUGUACCAUGAUCGGUUCAUUUCCAGCAACAAAAGGAAGCCAACAACAUAGUCAUUUAGAGCAACACAAGGAAAGCCAAGAACACAGUUCAUUUCCAGCAACACAAGAUGAAGCCAACAACACUGAUCAGACUAAGAAAAUCCAUUCUAACAGUUUGGUGAAGCAUACAACAAAUACCAAUAUAAGAAGAAGCUAAAUGUGCAAAGUUGCCUCAAUAUUCAGGACCUGUUUUUGCAUCAAAUAAAAAAGGCAGCGAACUCCAGCAGUACCCACCAUCUUCAUCAAAUUCCAACAUAGCAAGUGUAAGAAGCUAGGUAACUGCACAAGUAAAAUAUAACAAAUUCAAAGUCCGUGACAACUUAUAUAGAUUAGAAUACUAAGCAAUAGAAUAAUAGCUAGCAAAGUUUGUUUUCAAUGAACAAAAGUUUGGUAAAUUAAUUUGUUUCAUCAAUGAACUCAAUAUAACAACAUAAUAGGUAAGGCUUACCUCACAUAGUAGCAAGUAAUUCAAAAACAUGGUUUGCCCACUCAAUACGAACUUCAUCUAAUUCAGCAUCAGAAUAUGUUGUCUUUCCAUUGAAUUGUAAAAAAGUAUCUAUGCACUAUGUAAGUGAACUACAAAAACAGAGCAUUAGUUGCCCAAAGUUACCUACCUAAAUUACAAGCUUUAACUUUGUAGCCUGUUAAAGCUUUCUGCCACCUUCUCAAGUAUUAACCUCAACCUUGGAAUUGCCAAAAAGACUACUCAAAACAUAAAAGAUCAAAGAAAUAAUAAUCAAUCACACUACCAUUAAACAAAGUCAUAAGAAGUUAUUGAGAAAUCGAGGGGUUUUACCUAAAAACAAAAGGAAGCCCAUUGUCUUCUGCCAAAAAGACUACUCAAAACAACCAGAUUUUUAUCCCCCACACCAGUUCUACUCUCCCUAAAUCAUAAAAGGAGAAAAAUCAGUGGUUGGACUACAAUGGUGAGUCAAGAGUUCUGAGAUAGCAUAAGAAUAGCUCACAAUGGCUUCAAACUUACACCAACUAUAGAAAGGAGAGUAAAUUAACAUACAUAUAAAGCAAUUUAAGGUAGACUUAUAAUUUUGAUGGAUUUGAGGCUGCCAAGCUUGGAUAAUUUAACAUGCAAGAAUGUUUCUAAAGCCUUGGCAAGAUAUGUUUCAAAUUGACAUUGAAACUAAAGAAAUUGAAGCUCAAUUGGUGAAAUCAGAAAAGCUUUUUAAACUUUGUAUCAGGUUCUGUUUCUUUUUCUCAAAUGGUGGAUAAUGGCAAUGUCUUUUGCCUCCAUUUCUUACACAUGAGCAUGACAAGCAAACAUAUUGUUUAAGCUAUUUAGUUAAGUAAUAGAGAAAAUAGGCUUUUAAAAAUGGCUAAAUAUAUAAUAUUGGGCUUAAACUUAAGAGUUAAUAAAAUCACAGUUAAAGGAAUAUGGGAUGUUACAGUUAGCUUAUGCACAUUCUACAUCAAACUACAAGACAAUGACAAGUGGUACUCUCUAAACUCACUUUUCAUUCCUUUCUAUUUGAUGGAUAAAUGUAUUAUCAAAAUUAAAAAAAAAUUGAACUGGAUAAUGUAAUCAUCUGAUUUGUGCAUCAACCAUUUAACAAGUUAAUUUCUAAACCCAGAAAUCUGAAUAACUUGCAUUAAUGUAAGCUCAAGAAGUAUUAUACACUUACAGGUCUAAUCAACAUCCAACAAACAGCUACCUAAUCACUUACAAGUUUUCAAAUUUUCAGUUCAAACAAUGCACAGAUCAACAACAACAAUUGAAUUCUUAAGCUUGUACUUUAUGUCAAUCUCUCAACUGAUUAUUUCCCAAAGAAUGAAUCAAUGUUAAAAGUAGCACCAUGCCUGAGUGGUUAAACUAACAACUAAACAUAUAAUCACUAAAAGAUUGGCUACCUAUUAGCAUAAAAAGAACAAAUAUUAAAGCUUCUGCUUACUUCAUGGUUCUUGCAUUCUUCAAGCUCUUCCUUAAGUUCUUCAAACCAUAUAUCAUCGCUACCAAAAACAACAACAGAUUCAAUUAAAAACAAAUUGAAUUCACAAAAUAACCUUCUAAAAAGAACAAGAAUUUGGUUUAUCAAGAAUCAACUCUUUCUUAAAAAUGGCAUAAAUUUCUUGAUCUUUAUUCUAAAUGUCCAAUAGAGAUCAGACCUCAAAGUAAUUAAACAAAUACUUCCACAUAUUUACUCGUAUCUUCCUCAAAAGUCAAGUCCCCAUCAAAUGCUUCUAAAUUGAAAAUAUUUUUCGAAGUCUCAUUUUUAUAAAAACAUACAAAUACAGAAAAUCAACAAAAAUAAACAAAAAUUAAAGGUAAUGAUGAAUUUCAUACCAAUGAACUGAUGAUUUCACAAUGCAAAGAAAUCAGUUCUUCAGUUAGGGCUUUGCUGGUGAAAUAGAUAGGUACAAUAGAAAUUGUUAGGGUUUAUCAACAAAUCCGAAGCAGAAGCAAUGACAAUGGCAGAAACUAGGACUUCAAAUAUCUCUAGCGCAGAGUAGAAAUUGCGUUCAAACGAAAGGGUGAAAUCUUUGACAAAAGCAGGUUUCGGCAGAGCUCGAACGACGAAUGAGUGAGAAUGGCAGAUGAACGACAUCGAAAAUAGCGGCGAGAAUGGUAGGCAAUGAGAAUGACUUCGAAUGAUUAUGGUUUGUUGUGGGUUUGUCAUGGGUUUCUUCAUUUUCUCUUAAUUUGUCGAAGUCUUUUGUGUGUUUUGAGUGUGAGAAAUUCUCUCACACUUAAAAUGAGUUAUCUCUUUAAAAUUGUGCAUUUUAUGUUUUUUUUUCCCCAAAAGUCACAACUUUUAUUCAGAAUUAUAAAUUUUAUAUUCGACAAAGAGACGUUGUCGUUUUGCUUGCAAACAAAAGAAACGACUGUGUUUCCUUUUAAUAUUAAUUUUUUGUAAUAAAAUAAUUUUAAAAAAUAUAGUCAAACCCGAAUAACUGAAGUCAAAAUUAAAUAUCAGUCAUAAAUUCUUGAUAGUUAAAAAAUCUAUCAUGAGUCUAUCCUAAGUUUUUGAUAGACGAAAUUUAUAUCACAAUUAUGUCAUAAUUGCAUGAUAAAAAUAAAAUUUAACACAAAUCCAUCAUUAUAGGUCUCCAGAUAAAAAAUUGUCACAUAAGGAACUGUCAUUGUAGGCCUUUUUUCUUGUAGUGGGUGGCUCCCCUCAUUUGUUAUCAUUGAAUUCUCUUCAAUUUUUCUUCUUUAUUUAGAGAGUAGUGAUUUGAGAGUUUGCGUGUAUUAGGGUUUUGAGUAGUGAGAUAAAAUAUUACAAUACUUGUAACUCUUUUUUUUAUUAGUAAAUAUUUUCCUUCUGUCUUUGCCCGUGGAUGUAGGCUAAAAGCCGAACCACGUAAUUUCUUGUGUCCCUGGGUGAUUAUGUUUCUCAAUAUUUCUCAAUUUCACUUUGAUUGCGUGUCUGUUUCACCCAUCAAUUUCCCAACAUUAGCUAAUUCUUGCAGCUAGAAAGUUAUUCCUCAUCAUAAUUUAUUGAAUAUACAAUAUAAAUUUAUAAUUCCAUCCUUUAAAAUAGUCAUGUUGUUUAGAAGGUUAUCAGCAUGAUUUUGAACUGUAAUCACUAUCAAUUUGUUAAAUAAUGUGAAGUUACAAAAAUUUAAUCUCUGAAUGUGAAGUCAAAAACCUCCAUCAUCGUAACAUUAUCAGCUUGUGAAGAAGGGGAAACAUACUUGGAUAACUUUAAUAUUCUUUCUGUUGACAAGUAAUAAAAAUUUAACACUUCUGUAUUCGAAUUUUGCUUACCUUGGAGGGAAAGGGAUUUGAGUUGCCAUUAAAAAUUACAGUAUUUUGGUCCUUUAAAAGUAAAGCACGUUCGUAAAAUACACCUACGAAAAUGGUAAUCGUCUUAAUAAUUUUUUUUUUAAAAAAAAAAUCUAUCACUCUUGAGUGCAACAAAUUACCCAAUCCCAAAACCUUCUGAUAGAGAUUAAGAGAAAAUAAAAAUAGAAAUAGAAAAAGAGUACUAGCCAGAUUCUUCAACAAUGCUAUAAUACUUCUAAAGUAAAAAAUAUGCUUCUCUUUCGUUGUCUAUAUUUGCAUCUCCAGGUGAAAUUUGUAACUAGCUGAGGACAUUUUUAUUUUUAUAGGAUGGAAGAACCUGGAAUUUACUUGGAGAAAAUAUUGUAGUGGGGUAUUCCAAAGGUAUAGUUAUACAUGUAGCAUUGGGAGUCGAUGGCCAGAGUUCAUUUGAUGGAAUUAGCCCUUCAAUGGGUAGUCGAUAUAAACCAGAUGGCCAAUAUAGUCAUGCUGCCUAUUUUAGCAAUCUUAUUUAUUAUGAUAUCAAUUUUGGGCCUAAUGAAGCUGCAAGUAACAAUAAUGUAGGAUACUGUACAUAUGCCAUUAAUUGUUUCGGUUACAAAUUGCAACAGUUUCUGGACCAUCUUCUGGUUAUAAUUUUCUUUUUAGAGGAUCUGGAGGAAAUUGUAAGUAAAUUAGUAAAAUGUAAAUUUUUUGUUAUAGAUAUUGUAUGAUUGUUGGUAUAGUAAUAAAUAUGAUCUAUGUUUUGGGCUGUUAGGUGGUUUCUUAUAAUUCUAUCCUAAAAUUUUAUUUUAAAUUAUUUUAUCGUCAUUAAUUGAUUGGUGAAACAAUGUAAUUAAUUUACUUAAUAAAAAGUCAUCAACUUGGUGAGGGAAUUCCCCAGUAUUUGAAAGAGAAUGAUAAAAAUCUCAUGAUGAUUUUAGAGAUCCUUUAUAUGAUGAUCUUGAUCAUUCUCUAUUAAAACAAUUAAGACCAUACUGUCCAAAAUGAAGAUCGUCUAGUAAGAAGAUUCUUGCCAUUGUGUUCAAUUGUGUGAUUGAUUUGUAUAAAUUUGACUUUUAAACAAUUGAAAAGUCAAAUGGAAACACAUGGCUUGCUUUUCAAUUCGAUGGCCACAAAAAAUUGACAACUUAGAGGAGUUGCAGCCGCAUGUAUGCAUUUGUCAAAAAUGAAAAAAAUUGAUUGCGGAUUUCUAAGACUUUUAAGUGUGAUAAUUAAAUGCAUGCAUGGUGAGCUCUGCUAUAAAUAGCAAGUCAUUUCUUGCGAGUGAGCUAUUAGAAAGUUUAGGAGAGCAUUUCUUUGGGUACUUAGUUGGGUUCUGCACUAUUUAUAGAUAUGUGAGCGAAUGUGUCUUGAAGAUAUUAUUCCUUUCAAGAGUGUAUGAGAGUACUGGGUGUGUUUAGGUAGUUGGAAAGGUUUUGUUAUUCAAAUUUAUACUCUAUUAAUUGUUAGUGAAACAAUUAUUCUUCUUGCCUCUGUGGACAUAGGCUUUAUUGCCAAAUCACAUGAAAUUCUUGUAUCCUUUAUUUUUUUCUGUGCAUAUUUAGUGCGUAUUAAUUUCAUAUUUGCGCAAAGUGGUAUUAGACCACAAGAGAUGAUGCUUUCACAUCACAACAAGUGGUAUUAGAGUCGAUUGUUCGUACUUAGGUUACACAUCAUUGUUCACGUAUACGUAAUAUUCAUGAAUAUGGUGGAGCAAAUGGCUCAUAUUUGAGAGAAACAAUGGUUUUUUAGUAGUGCAAAUUUGUGCAUGCAAAGGAAAGUUCUAGCAAAAGGGCUUAGUGCCUAUGAAGUCUGAAUUUUGAGUGCGAUUGAUGUGACCCCUCUAGUCUUUCAUUAGAACUUUCCUAAUGCAUUUUUCACGCGACAAACAUAAAAUAGACUAUUUCUCUCAAGUGUGAAUUGUUGUUGAAAUGGUAGAGAAUAUCAAUGAGAGAUCUAACUUUAAUUAUUCCCAAAGUUGUUUGUACAAGUUCGAAAUUGAAGGAGUACUCCUAGAGGGAAGACUUGUCACCUUGUCAUGUAGCAAUGGUUGUAGGAAGCCAGGAGAUCAAUUAUGAAAAAAUAUUGAUAGGAACACUUCGGCAUGCAAAGCAUGGAGUUAUGGAUUCCCUAAUCCAAAUUUAUCUUGAUGUUGAUGUGAAUGAUACAAAACAUAAAUAUGAUGAACACAUUUUCAGAUCGUGUGAAUGAGAAGGAUUUUUUUAUCAAAUUAAGUCUUCCUUGUUCAGAGAAGUAAAAUGCAUGGUUCAAGAUGAUGAGUGCGUGAUUGUUUUGUAGCGUACUUUGGAGGAUAAGUACUUCUGAGAUGUCAAAAAAUAACAUUCAUGCAAUGAACAAAGUGUAUGGCUUCCAAAUAAAGCAUGAGUUGUUAAUGCACAUGCAUGUAUCAAAAUUGUUUGAAGAAUCUUGACGAAGAGAUCGGGGUUGAAGUCAAGGCUAAGAUUCUUCUGCACUCACUUUUAGAAGAAGACAACCAUUUUAAUACUAUGCUGUUGUAUAAAAAGAGCAUGAUUGUCUUCAAAGAUGUUAGCAUAGCAUUAAUUGAUUUAGAGAUUCAGAAUAAGCAUCGUCUGAAGCUAUGAUGAGCAGAUGAUGGAUGAUGAAAAUAAAAAUGGAUGAAGCAUUGUGGAUAGAAUUCUUGAACUAUAUCUAGAAGUAAAGUAGCCCAAGAUGAGUGUUGUUUUCUCUUAUAACCAAUAGUAACAAACAUGGGAUUUGACGCUAGCUAUUAAAUGAGUAUUAUGCUUAUGGUACAUGUGGUAAGUUCAAACAAAUGGAUUUUUGACACCAGAGCAACCUAUCAUUUCUGUUCAUUCAAGGAAUUGUUCAUGGAUUUUCGUGAAUCUAGAAUGGUUAUGAUUAAGAGUGAUCAAGCUUCUCACAAAAUGAAGGUGGGAAUAAUUUGGGUCAAGGUGUUCAAUGAAGUGAUCAGAAAAUUUUUAUAAGAUGUUUGGCAUGUUCCUGCUAUAAAAAAGUAGGUAAUUUCUAUAGGUGCUUUAAGGCUACACGGUUACCACCGAAAAUGACACAAUAAAUUUCACACACAGGGCUAUAGAGAUUCUACAAAAAAAGGCCAGUGCCCCACCUUAUAUUAUUGGAAGCGAAGUACAAGUGAUAAUGUGAAUAUUUUUUUGUUGGUGCACAAUGACACCAUCAAGCUAGGGGUGUUCAGAAUCCAAUCCGAUCCGCUAAAUCCGUCUGAUCCGCUCAAUCCGAUCCGUAUAAAUCCGAUCCGUGGAUUGGUGGAUUUGAUAUGGAUUGAAAAUUAAAAAAUCUGCAGUCGAUGGAUUAGAUAUGGAUUUACUUCUGUAAAUCCGCAGAAAUCCGUGAAUCCGCCAAAAAAUAUAUAUAUAUAUAAUUAAAAAAUUAUUAUAAAUAUAAUUAAAAAAAUUAUAAAUGUGACAUUACAUAGUUACAUAAGCACUAUAACAUAUCUUAGCCAUUACCCACUAAUAAUAUAAAAUGAAAAAUAAUUAAAUAAUCAAAUAUACAAAUAUAACUUGUAAAAAUUGUAAAACAAAAUAAAAGCAAAGUCACACGCCCUAGCAAAAGCAAAGUAACAUAACCCCAAGUCACCAACAAUUUGUAAAGUCACCCAAAAGUAAAGUAACAUGAUACCAAGUCACCAACAAUUUGUAAAUAAAAAACCCUAAGCUUCCCCGCCGUCACACACACUAGCAACACUCAAUACUGGUUGGAUACACUCUCGACACGGAUUUGAAGGACAUCGGCCGCAUGAUUCUAGCGAGAGCAAGCCAUCUUCUUCCCCAAGUCCAUCGAGCCACUUCACAUUCACUGGUUCCAGCUGAACAAUUUCACUAUCACAACCUUCAAGAUCGCAACCCGUACGGCUUCUCCUGGUUCCCAUCGUGGACGGCUCCGUAAUCACCACUUUUCGACAGGUGCAACAGCCCUGGUGAAGGAUCAGACUGUGUUUGGUUUCCGAAACUUUGUCAUUUCAAUUAAUUGUGAUUUUAUUUGAACAAUUAAUUUCGGUGUUAUAUUAACGUAUUAUUGUAACUUUAUUUGAACAAUUAAGCUUGGUGUGUUAUAUUUUGAAAUUUUGAACGUAUUAUUGUGGCUUUAUUUAAAUAAUUAGUCUCGAUGUGUUAUAUUUUAAAACUUUAAAUGUAUUAUUUUAGCUUUAUUUAAAUAAUUUAUUUAUUUAAAUUUUAUUCAAUUUUAAAUUUAAUUGGUAGCAAAAUUAUUUUUAUAUUAGAUUUUGUUUUAUUUCAUUAGUUGGAGAGAAGUAAAAAAAUUUAAUUCGAAAACUAAUGCGUAAAAUGGUGGAUUGGAUAUGGAUUGAGUCAAAUCCGCAUUUGAUCCACAGACGUAUGGAUUGGAUAUGGAUUGAGUCAAAUCCGCAUCCGCAUCCGCAGAUGUAUGGAUUGGAUUUGGAUUGAAUUGAUCAAUUCGUGGAUUGGAUUGGAUUGAAAAAUUAUAAUCCGCAAAAUCAUGGAUCAGAUAUGGAUUGAUGUUCAAUCCGUAAAAUCUGAUCCAUGAACACCCCUACAUCAAGCUAUAACAUGUAUGAUUAGGGACAUGCAUGAGAAAAGUCUUUGCAAAUUAAGAUGAGACAUGGACUUUUGAAAAGUGUCUAAAUUUGUAAAAAUGAAGGCCUGUGAGCAUUAUUUGGUAUGUAAGAAAACAAGGGUCAAGCUUGGCAUGGCUAAUCACGAUACUUAUGAGAUCUUUGAAUGUUCACAUCGAUGUAUGAGAACCAACCAUGACUACCACAAUUGGUGGUAACAAAUAUUGAGUUUUAUUUGUUUCUCUAGAUGCAUAUACGUGCAUACCAUAUAACCAUAGGAUGAGAUUCUAGAGAUGUUUGUGAAAUAGAAGAAACUAGUAGAGGCUCAACCUAACAGAAAGAUCAAAGUAUUACGUACUAAUACGAAAUGAUAGACUCAUGGGUGGCUUUAAGUAUAGGCGAACAAGGCGGUCGCCUAAGGCCCCAAAUUUUAAAAAAGCCUUAGUUUUUUAGUAUUAGUUAUAAUUCUCUAGUUAAUAAAAUCUUUUAAAAAAAUUAUAUGUGUGGUAGAAAAGCAUAUUAGACAUAUCUCUAAUUAAUAAUUAUCCUAUAAUUAAUAAUAAUUAUUUUUUAUAUAAAAACCUAUAAUUGGUUAUCUUAUUGUUAAAGAGAUAUAAUUAAUAACAUUGUCUAACCAUUAAUUUAUUCAUUAUUAGUUUUUCUAAUAAAAAUAAGUAAAUUUUUUUAUCUUUUCAACUUCUUAAAAAAGCUCAAUUAUUCAACAUUAGAAUCUUUGAUUUUGAGUAUUCCUUUUAAUUUCUACUAAAAAUCUUAUAAUCUAGAAAAUUAUAGAUGAAAAAUUUCUUGUUCUCUUCUCUACAAUGAAGAUUAUUACAUGCAUUAGUUCAUUCAAAAAAGAAAAAGAAAAAAUUAGUUACUUGAAAUACAAAGUCCAUAUCCAUUUUCUAACCAUCAAUUCAUGAUCUCAACUUUUUAUGUGCUACCAUUUUAAAUAUUCUAUUUGAAAAUAAUAUUGUUCUCAUUUAUUCGUUUGCUUCUUUUUGUAUAAUUUCUAAUGGUAAAUUUUAGAUUUUUUUUUUGAAAAUUUUUAGAAUCUUCUUGAUUAUUUGUUGAAAUUCAAGAAUUAAAACUGAAAUGAAUUUUUAGUUCUUUAUUGUUUUAUUGAGUAUUGAAAAUACUAAAUAAAAAGAGGCCUCAUACAAAAAAAAAAAAAGUUCGCCUAAGGCCCCUGAUAUUGUAAAGCCGGCCCUGGAUAGACUUGUGAACCAUUUUUGCAAAUAUGCCAAAAUGAGAGUCUAAAAUGACGUUUCGUAAUAAGAUGUACCUGAGCGUAUAGACCAUACUUUAUUGGAGAAUGUACGAUGUAUCUUAUCUAGUGCUGGUUUAAAUAAGAGGUUUUAGAUAGAUUUUGUAAGCUACACAAGUCACUUAGAAAAAAAGAUUUGUAAUCUGCUAUAAUUAGAGGUAAGACAUUUUUGGAGAAGUGGUCUGAAAAGAUGCAAAAGACUAUGAUUCUCUUUGUAUGUUAUCUUUGCGGGAUUCAAAGGUAGAGUUUUGAGAUCUCGAAGAUAAAAAGUUUGUGUAUCGCAGUGAUGUCAGUUUUGAUGAAGCUUUAAUGUAGAAAACUUCUAGUUCUCAAUAGGUGGAUAACAAGUCUAACGAGAUAUUGUAGUUGGUGGAGUUUAAUGCAACUCCAUAUGACCAAAUGGUUCCAUAUUAGAGAAGAGUUUAACUUCGGGUCUUACUCUAAGAGUUGAAGAAGAAAUUAUUCUAUUGAUGUUUCACAAGAAGAAGAAACAAUUAAUGAUGUAGAUAAAGAUGAUAACAACAAGGAGACUAAGAACAGAAACCUGGAUGGCUUAUAUGGUAGUAACCUUUGCACUUUCAAGUGCUAAUAAUGACAUCCUUAACAUUUUCAGUGAAAUAGUACGCAACAAUGAAAGUGAUCAAUAUAAGUUAGCCAUAAAGGAAGAAGUGAAGUCUAUUCAUCAAAAUCAAACUUGGAAACUUGUAAAGUUACCUAGGGCAUUGAGGGCUAGUGGCAAUAAAAGUGGUUACACUAAGAAAUAAAGAUCUCUAAAACAAGCAACCCUUUGAUAUAAAGCAAGGCUCAUGACAAAAAGAUUUGCUUAUAAGGAAGGUUUUUUUUCUCCAGUUACGAAAAAUACUUCCUUUUGUAUCUAACUUGCCUUAGUUCUGGAGUAUAAGUUAGAGUUAGCUCAAUCGAAUGCUAAGAUGAUGUCCUUACAUGGGGACAUGGAAGAUGAGAUCUAAAUGACUCAGUCUUCUAGUUUCAAAGUUGCUGAAAGGAGAAUCAUGUGAAGGAUGGUUUGAUCUUUGUACAGACUCAAAUAAUCGAGAAGCAAAUGUACAGGGGAUUUGAUCGAUUCUUAUAAGGGCAAAAUCACUAGAAUUGAACACGAUCACUAUUUUUACUUUAGAAAACUACAAGAUGGAGCUUUCAUCCAUUUGGUACUCUAUGUCAAUGAAAGACUUGUAACUUCAAAUAAUAGAGAUGAAAUUGAAGAAACUAAUGGUUACUGAGUUCAAGAUGAAAGUUUUGAGUGAUGGACAGAGAGUACUUACGUUGGAGAUUUCAUAAAGACAGAAAGAAUAUGAGUAUGUAGUUGACUCAUAUUUUGAAGAAGUUGCAAGAAAGGUUUUCCUAUGUCUCCUAAGCUCUUGUUCAUGUCAUUCUCCUUAGGGAAAUUAUCAUUCAUAUACCCUAUAUUUGCUCUGUUAUAAAAAAUACUACAACACUUUGAGGGUGUAUCAAUCGUCCACCCUUAGUUGACAAAAUGUAUCAGCCGACCACCAAACCGUUAGUUGCUGUUUGAAAGUUAACGGAGUUACAAUGAAUUGACAAUUUUACCCUUGAAAAUUAUCACUUGUAUACCCUUAAAUUCUCUUUUUAUCACUUGUAUACCCUUAAAUUAUCACUUGUAUCAUAUGAAAAGACCAAAUUACCCUUCUGACGUCAUCAUACUUAAACGACAACUAACAGUUUGGUGGUCAGCUGAUACAUUUUGUCAACUUAGGGUGGACGAUUAAUACACCCUCAAAGUGUUGUAGUAUUUUUGAUAACGGAGUAAACUAAGGGUAUACAAAUGAUAAUUUCCAUUCUCCUUAAGUAAAGCACGAGUACAUGGCUCAUGUUUCGUAAGCUUAUGUUAUGGGUAGUCUUAUGGAUGUGAUGGUGAAUAGAAUGCACAAUAUAUCUCAAGCAAUGAGCUUAUUUAGUAGAUCUAGGUACAAUUCACUAGCCUGCAAUGAUAAGGAUUCUCUACAUAAAUAUAGUAUAAUUUGUGAAGGCGUUCUCUUAAAAAAUUAUAAACUACAGUUGACUUGAUCGUAGUAGGUGGAACGUAGGUAGUCGAAUCAAUACAACCGUUUUGGAUACAUAAGGGAAGAUCACUUUAGGGAUGAUGGUUUAUUGGUAGUCAACUUAAAUUUGGACAAAUCUUUGCCAAGGUGGAGAUUGUUGAAAAGUCCAAUGAAAACACAUGGCUUGCUUUUCAAUUCGGUGGCCAUAAAAAAUUGACAAUUUGGAGGAGUUGGAGCCGUAUCAUGAAUUUUUCAAAAAUGCAGAAAUUGGUAGAUGAUUUCUAAGACUUUUGAGUGCAAUAAUAAAAUGCAUGCAUGAUGAAACUCUCCUAUUAAUACCAAUCAUUUCCCUUGGUGUGAGUAUCCCACGAAAUAUAGAGAGCUUAUGUGAAGAGUCCUCCGAGACAGUGAAGAGAGAGAUCACUGUGAGAGUUUCCAAAGAUCGAAAGGGAGCAUCUGCGAAUGAGCUCUUAGAAAGUUGGGAGAGCAUUUCUUUGGGUAUUCAGUUGGGUUAUGCACUAUUUGUAGAGAUAUGAGAGAUGUGUGUUUUAAAGAAAUUGUUUCCUUCAAGAGUGUGUGAGAGUAUUAGGUAUAUUUAGGUAUUCGGGAAGUGAUGUUUUAUUAGUCAAAUUUGUACUCUGUUAAUUGUUAGCAGAAUAAUUAUUCUCUCUUACCUCUAUGGACGUAGGCUUUAUUGCUGAACCAUAUGAAAUUCUUAUGUCUUCUAUUUUUUCUGUGCAUAUUUGGUGCGUAUUGAUUCUGUAUUUGCGCACAAGUGGUGUCAGGCCAUAAAUGACGCUUCCACCGCACAAUAUAAACCAUAUUGAAUCAAUAAUAGAGAGAAUUUUAUUUUCUCUUUACCAUUUUGAGUUAAUAAGUGAGAAAAAUACCUAAUUUUAAUUUGUGCAUCCUCUCAAUUUUAAUACUUUAACACAUUACCAAACAUACAUGAAUUUGAUUAAGCUAAAUAUAUUUAAAAAUCAUGAAUCUUAACUAUUUUUUAAUCCUAUUAUGUGAUAUAAUUAAUUUUGUUGACAAAAUAAAAAAUAAUGAAGAAAUGAAUUAUUUAUUAACAACAGUUUUAUUAUGAAAAGUAUGUUUACAAAAUGUAUUCUAAAUGAUACUGAAACUCAAUUAAAAUUUUAUGAUAAUUUUAUGUCCUUUUAUGUAAUUUUAUAAAAGAAGAGAUUGAAAAGAAUGAAAAUUAGGGUUUCUUAAGAGUUUAAAAGGGGUGUUAGAAGCUCUACUCUUUAGGCGACUGCCUAGGCUUACCCCUAAAAUCAAGGUCCCAUCUUAAUAUAAUAUGGUAGAGUUGCCUUUGGUUUACGUAAAAAAUCCAAAGCAUAUGUUUUAUUUAAAAGUUGAAAUUAUAAAUUUGCUUCUUUGGAUUAAUUAAAUGCAUCAAAUUCAAGUUCAAAUUUAUUUUAAAAUCACACACAAUCCUAUCUAUUUAUGAAUUAUAUCUCCAAUUGUAUAAUUUAAAUGCCCAAAACCUAAUUAACUCCGUUAAAAACAAAGUCUAAGAUCUAUUAUAUCUGAUCCUAUUUAGUAAAUGGCUAAUUUAAUAUUAAAAAUCCAUCAAAAUAAAAUUUAUUAUUUAAAAAAGAAUAAUUUUUUUUAAUUUUCUUGUUUAAAAUGUCCAAUUUCAGUAAUUUUAUUUAUAUAUCAUUAAAUCUUUCUCAAAUUUAGGCCACUAAGAUUUAGUUAAGGAUAAUUCUCUAUUUUGAGAGUGAAAUUUCCAUCAAUAACCUAUUUGAUAUAAUAUAUGCGUCUGCCUAUAUAUAGAUUGAGGGUCUGCGCACCGUAGAUAACGAAUCAAAAAGAUCGAUCUUCAGUCUCAUUCCGCCAUAAAUCACGUUCCUAAUAGUUUUACAGAAACAACUGUAGAUAAAUGAGUAAUUAAUUUUAUAGUUAAAAAAAGAAUGGAAAAGAUGGAAUCAAUUCAAAUAAAAAAGAAUAGAAGAAUAAGAAUCAUUAGCUAACUGGUCAGCUCAUUUGUUUUUUUAUGAGAACAAGAACAAUAAUCGAACCGGCUAAUUUUUGUUUUCUAAGAAUAAGAAUAAUAAUCCAUUUGGCCAGAUUUUUGCAUUCCUUGAAAUAUUCUCAUGUUGACAAUUCUAUUUGAUAUUAUUUAUUACUAAAAUUUAAUUGACGUUUGCGUGAAGAAGAUAAUUUACUACUGAAUUUAAUUAACAAUUGCGUAAAGAUGAAAUGCAGUUUAUCUUUAUUAUUAGAGUUUGAGAAGUGAUAAACUUCGAAGCUAAGAGAUAAGUUUAAACUUCGGUUAAUUUUCAAUUUUAAUUAGGGGCUGUUUGUUUUUUUGACUUAAUGACUUAAUUGACUUAAUUUUAAUCCGUUAAGUCAUUAAUUCUGUUUGUUUUUUUUUUUCAACUUAAUCAAGAUUUUCAGCAAUUAAGUCAUUAAGUUAUUAAACUAAUCUUUUUAGUUUUUUAUUUAAUCUAAAAAGUUUGAAUACUAUCAUUAAAAGAUAUUUUCUAAAAUAUUCCUAUCUAAUUAAUUAAUUUUCAUUCUUAACUAAAUAAAAUUUAAUAAUUAACAUUAUCACCCAUCUGUAUAUAACUUUUGAUAAUAUAUAGUGGUAGAUUAUUAUUAUUUUUAUCUUUUAAUUUUGUUCAAAUUAGCAUUAUUUAUCUUCAUAAUUUUUUGUGAAUAUUUUUCAUAUAAAAACAUCACAAACUAUAAUAAAAUUAAUUAACAUAUAUGAUAUAAAAUAUUAAACAGUUAUACUCAAUUGAAUAUGAUUUGUGUUAUGAAAAUUUAUUACGUUAUUUAUAUUCUUUGAGAUAUUUAUUAUUUGUUUAACAUUAUAAUUUGUAAGGGCUUAAAUAAGAUUUUUUUAAGUUAAAAAAGCAAACAACUUAAUAUUUAUUUUUAGCUAUUCAUACAAAAAAAAAAUGUCAUUUACAUUCAGACAUUCAGCUCUAUUAAGAAAUCAGACUAAUUCAAGUCUAUUCAAAUUUCAGAUAAAAAAAUAAACGCCACCUUAAUCUAAAAACGUUAGGUUUUGGAGUUUAAAUUGCAAAAUUGAAAAUAAAUUAAAUCCUAUCCUUAUCAUUCUUUGAAUGCAGUUGUCCAAAUCUCCUAUACAAAGAGAAGAUCCAAAUUCUAUAUUAAUUAAUUGUGCGAACUACGCGGGUAUCAUUGGAUCCCAUGGCUCGCUGAUCACGAUCAUUAACUAGAAAAUUGUGGAUAAAAAGUAGAUAGAAACUGAAAAACGUAUAUAAAGUCUGUCGUCAAUAGUUCUUGAUUAUUGGUAACAGCUAAUAUGUUCAUGAUGACAGAUUAUUGAGAUUUAAAUUGGCAUUUUGCAACAAUUUCAGAUUUGCGUCCUUAUGGAGUUGUAGUUCUCAAACUGUAGUCUACAUUAAUUAGAAGACUUGGUGAUUUACUUAUUUUGCUAAAAUUAGGAUUUAUGUCGUUUUUGUCAGGGAGACUACCUGAGGAAUUAUGGUAGCAUAAUUCUUCCCUAUAAAUAGGAUGUAUCCUACACAUGGAAGACAGUUUCACCGUAGGAAUAAUAACUCUAUUUUUAAAAUAAACUAGAUUAAGCUUAACUAUAUAUUUAGCUAUAAUUUUCAAAGUAUUUUUUACCAGUCGUUUUCGACACCACGGGUGACUUCACUUAGGAGAUAGCAAUCGAGGGCAGACAAAAACGUCAAAGUGAUUUCUGAAAAAAUUAAGAAACAUGUUUCUAACUUCCUCAUUUUUCCCCCCAAAAAAAAAAAAAAAAACAGAAGACUAUAUCUCAUAGCAAAAUCAAAUUGUUCAAGAUCGUCUUAUAAUUUAAUUUUUCAAAAGAUAUGAAAAAUAUUAUGAUAUUUGUUACUUAAAUUUUUCCAUGACUGGGAUUGAAUUUACUUUGCACUUGCCUUGUUGAGCAAUAAAACUCAUUGUGUUAUUGGCUAAUCAAAAUUCUAAAACCAACAGACAAUUCGAUAACCAAUGUUUGGGAAACAAAAAUUCUCCUCUUUCUCAUAUUUCUUGUUCACCCAAACAAACUUUGAUAAUUGAUCUGCAAUAUCAAUAUUAUUCUAGGGACCAAAAUUGAAUCAAGAAUAAGAAAAAGAAACUAUUAUUUAUGCAUGCAAAAUAAUUUGCAAACUAACAGCAUAAGUUAAAUUGCAGAUACGUAAAAACAACAAGAAUGGAUUUAAUUCUAGCCUAAAAUUAAGAACUUUUCAAAAAAAAAAAUUAACUUGUUUUCGAUUGGGUAUUGCUGCAUAUGUAACUUUUAAUUCAUUUGAUGGCAUUAAAAAAAAAAAGGUUUGAAUUGCUAUUUCUUGGCACUCUGAGAAAGUGGAAUCGCAUCAGAAAAACAAAAUUCACGAAUCGCACGAGAAUUAAAUUAUCCGAAUUUUUUAAUAUUUUGAAUCCUUUCCGUCCUGAUAUUCUUUAUUGCUCAAAUUUGCUUGUCAAAGUUUUAGGCCUUUGAGAGAUAAGAAAAAACGUGAGAGAGAGAGGGAGAGGGAGAAGAAGAUCAGAAGAAGCACCAUUAAGAGAUAAGAAAAAAGUUAUGGGAUUUGGUGUGUAAUACGGAAAGCUCAAUGUAAAUUAAAUCCUAACUAUAAAAAAAUUUAAAUGACGUGGCAUAAUAUCUUACAAAAUUCAGAAAAAAUUAGAUUAAGAGAGGAUUCAUAUCCGAAUCAAACACCCUUCAGAUUUCAGUCAACGAUUAUUAAUAAUUAAAUGUAAUUUAAUCGGAUAAAAACACCAAAAAUUAAGUCCUCAAUUUUCUUGAUGAAAAUAUUACAGUGGGGUAUUUUCCAAACAAAAUACUACUAGACUUAAAAGACGGAACUCUACAAGUAGCAUGGAAGCAGAUUCUAGGAGUGCAGGUAACAAGAUUACCCGGCCUCCAAAUCCAAUGGGAAGUGGUCAUAUACCAGAUGGCAAUUAAAAUAGUGCAGCUUUUUCUAAUUCUUUUUCCAUUUUCUUUAUUUUUUCAGAAAACAACUGCUUAUUUGAUGAUGUUUUUGUGCCUUGCGAAGCUGCAAAUAACAUUACAGGAUGUCGUAGAGGUAGAAGAAAUGAUUGUUCCGGUUACAAAAUAGUACAAUUUUUUUACCAUCUUGGGGCUACAAUAUCCUUUAUGGCGGAUCAAGAGGAUAUUGUCGGUAAAUGAAUAAAAUGUAACCUUUCAUAUAAUUGAAAGGUAUAUUGUCUUUUUACACAACAAAUGUGUGAAUUUAUUUCAGAACAAUAUUUAGGAAGAGAAAGCGUAAUUAAACCGAUAUGUAUAAACUAACAUAACCAAUAUGUUGACACACACAGUAACUUUUAUUUAUUUAUUUUCCUUUUAAGGAAAUCAUUUUGUAAAUAAAGAAAACCUCUUUUACAUAUGAAGAGAUUUUAUAAGCUGAAUUGAACCGAACUAAGAUACUAACAUGAUUGAUAGGUAACAAUAUACCUAUCAUUUAUUUAAUUAAACAUAACAUUAAAAAAUAUCACUACACUUAACCCAUACGGUCGGCGUUUCUCCCAUAUUGAGGGACAACAAGAAGAUCAAGGUUGUCAUUCACCAUAUCAUCAUCAGCAAUACUGUGCCACGGCUGGACGUUCACAGUCUCCGACCACUUAUUACCUGAAAAAUUCAUAUUAGAAAAUAUAUUUAUAAAUGCAUAUACUAAAAUAAGAAUUAUAAAUGAAAUAAACUGAAAUGAAGUUGGCCUGUAAACCUGCACAGGUAGUUUCCAUGUUCACACAGAAAGAUCUCUGCUUACGGGGAAGAAAGCUCAAAAGUAAUUAAGUUGCUUUUGCGAUUUCUUGCUUCCGGUUUGAUAAUUUGAUGUAAUAUAUAUAGGUGAUUCAAGUAUGCCUCUUGAUUCCCAAAAGAAAAAAAAGGUAUGCUGUUG
rnacentral:lncRNA from 1 species